AAAAACUCAAACCUUGGGGGUUUGAUUUUUGAAAAAAAGGCUCUAAGAGCAUCUCUAACCGAUCCUUUAUAAUUUGGAGAAGUAUAUGACCUCCCAUACGAAGGAGUAUAUUCGCUUCUCUAAAAAAGUGUGGUUUCUAACCGAACCUUUAAACUUAACUCCUUAAAAAAAUGGGCACAAAUCCGGUACAUCAUAUACUAUUUCACAUGACAUAAAUGAAAUCUAAACUAAACAUUGCAUAAAAACUAAACAAACUAGUCAUCACGAUCGAUCAUCUCGGCCAUCAUCUUGUGUCAUUUCUCGUCGCUCACGGGGACGAUGCCCUGGCCCUGGCCGGCUCCUCACCAUUUCAUCGUCGUUGGAUCCGGUGUCAUCGCUGGAGGAAAGGUUGAUGACCACCGUCGCCCCCGACCUGUAGAGCUCGUACUGUCGGCGCUCUUCCUAGAUGCACUCCGGGUACAAGCGACGGAGCUCUGCCAUGUACUCCUCGUGCGCACGCUCCACCUUGAGGUGCUUGCGGGCCUCCCGGUCUUUCCGCAGCUCGCGUGCGGUGGCCACACGGGGGGUCGCGGGAGCCAAAGUCGGCAAGCCAUCCGGGAAGUUUUGAAGGAAAUAUGCCCUAGAGGCAAUAAUAAAGUUGUUAUUUGUAUUUCCUUACAUCAUGAUAAAUGUUUAUUAUUCAUGCUAGAAUUGUAUUAACCGGAAACUUAGUACAUAGGUGAAUACAUAGACAAACAGAGUGUCCCUAGUAUGCCUCUACUUGACUAGCUCGUUAAUCAAAGAUGGUUAAGUUUCCUAACCAUAGAUAUGUGUUGUCAUUUGAUGAACGAGAUCACAUCAUUAGAGAAUGAUGUGAUGGACAAGACCCAUCUGUUAGCUUAGCAUUAAUGAUCGUUUAGUUUUAUUGCUAUUGCUUUCAUCAUGACUUAUACAUGUUCCUCUGACUAUGAGAUUAUGUAACUCCCGAAUAACGGAGGAACACCUUGUGUGCUAUCAAACGUCACAACGUAAAUGGGUGAUUAUAAGGAUGCUCUACAGGUGUCUCCGAUGGUGCUUGUUGAGUUGGCAUAGAUCGAGAUUAGGAUUUGUCACUCCGUGUAUCGGAGAGGUAUCUCUUGGCCCUCUCGGUAAUGUUCAUCACUAUAAGCCCUGCAAGCAAUGUGACUAAUGAGUUAGUUGUGGGAUGAUGCAUUACGGAACGAGUAAAGAGACUUUCCAGUAAUGAGAUUGAACUAGGUAUGACGAUACCGACGAUCGAAUCUCGGGCAAGUAACAUACCAAUGACAAAAGGAACAACGUAUGUUGUUAUGCGGUUUGACCGAUAAAGAUCUUCGUAGAAUAUGUAGGAGCCAAUAUGAGCAUCCAGGUUCCGCUAUUGGUUAUUGACCGGAGAUGUGUCUCGGUCAUGUCUACAUAGUUCUCGAACCCGUAGGGUCCGCACGCUUAACGUUCGAUGACGAUUUGUAUUAUGAGUUAUGUGAUUUGAUGACCGAAGUGUGUUCGGAGUCCCGGAUGCGAUCACGGACAUGACGAGGAGUCUCGAAAUGGUCGAGACAUAAGGAUUGAUUGUACGAUAUUAUUCAGACACCGGAUGAGUUCCGAGAGGUACCGGACAAUUAUCGGAGUGCUGGAGGGUUAUCGGAACCCCUGGGGGAACUAAUGGACCUUGAUGGGAAUUAGUGGGGAGAGAGGAAGGACCACAAGGGGCUGGCUACCCCCGCUCUUGGGUCCAAAUUGGACUAGGGGAAGGGGGGGGCGCCCCCCUUUCCUUCCCUUCCCCGUCUCCCUUCCUUCUUCCCCCUUUCCACCAGGUGGAAUCUGAUACGUCCAUUUUGCAUCAUGCUUUUAUAUCGAUAUUUAUUGCAUUAUGGGAUGUUAUUACACAUUAUGUCACAAUACUUAUGCCUAUUCUCUCUUAUUUUACAAGGUUUACAUGAAGAGGGAGAAUGCCGGCAGCUGGAAUUCUGGGCUGGAAAAGGAGCAAAUAUUAGAGACCUAUUCUGCACAACUCCAAAAGUCCUGAAACUUCACAGAGGCGCGUUUUGGAAUAUAUAAAAAAUACUGGCGAAAGAAUUAACCAGAGGGGCCCCACACCCUAGCCACGAGGGUGGGGGGCGCGCCCUACCCCCUGGGUGCGCCCCCUAUCUCGUGGGCCCCUUGGUAGACCUCCGCUGCCCAUCUUUUGCUAUAUGAAGUCUUUCGUCCUAGAAAAAAAUAAGGAGGAAGCUUUCGGGAAGAAACACCGCCGCCAUGAGGCGGAACCUCGCGAAACCAAUAUAGGGCUCCGGCGGAGCUGUUUUGCUGGGGAAACAUCCCUCUGGGAGGGGGAAAUGAUCACCAUCGUCAUCACCAUCGAUCCUCUCAUCGGGAGGGGGUCAAUCUCCAUCAACAUCUUCACCAGCACCAUCUCCUCUCAAACCCUAGUUCAUCUCUUGUAUCCAAUCUUUGUCUCAAAACGUCAGAUUGGUACCUGUGGGUUACUAGUAGUGUUGAUUACUCCUUGUAGUUGAUGCUAGUUGGUUUAUUUUGUGGAAGAUCAUAUGUUCAGAUCCUUUAUGCAUAUUAAUACCCCUCUGAUUAUGAACAUGAAUAUGAUUUGUGAGUAGUUACGUUUGUUCCUGAGGACAUGGGAGAAGUCUUGCUAUAAGUAGUCAUGUGAAUUUGGUAUUCGUUCGAUAUUUUGAUGAGAUGUAUGUUGUCUCUCCUCUAGUGGGGUUAUGUGAACGUCGACUACAUGACACUUCACCAUUAUUUGGGCCUAGAGGAAGGCAUUGGGAAGUAAUAAGUAGAUGAUGGGUUGCUAGAGUGACAGAAGCUUAAACCCUAGUUUAUGCGUUGCUUCGUAAGGGGCUGAUUUGGAUCCACAUGUUUCUUGCUAUGGUUAGGUUUACCUUAAUACUUCUUUUGUAGUUGCGGAUGCUUGCAAUAGGGGUUAAUCAUAAGUGGGAUUCUUGUCCAAGGAAGGGCAGCACCCAAGCAGCGGUCCACCCACAUAUCAAAUUAUCAAAGUAACGAACGCGAAUCAUAUGAGCGUGAUGAAAAUAGCUUGACGAUAAUUCCCAUGUGUCCUCGGGAGCGCUUUCCUUCAUAUAAGAGUUUGUCCAGGCUUGUCCUUUGCUACAAAAAGGAUUGCGCCACCUUGCUGCACCUUAUUUACUUUUAUUACUUGUUACCAGUUACAAAUUACCUUAUCACAAAACUAUUUGUUUCCGAUAAUUUCAGUGCUUGCAGAGAAUACCUUACUGAAAACCGCUUGUCAUUUCCUUCUGCUCCUCGUUGGGUUCGACACUCUUACUUAUCGAAAGGACUACGAUAGAUCCCCUAUACUUGUGGGUCAUCAAGACUCUUUUCUGCCGCCGUUGCCGGGGAGUGAAGCGCCUUUGGUAAGGAAAAAAUUAUAUAGUGUGCUGAAAUUUACUGUCAUUUGUUACUAUGGAAAGUAAUCCUUUGAGGGGAUUUUUUGGGGUAUCCUCACCCCGACCAGUAGAACAAAGAGUUGCUCCUCAACCUACUGAACCUACUGAAAUUGUUUACUUUGAAAUUCCUUCAGGUAUGAUAGAGAAACUGCUAGCUAAUCCUUUACAAGAGAUGGAACAUUGCAUCCCGAUUUGCACCUAAUAUAUGUGGAUGAAGUUUGUGGAUUAUUUAAGCUUGUAGGUAUGCCUGAGGAUGCUAUCAAGAAGAAGGUCUUCCCUUUAUCUUUGAAGGGAAAGACAAUGACAUGGUUUAGGCUAUGUGAUGAUAUGGGAUCAUGGAACUACAACCGAUUGAAAUUGGAAUUUCAUUAAAAGUUUUAUCCUAUGCAUCUUGUUCAUCGUGAUCGUAAUUAUAUAUAAAAUUUUUGGCCUUGCGAAGGAGAAAGCAUCGCUCAAGCUUGGGGGAGGCUUAAGUCAAUGUUAUAUUCAUGCCCCAAUCAUGAGCUCUUGAGAGAAAUUAUUAUUCAAAAAUUUUAUGCUCGGCUUUCUCUCAAUAAUCGCUCCAUGCUCGAUACUUCUUGUACUGGUUCUUUUAUGAUGAAUACUAUUGACCUCAAAUGGGAUUUAUUGGAAAGAAUUAAACGCAACUCUGAAGAUUGGGAUCUUGACGAAGGUAAGGAGUCAGGUAUAACACCUAAGUUUGAUUGUGUUAAAUCUUUUAUGGAUACCGAUGUUUUCUGUGAAUUUAGCACUAAAUAUGGACUUGACUCUGAGAUAGUAGCUUCUUUCUGUGAAUCCUUUGCUACUCAUGUUGAUCUCCCUAAGGAGAAGUGGUUUAAAUAUCAUCCUCCCAUUGAAGUAAAAGUAGUUGAACCUUUUAAAGUUGAAGAAAAGACUAUCACUUAUAAUGUUGAUCCUAUUAUUCCUACCGCUUAUAUUGAGAAACCACCUUUCCCUGUUAGAAUAAAGGAUCAUGCUAAAGCUUCAACUGUGGUUCGUAAGAGUAAUACUAGAACACCCACACCCCCUAUGCAAAUUAAAGUUGAACCUAGUAUUGCUAUGGUUAAAGAUAUCUUGGCUGAUAAUAUUGAUGGGCAUGUUAUUUACUUCUGUGAUGAAGCUGCUAGAAUUGCUAGACCCGAAACUAAGGGUAAACAUAGACCUGUUGUUGGCAUGCCUGUUGUUUCUGUUAAAAUAGGAGAUCAUUGUUAUCAUGACUUGUGUGAUAUGGGUGCUAGUGCAAGUGCAAUACCUCAUUCCUUAUACAAAGAAAUUAUACAUGAUAUUGCACCUUCUGAGAUAGAAGAGAUAGAUGUUACAAUUAAGCUUGCCAAUAGAGAUAUUAUUUCACCAAAUGGAUUGUUAGAGAUGUUGAAGUCUUGUGUGGGAAAGUUAAAUAUCCUACUGAUUUUCUUGUUCUUGGUUCCCCACAAGAUGACUUUUGUCCCAUUAUAUUUGGUAGGCCCUUCUUGAAUACUGUUAAUGCUAAGAUAGAUUGCAAGAAGGAUGUUGUUACUAUUGGUUUAGGGGAUAUGUCUCAUGAGUUUAAUUUUGCUAAAUUUUUUAAACAACCCCAUGAUAAAGAAUUGCCUAGUAAAGAUGAAAUUAUUGGUCUUGCUUCUAUUGUCGUGCCUCCUAAUGAUUCUUUAGAACAAUAUUUGCUAGACCAUGAAAAUGAUAUGUUUAUGAAUGAAAGAAGGGAAAUAGAUGAAGUAUUCUUUAAACAAGGACCUAUCUUGAAACACAACUUGCCUGUUGAAAUUCUAGGGGAUCCUCCUCCACCCAAGGGUGAUCCCGUGUUUGAGCUUAAACCAUUACCUGAUACUCUUAAAUAUGCUUAUCUUGAUGAGAAGAAGAUAUAUCCUAUUAUUAUUAGUGCUAACCUUUCAGAGCAAGAAGAAGAGAAAUUAUUGAAAACUUUGAAGAAGCACCGUGCUGCUAUUGGAUAUACUCUUGAUGAUCUUAAGGGCAUUAGUCCCACUCUAUGUCAACACAAAAUAAAUUUGGAGAAAGACGCCAAACCAGUUAUUGAUCACCAACGAUGGCUAAAUCCUAAGAUGAAAGAAGUGGUAAGAAAGGAGAUAUUAAAGCUCCUUGAAGCAGGUAUAAUUUACCCCGUUGCUGAUAGUCAGUGGGUAAGUCAUGUCCAUUGUGUCCCUAAGAAGGGAGGUAUUACUGUCGUUCCUAAUGAUAAAGAUGAAUUGAUUCCAUAAAGAAUUAUUACAGGUUAUAGGAUGGUAAUUGAUUUCUGCAAAUUAAAUAAAGCUACUAAAAAAGAUCAUUACCCUUUACCUUUUAUUGAUAAAAUGCUAGAAAGAUUACCCAAACAUACACAUUUUUGCUUUCCAUAUGAUUAUUCUGGUUUCUCUCAAAUACCCGUGUCAAAAGAAGAUCAAGAAAAGACCACAUUUACUUGCCCUUUCGGUACCUUUGCUUAUAGACGUAUGCCUUUUGGUUUAUGCAAUGCACCUGCUACCUUUCAAAGAUGCAUGACUGCUAUAUUCUCUGACUUUUGUGAAAAGAUUGUUGAGGUUUUCAUGGAUGAUUUCUCCGUAUAUGGAACUUCUUUUGAUGAUUGCUUAAGCAACUUUGAUCGAGUUUUGCAGAGAUGUGAAGAAACUAAUCUUGUCUUGAAUUGGGAGAAGUGCCACUUUUAUGGUUAAUGAAGGUAUUGUCUUGGGGCAUAAAAUUUCUGAAAGAGGUAUUGAAGUUGACAAAGCUAAAGUUGAUGCUAUUGAAAAUAUGCCGUGUCCUAAGGACAUUAAAGGUAUAAGAAGUUUCCUUGGUCAUGCCGGUUUUUAUAGGAGGUUCAUUAAAGACUUCUCAAAAAUUUCUAGGCCUCUGACUAUUCUCUUACAAAAAGAUGUUCCUUUUGUCUUUGAUGAUGAUUGUGUAGAAGCGUUUGAAAUACUUAAGAAAGCUUUGAUUUCUCCACCUAUUGUUCAGCCACCUGAUUGGAAUUUACCCUUUGAAAUUAUGUGUGAUGCUAGUGAUUAUGCUGUAGGUGAUGUUCUAGGACAAAGAGUUGAUAAUAAAUUAAAUGUUAUCCAAUAUGCGAGUAAAACUCUAGACAGUGCCCAGAGAAAUUAUGCUACUACUGAAAAAGAAUUUUUAGCAGUUGUAUUUGCUUGUGAUAAGUUCUGACCUUAUAUUGUUGAUUCUAAAGUAAAUGUUCACACUGAUCAUGCUGCUAUUAAAUAUCUUAUGGAAAAGAAAGAUGCUAAACCUAGACUUAUUAGAUGGGUUCUCCUACUACAAGAAUUUGAUUUGCAUACUAUUGAUAGAAAGGGAGCUGAGAAUCCUGUUGCAGAAAACUUGUCUAGGUUAGAAAAUGUUCUUGAUGACCUAGUACCUAUUGAUGAUAGCUUUCCCGAUGAACAAUUAGCUGUCAUAAAUGCUUCUCGUACUGCUCCAAGGUAUGCUGAUUAUGCUAAUUACAUUGUUGCUAAAUUUAUACCACCUAGUUUCACAUACCAACAAAAGAAAAAAAAAUCUGUGAUUUAAGACAUUACUUCUGGGAUGACCCACACCUUUAUAAAGAAGGAGUAGAUGGUGUUAUUAGACGUUGUGUACCUGAGCAUGAACAGGAACAGAUCCUACGCAAGUGUCACUCCGAGGCUUAUGGAGGACACCACGCUCGAGAUAGAACUGCACAUAAGGUAUUGCAAUCCAGUUUUUAUUGGCCCACUCUCUUCAAAGAUGCCCGUAAGUUUGUUUUGUCUUCUGAUGAAUGUCAAAGAAUUGGUAAUAUUAGUAGACGUCAAGAAAUGCCUAUGAACUAUUCACUUGUUAUUGAACCAUUUGAUGUUUGGGGCUUUGAUUAUAUGGGACCGUUUCCUUCCUCUAAUGGGUUUACACAUAUUUUAGUUGCUGUUGAUUACGUUACUAAGUGGGUAGAAGCUAUUCCAACUAGUAGUGCUGAUCAUAACACCUCUAUUAAGAUGUUUAAGGAAGUUAUUUUUCCGAGGUUUGGAGUCCCUAGAUACUUAAUGACUGAUGGUGGUUCACACUUUAUUCAUGGUGCUUUUCGUAAAAUGCUUGCUAAGUAUGAUGUCAACCAUAGAAUUGCAUCUCCAUAUCACCCGCAGUCUAGUGGUCAAGUAGAACUUAGUAAUAGAGAGCUCAAAUUAAUUUUGCAAAAGACUGUUAAUAGAUGUAGAAAGAAUUGGUCCAAGAAACUUGAUGAUGCUUAUGGGCCUAUAGAAUUGCAUAUAAAAAUCCUAUGGGUAUGUCUCCAUAUAAAAUGGUUUAUGGAAAAGCAUGUCACUUACCUCUCGAACUAGAACAUAAGGCAUAUUGGGCCAUUAAAGAGCUCAAUAAUGAUUUCAAACUUGCCGGUGAGAAGAGGUUAUUUGAUAUUAGCUCACUUGAUGAAUGGAGAACUCAUGCCUAUGAGAAUGCCAGACUGUUUAAAGAAAAAUGUGAGUUUAAUGUAGGCGAUUAUGUUUUACUAUACAACUCUCGGUUAAGAUUUUUUGCAGGAAAACUUCUCUCUAAAUGGGAAGGUCCUUACGUUAUCGAGGAGGUCUAUCGUUCCGGUGCCAUAAAAAUCAACAACUUCGAAGGCACAAAUCCGAAGGUGGUGAACGGUCAAAGAAUCAAACAUUAUAUCUCAGGUAACCCAAUAAAUGUUGAAACUAAUGUUAUUGAAACCGUAACCCCGGAGGAAUACAUAAGGGACACUCUCCAGAACGUUUCAGACUCCGAAAAGGAAUAGGUAUGUGGUACAGUAAGUAAACCGACUCCAAAACAGUUCUAAUAGCAAUUUUCCCUGUUUUGGAAUAUUUAAGAAAAUAGGAAAAUAAGUAGUCCGAAGAUGACACGAGGCAUCCACGAGGGUGGAGGGCGCGCCCCCUGCCUCGUGGGCACCUCGUGUGCCCUCCGGACUCCGUUUUCUUGCAUGAUACUUCUUUUGGUUGCUAAAAAUUCAUUAUAUAAUCUCCCGAAGGUUUUGACCACCGUAUCACGCAAAUAUCCUCUGUUUUUGUUUCGAGCUAUUUUUCUAACAGAUCUAGAUCAUCAUGACGUCUUCAAGUGCUCCAAAGGACAAGUUCUUCGAGAAGGUUAUCAAUACCUACCUCGCGGAGGUGCUGCAACACCCUCAAACAAUUGAGAUGCGUGAUGGGAUGCACAUCCGCGAUGUCGAGGGACCAAGGAGGACCGGAAGCGUGGAGACAAGACUCGAAGCAAUGGAGCAACAAGUUUUCAAGUGCCAGGGGAUGGUGGAAUGCGGACUCAAUGCCAACCACAUGAUGAUCGCGGAGUUCACCAACAACCACAAGGUGGAUGCCAAGAACAUUGGGGAGACCAUCUUCAAGCUUCACGAGAAAAUCGAGCAUCCCCAAGCCCAGAUUUAUGACCUGCAAAACCAAAACUGUGAGUAUGAAUAUAGAUUCAAGAGGAUGAGUUUGGCUGCAGAUGCGAGGAUCCCGGAGACUCGAUCAUCCUUCUAUGAUGGUGAGCCUAUGCCUUGGAAGAUGGACGGCAAGCCUACAUCAUCAACAACUCCAUCAUCACCACCCCCGAGGAAAGAGAUAUAAUCACAUGGGUAUGGGCACUCCCCUUGGCAACUGCCAAGCUUGGGGGAGGUGCCCCGGUAUCGUAUCACCAUCACACUGGUAGUAUCUUGAUCUAGUAGAAGAAAGUUUUAGUAUGAUCUAGUCUUGAGCUUUGCUUUAUGACCCUUCUAUGUAAUCGAGUCCAUGAGCUAUAUAAAAUAAAGAUUAGUUUUGAAUCAAGGGCUUGAUUAUCUUGCUAUGAUCUUAAGGGAAUAAAAAUAAAAGAGAAGAGAAAGAAUAAAAAAGGAAUUAAAGAGACCAUAUUGAUCUUAUGGAGAGUAAUGACUUCACAUAUAAAAGAGUACGAUGAAUAAAAGUUGUUGAGAGUUGGCAAACAUAGUUUUGGUCAUCGUUGCAAUUAAUAGGAAGUAAUAAAGAAAGAGAGGUUUUCACAUAUAAAUAUACUAUCUUGGACAUCUUUUAUGAUUGUGAGCACUCAUUAUAAUAUGACAUGCUAAAAGGUUGAUGUUGGACAAGGAAGACAACGUAAUGGGUUAUGUUUUCUUAUAUCCGAAAUAAAGUAUGUUGUCAUCGAUCAUCCAACAUGUUGAGCUUGCCUUUCCCCCUCAUGCUAGCCAAAUUCCUUGCACCAAGUAGAGAUACUACUUGUGCUUCGAAAUGUCCUAAAACCCGGUUCUGCCAUGAGAGUCCACCAUAUCUACCUACGGAUUGAGUAAGAUCCUUCAAGUAAGUUGUCAUUGUUGCAUGCAAUAAAAAUUUCUCUCUAAAUAUGUAUGAUUUAUUAGUGUGGAGAAAAUAAGCUUUAUACGAUCUUGUGAUGUGGAAGCAAUAAAAGCGACGGACUGCAUAAUAAAGGUCCAUAUCACAAGUGGCAAUAUAAAGUGACGUUCUUUUGAAUUAAGAUUUCGUGCAUCCAACCAUAAAAGCACAUGACAACCUCUGCUUCCCUCUGCGAAGGGCCUAUCUUUCAUUCUUGUCUUAUACCUUAUACAAGAGUCAUGGUGAUCUUCACCUUUCCUUUUUACAUUUUAUCCUUUGGCAAGCACAUUGUGUUGGAAAGAUCCUGAUAUAUAUAUAUAUAUAUAUAUCCAAUUGGAUGUAAGUUAUCAUGAACUAUUACUGUUGACAUUACCCUUCACUCAAAAGGUUGGGAGGCAACACUAUAAGCCCCUAUCUUUCUCUGUGUCCGAUUAAAACUUCAUACCCAUAAGUAUUGCGUGAGUGUCAGCAAUUGUGAAAGACUAAAUGAUAGUUGAGUAUGUGGACUUGCUGAAAAGCUCUUAUAUUGACUCUUUCUGAUGUUAUGAUAAAUUGCAACUGCUUCAUUGACCGAGAUCAUAGUUUGUCAGUUUUCAAUGAAGUUUUUGAUUCAUACUUUACCUUGUGAAUAGAUUGUUACUUUAGCAUAAGAAAUCAUAUGACAAUAUAUAUAUAUAUAUAUGUUGCUGUUAUAAGAAUGAUCAUGAUGCCCUCAUGUCCGUAUUUUAUUUUAUCGACACCUCUAUCUCUAAACAUGUGGACAUAUUUUUCAUUAUCGGUUUCCGCUUGAGGACAAGCGAGGUCUAAGCUUGGGGGAGUUGAUACGUCCAUUUUGUAUCAUGCUUUUAUACCGAUUUAUUGCAUUAUGGGUUGUUAUUACACAUUAUGUCACAAUACUUAUGCCUAUUCUCUCUUAUUUUACAAGGUUUACAUGAAGAGGGAGAAUGCCGGCAGCUGGAAUUCUAGGCUGGAAAAGGAGCAAAUAUUAGAGACCUAUUCUGCACAACUCCAAAAGUCCUGAAACUUCACGGAGGCACAUUUUGGAAUAUAUAAAAAAUACUGGCGAAAGAAUUAACCAGAGGGGGCCCACACCCUGGCCACGAGGGUGGGGGGCGUGCCCUACCCACCUGGGCGCGCCCCUGUCUCUUGGGCCCCCUGGCAGGCCUCCGGUUCCCAUCUUCUGCUAUAUGAAGUCUUUCGUCCUAGAAAAAAUAAGGAGGAAGCUUUCGGGACGAAACACUGCCGCCACGAGGCGGAACCUGGCGAAACCAAUCUAGGGCUCCGGCGGAGCUGUUCUGCCGGGGAAAUGAUGACCCACAAGUAUAGGGGAUCUAUCGUAGUCCUUUCGAUAAGUAAGAGUGUCGAACCCAAUGAGGAGCAGAAGGAAAUGAUAAGCGGUUUUCAGCAAGGUAUUGUCUGCAAGCACUGAAAUUAUCGGUAACAGGUAGUUUUGUGAUAAGGUAGUUUGUAACGGGUAACAAGUAACAAGUGUAAAUAAAGUGCAGCAAGAUAGCCCAAUCCUUUUUGUAGCAAAGGACAAGCCUGGACAAACUCUUAUAUAGAGAAAAGCGCUCCCGAGGACACAUGGGAAUUAUCGUCAAGCUAGUUUUCAUCACGCUCAUAUGAUCUGCGUUCGUUACUUUGAUAAUUUGGUAUGUGGGUGGAUCGGUGAUUGGGUGUUAUCCUUUCUUGGACAAGCAUCCCACUUAUGAUUAACCCCUAUUGCAAGCAUCCGCAACUACAAAAGAAGCAUUAAGGUAAACCUAACCAUAGCAUGAAACAUAUGGAUCCAAAUCAGCCCCUUACGAAGCAACUCAUAAACAAGGGUUUAAGCUUCUGUCACUCUAGCAACCCAUCAUCUACUUAUUACUUCCAAAUGCCUUCCUCUAGGCCCAAACAAUGGUGAAGUGUCAUGUAGUCGACGUUCACAUAACACCACUAGAGGAAACACAACAUACAUCUCAUCAAAAUAUCGAACGAAUACCAAAUUCACAUGACUACUUAUAGCAAGACUUCUCCCAUGUCCUCAGGAACAAACGUAACUUCUCAAAAAUCACAUUCAUGUUCAUAAUCAGAGGGGUAUUAAUAUGCAUAAUGGAUCUGAACAUAUGAUCUUCCACCAAAUAAACCAACUAGCAUCAACUACGAGUAAUCAACACUACUAGCAACCCAGAGGUACCAAUCUGAGUCUUUGGGACAAAGAUUGGAUACAAGAGAUUAACUAGGGUUUGAGAGGAGAUGGUGAUGAGGACAUGUACCUAGGGUAGGGUCACAGGCCUGACCUAAAUACCCUCCCCAAGGACAUCACUCUAAACCCCGAAGCAUUCGAGGGGUACCAUCGCCCACUCGUCCAGAAACAUUUCCACUCGGAGGAAUCAAGAUCACUCAACCGUAACAAGAAACACUCGACGGACAGAAGACCUAAAGUCACUCUACACAGCAACGGUCGGGCAUUAACUCCUAGACUUAAUAGCCAUUUAUAACACUUUAUUACGGACGUUACCUGUAACGCUCCUUCUUGAUGAACAUUGAACUCCUUGUAACGUGGGCUGGCUGGGGUUCUGGCGCACUCUAUAUAAGCCACCCUCCUCCACUGGCACAAGGGUUCGCACCCCCUACAACACACACGCAUAUAAUCCAGUCGACCGCCUCCGGGCUCCGAGACGUAGGGCUGUUACUUCCUCCAAGAAGGCCUGAACUCGUAAAACUCGUGCGUACAACUUCUCCAUAGCUAGGAUCUUGCCUCUACAUCCCUACCCCCCAUUCUACUGUCAGACUUAGAACCACGACAGUUGGCGCCCACCGUGGGGCAGGUGUCUUAGCGACUUAUUGGAGAAGUUGCGAUUUUUCCGAUCCCCAUCAGCAUGGUUUCGGGCGGAGGAUUGGCCGAAGGUCGCGAGAUCCGUCUCGGCGCGCCCGUGUUUGGCGCCGACGACUCCGCUUGGCUUCAAGAGGCUCCACUCGAUGUCGAGGUGCUCCCCGUCCGCGGGGCAACGCACUUUCGCGCGUGCGUCCGCGGCGUCCUCCUGCGGCAGCCGUCGACCCAGUAUCGGUCAACUCCUAUGGCGUCUUCACUCCCUGCUGCCCGCCGGCGCAAGCGUUCCGGUCGGUCGAGGCUCCAGCGGUGGGUGAGGCACGCGGUGGCUCGCCAGUCGGCCACCCCCCAAGUCGCAGCAAUCGAGCCCGACGAAACUCUCUACGGCCUGUUCGACUCACUCUGUCGAGACUGCAUCCGAGUGCGAUAGCAGUGACCCUGCGACGGAAGUCUUGAUGGUCAAUGGACCACGUAGUCCACCUGGCUUCCCCCGCGACGAAGGUGGUGACGGCGGAGGCGAUCCGUCGCGUGUCCAUGAGGAGUACCGCCCCGAGCCCCUCUCUUCGCAGCAGAGGGAAGAGCUUCGCCGCCGUAAUAUGGAUGCACUUCACACUCCAAUCAUUGGAGAAACCCCCGAAGCCCAGGCCUUGGAGGAGGCGCGCUUGGCCAACUUGGCUGAACGCACUCGACUGGAGAACCUCCAACACGCACUCAAUGAGCGUGCUCGGCAGCGGGUUCCCGAAUCCAGUCGACGACAGCAUUUUCCGCCUCCGACUCAGGUAUAUCGAACUCCGAUCCAGAUUCUCACAGCUGCCGCCCGAAUAGCAAAGUCGAUUCAGCCUUCCCAGUCGGAGGCUGGUAGAGGUUUGAUGUAGAUCCGAACUUUGCUCCGGGCGGCGGGGGAGCAGAACACAGCAGUGUCACAGUCUCGGAACAUGAUUCAUAGUAGAUCUGUAAUGGCAGAUACAGUUCAGUCGGCUCAGAGCCCAAGAUCGCCUCCAAGGCGUGAGGGACGUGGAGACCGACAGGAUCAGUACAUAAACCGUGAGCAGUAUGAUCGAUGUCGAGUACCCACACCUCCCCCAAGGAGUGGGUCAUACGCACCUCGGCAACACGAUGACAGACGCCCUCACAGUGGUGGGUGAAGGAUUCCAGUCGACCCCCGGGAGCCGGGCUUUGACGCGAGAUCCAUUCUCGUUCAAGGUCUGGUUGACAGGAACAGGGCACACAGAGAUGGCCACGAUAGAGAUUAUCCGACGGAUAGCAGAGUGCAUGUUUCAGGUCUCGAGUGUUUCAGCAGAGCCAUCAGAGCAGCAGUGAUUCCUCCCAACUUCAGGUUGGCGACUGGAGUCAGCAAGUUCACUGGUGAGUCCAAGCCCGACACUUGGUUAGAGGACUACCGAGUGGCUGUGCAGAUUGGUGGUGGCAAUGAUGAAGUGGCCAUGAAGCACCUUCCUCUGAUGUUGGAGGUCUUGGCCAGAGCGUGGUUGAAUCAGUUAGCACCCGGCAGUAUUUAUAGUUGGGAAGAACUUGCCCGAGUGUUUGUUAGAACAUUUGAAGGUACAUGCAAACGACCAGCAGGGCUAACAGAGCUACAAUCUUGUGUGCAGAAGCCGAAUGAAACCUUGAGGGAUUAUAUCCAGAGAUGGAUCACGUUGCACCACAUGGUGGAAAAUGUGUCAGAUCACCAAGCAGUUUGUGCCUUCAAGGAAGGUGUCACGUAUCGAGAGUUGAAUCUGAAGUUCGGUCGGACCGGAGAUAUGUCUCUGAGUCGAAUGAUGGAGAUUGCCACCAAGUAUGCCAAUGGUGAAGAGGAGGAUCGGCUCCGGAGUGGGAAGCACAAAACAGUCGCCCACGAAACCGGGGGAGGGAACUCUAGUCGGAAGUAGAAGCGCAAAGCCGAGCCAGCUGCUCCUGGAGAAGCCUUAGCCGUGACUCAAGGAAAGUUCAAGGGGAAGCCCAAAGGGCCAUGGAACCCCAAGAAAGUAAAAGAUCAAGAUGGAAAUGAUGUGUUGGAUUUACCAUGCCACAUUCACACCAAAAAAGAUGAGGAGGGUAAUCUCAUUUACCCGAAACAUACCACUCGACAGUGUCGGCUCCUAAUCCAGCAGUUCCGAGAGAAACAACCCAAAGAGAAGGAGAAAGAAUCGGACAAAGUUGAGGAUAAGGAAGAGGACGAUGAUGGUUACCCCCACGUCAAUUCCACUCUGAUGAUUUUUGCUGAUGUUGAGAGCAAAAGUCGACUGGAAGUCAUCAACAGAGAAGUGAACAUGGUCGCUCCGGCGACGCCCAGUUAUUUGAAGUGGUCUCAGACUGCCAUUACAUUGGACCAGUCUGAUCACCCAACACACAUAGCUACCCCUGGGAGGCAAGCGUUGGUGGUCGACCCAGUCAUCGAAGGCACUCGGUUGACUAAGGUUCUGAUGGAUGGUGGCAGUGGCCUGAAUAUACUGUAUGCGGAGACCUUGAAAGGAAUGGGCAUUCCGAUGUCCAGACUCAGUGAAAGCAAUAUGAGUUUCCAUGGAGUUAUUCCUGGCAAGAAGGCUGAGUCACUCGGCCAGAUCGCCCUCGAUGUGCUUUUCGGUGAUUCCAAGAAUUACCGCAAAGAAAAGUUGACGUUUGAAGUCGUGGAUUUCCAGAGUGCUUAUCAUGCUAUUCAGAUUUGGUAGUCAAUCAAGUGAUGAAGGAGUGGGACGUCAGAAGCCCAGCUAUGACUGGUUACUGCAAUGCGGUGAGGAAGUUGGAAAAGAAGUUUGAGGGGUUAGAGCUCCAUCAUAUACCCCGACUGAAAAAUCAAGCAGCCGAUGAUUUGGCAAAGAUAGGUUCCAAGAGAGAAGCCAUUCCCAGCAAUGUGUUUUUAGAACACAUUCAUACACCUUCAGUUCAAGAAGAUCCUUUCACUGAAGAUCCCCCGCAGCCUAAGAGUGUUACAGAUCCGACUGAAGUCGGGGUCCCAGCCGUGGUCGACCUGAUCAUGGAGGUUUUAGUCAUCACUCCCGACUGGACAGUGCCAUAUAUUGCGUAUAUCCUUAGGAAGAAACUCCCAGAGGAUGAAGAGGAGGCUCAACAGAUCGUCCGUCGGUCCAAAGCCUUUACUGUGAUAAGAGGACAACUAUUCAGAGAAAGUGUGACUGGAGUCAGCCAGAAAUGCAUAACGCGAGAAGAAGGUCGAGUGAUCCUCAACGAUAUCCACUCGGGGACCUGUGGCCACCAUGCGUCCUCUCGGACCAUUGUGGCCAAAGCAUACUGAGCUGGAUUCUAUUGGCCACGAGCAAAUGAAAUGGCGAAAGAUAUAGUUGACAAAUGUGAGGGCUGCCAGUUUUACUCCAAUAUGUCCCACAAGCCCGCGUCAGCCCUGAAGACCAUUCCCUUUUAUACUUAAGUACUCAUUCAGAUGAGAUGUAAUAAGAAAUACCUUUGUAGUUUGUUUAUCAAACACAAGAGCUUUACAGUCUUCUUAAACGAUUGUUGUUGCUUUUGUUUGCAUCUGAAAUCCCCCAGUGGGUGACUUUGCCGCGAAUCCAUUUCGCCUAAGUUUGAAAAAUCCUACCGAGUGGUGAGCAAGCCUCUCACUCGGGGGCUUAGCCGCGAAUCCGUUUCGCCUAAAUUUGAAAAAUCCUACCGAGUGAUGAGCAAGCCUCUCACUCGGGGGGCUUAGCUCUAGUCCAGUACUCGCCUAAGUUUGAAAAAUCCUACCGAGUGAUGAGCAAGCCUCUCACUCGGGGGCUUAGCUGCAGUCCAGUACUCGCCUAAGUUUGAAAAAUCCUACCGAGUGAUGAGCAAGCCUCUCACUCGGGGGCUUAGCUGCAGUCCAGUGCUCGCCUAAGUUUGAAAAAUCCUACCGAGUGAUGAGUAACCCUCCCACUNNNNNNNNNNNNNNNNNNNNNNNNNNNNNNNNNNNNNNNNNNNNNNNNNNNNNNNNNNNNNNNNNNNNNNNNNNNNNNNNNNNNNNNNNNNNNNNNNNNNNNNNNNNNNNNNNNNNNNNNNNNNNNNNNNNNNNNNNNNNNNNNNNNNNNNNNNNNNNNNNNNNNNNNNNNNNNNNNNNNNNNNNNNNNNNNNNNNNNNNNNNNNNNNNNNNNNNNNNNNNNNNNNNNNNNNNNNNNNNNNNNNNNNNNNNNNNNNNNNNNNNNNNNNNNNNNNNNNNNNNNNNNNNNNNNNNNNNNNNNNNNNNNNNNNNNNNNNNNNNNNNNNNNNNNNNNNNNNNNNNNNNNNNNNNNNNNNNNNNNNNNNNNNNNNNNNNNNNNNNNNNNNNNNNNNNNNNNNNNNNNNNNNACAACGUACGCUCCAUCCCUAUCCGCAAGGACGGCGAGGUGCAGGUCGACUGCAACCUUCUCCUUAGGGACUGCGUCACAAGUGCAACGUGCACUCCAUCCCUAUCCGCAAGGAUGACGAGGUGCAGGUCGACUGCAACCUUCUCCUUAGGGACUGCGUCACAAGUGCAACGUGCACUCCAUCCCUAUCCGCAAGGACGACGAGGUGCAGGUCGACUGCAACCUUCUCCUUCAGAGCCGCGUCACAAGUACAACGCGCGCUCCACCCUUAUCUGCAAGGACGACGAGGUCCAAGUCGACUGGAGUAUCCACCUCAGAGCUGCAUCUCAAGCACAAAGAUUAUUCCGUGUGGAGAACAAAUUCCACUCGAAGGCAAAUGCAAGCAUAUUCAGAGAUAAAUCAAGCUCAGAUAAAUCCUAAAGUUCAAGACCACGGAUCAAAGUACUCGGGCAUUCAGCCCGAAGGAGUUUAACGUUUACAAAAUCACUCGGCAUUCCGAGGCAAAUUUAAGGCAGGGCAUAAAAGUUUGUUCACUCCGCAGGAGGAGGGCUGGCAGGCUCGACGAAUUCGUCCAGGUCGACCCCGCCAGCAAUCCGAGUGGCGGCAACAAUGAAAGUCUCCAUGAAGGACUGGAUGUCGUGCCUCUUGGUGUUAGCAACUUUAAUCGCUGCCAGCUUCUCUUCCCGAGCUUCUCAACAGUGGACGCGAACCAGGGAUAGAGCCACAUCAGCGCCGCACCGGGCAGAAGACUUCUUCCAUUCUUGAAUUCGACUGGGAACUUCAUUGAGCCGAGCCAUCAUAGACUCGAGGUCAUUCUGAAGUGUUGCCAUGGGCCAGAGAGCUGUGUCAAUCCACGACAUCGCGACUUUCAGUCGGGCGAGAUAAUCAACAACACCAGUGAUGCGGGAUUCCAGUCGGAGCACAUUCAUGGCAGCUUCAUCCUUCACUGGAGAGUUGAUGGGGUCCAAGCUUGGUUCAAUUCGCCCGGUCUCUUCCUCGAAGUCCCGACAAAACUCUGCAUGCACAAUUCAAGGGUGAGUCAAUGAUCAUAUGUCGAGUCGACAAGAACAAACCAGUCGGAUCAAAGAAAACACCUUCAAGCAUGACAAACAACUUCUUAGCAAGGCUUCCCAGAUAACUCUCCAGAUUGUUCCUCCUGCGGGCAAUACCUUCCAUCUUCUCGUUCAGAUUUUCCUUGUCCUUCUUCAAGCGAGUCGCUUCCUUAUUGGCUUCGUCAAGGGCAGUUUUCAGCUUGGAAUUUUCUUCCUCCAAUUUGCCGACUGAAGCCAACUUCUGUUCAGCGAGCGCGGUUUUCUCAUCAGCUUUUUUCUGCGCAGCCACCAGAUCUUGAUCCUUUUUCGCCAGAGCUUGGUUCAGUUUCUCUGAAAGAAAUAAUGCUUGAUUCAGAAAAAGCAGAAUGAAAUCCGGUUCAGGGAUAACUCACUCGACAGGUCUUCCUUACCAGCGGCGUCAUCCUUGGCUUUCUGCAGUUCUGUCUUGGCCAGCUCCAGAUCAAGGUUGAGUUGAAUCUGCUUCUUCUCCAGGUCAGCAAAACGAGCUCCAAGAUCACAAGCUUUCUGCAACCAAAGAACAGGCCAGUCGACAGGUGAAAAGAUUGGUUACUUCGGAGAGAUAAAAGGAUAAAGCCAACAAAUUCUAAGACUACUGCCGAAUCAAACAUCCAACAGUAGUCUCGGGGACUACACCCAGUGGGUGCACUUAGCGUGCCCCACUGGUUCAGUUUACACUUGACAAGGCCUGUCCAGCACGAGUGCAAAAAAGAGAGAAAGCAACAAACAGUCUUCAGACCAUAGUCGACUGCCAGCAGUCGACCAUGGUCUCGGGGACUACACCCAGUGGGUGCACUCAGCAUGCCCCCACACCCACUCAGUGUGCCCCCACUGGUUCAAAGUUCCACUCGACAUAGCUCGACCAGACCGAGUGAAGAAAUUCAAAUUCCAAGACUACAAUCGACUGCCCGCAGUCCACCAUAGUCUCGGGGACUACACCCAGUGGGUGCACUCAGCGUGCCCCCACUGGUUCCAAAAUUCAAUCGACGACAACAUCGAAUUCAGCUCAAAGUAUGGAUUUGCUCAGUGACAAAUCGAAACACCCAGUGGGUGAACACAUGCGAAGUGCAGACAGAUGAAAAUAUUCUUUGAAAGAAAGUUUUCAGGUACCAUAUCCUAACAGAACAAGCCAAAAGAGUCGAUAGGCAAUCUGCUAACCUGGACGUUGCUCUGGAGAGCGGAGCUGGCAUCAUAAGCAGCUUGGCUGGCUUCCCGCACCAUCUUCACCUUCUCCAUCAUAAUGCCCGCCUAGCGUAUAGCCUCUUUGGCAGCACCCACUUGGUCCUCUGGGACGUGAUGUGUAGCAAAAAGUGAAGGUGGAUCGGCGGGAGCCUGUGCAGCUGAUGUGGAAGGCCGAGCACUCGACGGCGGUAUGGCGAAGGAGACGGAAGUCCGAUUGGCAUCGCCGGCGUCCUGAACUACCGGUUCUGCCACCGGCAUCGACUGAAGUGUCUUGGCAGCGGCCGUUUUCCUGUUUCUUCUCCCCAAGGGCCUCUGUGGCUCGUCCUCGUCGUCGUCGGGGAGGUCAAUGACAUUGAGAGCUGUAAAAAGAUCAGUCGCCAAAAUUUCAUCACCCGAUUGGAUAUAUCACAGUUCAAUCGACAAAGCGAAGACAAAAUCACGAAGAUUGUACCCGGAUUGGAGGUGACAGCAUCUUCCAUUUCCUCGUCCUCGUUUUUAUAAGUAGAGGUCCCGGAGGUAGCGGCACUGCCAGUUUCAAGAUUCAUUUGGUCAAACCAAGGGGAAAAUAAACAGCACAGAACGUCGAGUAAAAGCGAAAAAAGAACACUCACGCAGAAGCAACAGGAACAUCAAUUUUGAUUCUCGGCAGCGCCUUCCGAGUCUUCUGCACUACAACCUUGGACUGCUUUGGAGCCUUUUCAGUUGGUGCCGGAGAGGACGUCCGAGGACGCUUUGACGACUGCCCGGUCUGAACGGUCGCCUUGUCACGGGUGCUCGCUGGGUCGUGAGUAAGUUUGGAUGGCCUUUCCCUGCGGGGAGGAGAGUCGACCUCUUCUUCGUCACUCGGGUCGUCGCUCUCCUCGUCCCCCUCUCCGUUGGAGUGCCACUCGCCGCUUUCACCUCCGCUUUCCUCCCCCUCCGGGUCCUGCUUCUGCUCUCCGUUGGGCAUCAAAUACAUUUCAGUAAGGGCCUAGAAGAAAACAAGCAAGACAAAGUCAGUCGGUGAAGCAUAAACAGUUGCAUGUUAAAUCAAGAUGACACUCGGUAAUUCAGAAUCGGACUUGUCUGGUUCAUAGGAUUGGUCAAGUGGAGGGAUUCUCCUGGCUCCUCCGGGGUUAUCCUUGUUGCCAGUGAUACUCCUCAACCACUUCUCCACCGUAUCCUCGUCGACUUCUUCUGGGUGCACCCGAGUGGAAUCUUCAAUGCCCGAGUACAUCCACAUCGGAUGGUCGCGGGCUUGAAGUGGCUGAAUGCGUCGUCUGAGAAAGACUUCCAGCAGAUCCAUUCCAGUUACACCCUCACGGAUGAGAUGGAUCACUCGCUCAACCAGCACUUUCACCUCCGCUUUCUCCCCUGGAGUCACUUUCAAGGCGGAAGGCUUCUCUACGCGAGCCAUAGAAAAAGGAGGAAGUCCAGUCGACUGACCUGGAGUCGGCUGGUCUUUGCAGUAAAACCAGGUCGACUGCCACCCUCGUACCGACUUAGGAAGAAUUAUGGCUGGGAAAGAGCUCUUACCCCUCAUCUGAAUCCCAAGACCCCCACACAUCUGGAUCACUUGGGUCCUCUCGUCACUCGGGUUUGCCUUUUUGACCGGCUGGGAACGACACGUGAAAAUGUGCUUGAAGAGACCCCAAUGUGGUCGACAACCCAAGAAAUUUUCGCACAGAGAAACGAAAGCAGAAAGAUACACGAUGGUGUUGGGGGAAAAGUGAUGAAGUUCUGAUCCAAAGAAAUUCAAGAAAGCUCGGAAAAAAGGAUGCGAAGGCAAAGAAAAUCCACGGUCGAUGUGAGUGGCGAGGAGGACGCACUCACCCUCCCGCGGUCGGGGUUCGGUCUCAUCCUCCGGGAGCCGCGCCGAUCCGUGAGGAAUCAGCCCCUCCUCCGCCAGAUCGUCGAGGUCGUCCUGGCGGAUCGUUGACCGGAUCUAGUCAUCCUGGAUCCAGCAGCGCGGCAAACCGGACCGCGAUGAGGAUCCGCCCCGGCUGGACUUUUUCCCCUUCGCCUUCGCCGUCGCCUUCUUCGCGCGCUCCAGAGCCACCGUCUUUUCUUUCCCCAUCGCCGCGGACGGAGCUCAAACGGAGCGGCGGCGCUGGAGCAGGAGCAGGCGCAGUGGGGAAAACUGAGAAGGGAGAAGAAGAAUGAGGACGCACUGUUCAAAAACCCCGGUCCGGCGCCUUAUAUGGGGUUGCUUCCGAGUGACUGACCUGUAGGCCCGGGCGAUCUUAUCAAAUCCCGCAACAGUCGCGUGCGCGAUACGUGGCAAAAAAGGCGGCACGAGAAUCGAGGCACCCUUGCCUUAUCCAGCCUGAUUACUGCGGCCUCCUCCGCCCCACGUGCUUCCCGAAAUUCGAAUCCCGCGAGAUCCGCGGGCAGCAGAACAGCUUGUCAGACGGAAGAUCUCCUCCACAUUAGCACUCAGACCUCUUCCAGCAAAAGUUCACUUGAUAAAACCAGGAAUGGAUCAAGGCGACUGAAAAAGAAGUUGGUGUCACCACCUCGGUUCGUUGAUCCAAUACAAGACACGCCCGAAGCGCGAAAAAUGAGUCGGAAGUAUUUUCAACUCCUUCUCCACUUAAACCCUGAUCCAUUCGGGGGCUAAUGAUGAGGACAUGUACCUAGGGUAGGGUCACAUGCCUGACCUAAAUACCCUCCCCAAGGACAUCACUCUUAAGCCAGAAGCAUUCGAGGGGUACCAUCGCCCACUCGACUAGAAACAUUUCCACUCGGAGGAAUCAAGAUCACUCGACCGUAACAAGAAACACUCGACGGACAGAAGACCUAAAGUCACUCUACACAGCAACGGUUGGGCAUUAACUCCUAGACUUAAUAGCCAUUUAUAACACUUUAUUACGGACGUUACCUGUAACGCUCCUUCUUGAUGAACAUUGAACUCCUUGUAACGUGGGCUGGCUGGGGUUCUGGCGCACUCUAUAUAAGCCACCCUCCUCCACUGGCACAAGGGUUCGCACCCCCUGUAACACACACGCAUAUAAUCCAAUCGACCGCCUCCGGGCUCCGAGACGUAGGGCUGUUACUUCCUCCGAGAAGGGCCUGAACUCGUAAAACUCGUGCGUACAACUUCUCCAUAGCUAGGAUCUUGCCUCUACAUCCCUACCCCCCGUUCUACUGUCAGACUUAGAACCACGACAGAUGGUGCCGGUGAAGAUGUUGAUGGAGAUGAUCCCCCUCCCGAUGAGAGGAUAGUUGGUGAUGACGAUGGCGAUGAUUUCCCCCUCCCGGAGGGAAGUUUCCCCGGCAGAACAGCUCUGCCGGAGCCCUAGAUUGGUUCCGCCAAGGUUCCGGCUCGUGGCGGCGGAGUUUCUUCCCGAAGGCUUGCUUAUGAUUUUUCCUCGGGCGGAAGACUUCAUAUAGCAGAAGAUGGGCACCGGAGGCCUGCCAGGGACCCACGAGGCAGGGGGCGCGCCCAGGGGGGUAGGGCGCGCCUCCCACCCUCGUGGCCAGGGUGUGGCCCCCCUCUGGUAUUUUCUCCGCUCAAUAUUUUUUAUUAAUUCCAAAAAAUGACUUCCGUGAAGUUUCAGGACUUUUGGAGUUGUGCAGAAUAGGUCUCUAAUAUUUGCUCCUUUUCCAGCCCAAAAUUCCUGCUGUCGGCAUUCUCCCUCUUCAUGUAAACCUUGUAAAAUAAGAGAGAAUAGGCAUAAGUAUUGUGACAUAACGUGUAAUAACAACCCAUAAUGCAAUAAAUAUCGAUAUAAAAGAAUGAUGCAAAAUGGGCGUAUCAACUCCCCCAAGCUUAGACCUCGCUUGUCCUCAAGCGGAAGCCGAUAACGAUAAAUAUGUCCACAUGUUUAGAGAUAGAGGUGUCGAUAAAAUAAAAUACGGACAUGAGGGCAUCAUGAUCAUUCUUAUAACAGCAACAUAUAUGGAUAUUGUCAUAUGAUUUCUUAUGCUCAAGUAAUAAUCUAUUCACAAUGUUAAGUAUGAAUCAGAAACUUGAUUGAGAACCAACAAACUAAUAUCUCAGUCAUUGAAGUAAUUGCAAUUUAUCAUAACAUCAGAAAGAGUCAUCAUAAGAGCUUUUCAGCAAGUCCACAUACUCAACUAUCAUUUAGUCUUUCACAAUUGCUAACACUCACGCAAUACUUAUGGUUAUGGAGUUUUAAUCGGACACAGAGAAAGAUAGGGGCUUAUAGUGUUGCCUCCCAACCUUUUACCUCAAGGGUGAUGUCAACAAUAAUAGUUCAUGCUAACUUACAACCAAUUAUUUAUAUAUAUAAAAAGGAAAGGUGAAGAUCACCAUGACUCUUGCAUAAGGUAAAAGUAAAAGAUAGGCCCUUCGCAGAGGGAAGCAGAGGUUGUCAUGUGCUUUUGGGGUUGGAUGCACGAAAUCUUAAUGCAAAAGAACGUCACUUUAUAUUGCCACUUGUGACAUGGACCUUUAUUAUGCAGGCCGUCGCUUUUAUUGCUUCCAUAUCACAAGAUCGUAUAAAGUUUAUUUUCUCCACACUAAUAGAUCAUACAUAUUUAGAAGCAAUUUUUAUUGCAAGCAACAUGACAACUUACUCGAAGGAUCUUACUCAAUCCAUAGGUAGAUAUGGUGGACUCUCAUGGCAAAACUGGGUUUAAGGACAUUCGGAAGCACAAGUAGUAUCUCUACUUAGUGCAAAGAAUUUGGCUAGCAUGAGAGGGAAAGGCAAGCUCAGCAUGUUGGAUGAUCCAUGACAACAUACUUUAUUUCAGAUAUAAGAAAACAUAACCCAUUACAUUGUCUUCCUUGUCCAACAUCAACUCUUUAGCAUGUCAUACUUUAAUGAGUGCUCACAAUCAUAAAAGAUGUCCAAGAUAGUAUAUUUAUAUGUGAAAACCUCUCUUUCUUUAUUACUUCCUAUUAAUUGCAACGAUGACCAAAACUAAAUUUGUGAACUCUCAACAACUUUUAAUCAUCAUACUCUUUAUAUGUGAAGUCAUUAUUCUCCAUAGGAUCAAUAUAAUCUCUUUAUUUCUUUUUAUUCUUUCUCUUUUCGUUUAUUCCCUCAAGAUCAUAGCAAAAUAAUCAAGCCCUUGACUCAACACUAAUCUUUAUUAUAUAGCUCACGGACUCGAUUACAUAGAAGGAUCAUAAGGCAAAACUCAAAACUAAAUCAUACUAAAACUUUAAUCUACUAGAUCAAGAUAUUACCAAAAGGGUCGAACUAAGAAAAACGGUAAAGAUAGGAAUGUGAUGGUGAUACGAUACCGGGGCACCUCCCCCAAGCUUGGCAGCUGCCAAGGGGAGUGCCCAUACCCAUGUGAUUAUGUCUCUUUUGCUGAUGAAGGAGAUGGAGGUGAUGAUGGAUAGUCGCACAUUGAGCGUAGGAGGUCCUCCAAUUUGCGGAUAAUGCCCUUGAGUGCGAUGAUAUACUCCUUCAACAAAAUAUUUUCACGUGUGAGAUACUUGUUUUGUAUACGAGCUAACUCAAUCAUCUUGAAAGCUUCGAUCUCAGUUGGGGUAAGAAGAUUGUGAUCAAGUUGAAGGAUGUCUUCUGCUGCCGGAACUUGGUCCUCUGUGGCCUUCUUGAUCCCUUCAUCCUUGUUGAUCUCCAUGGGUUCUUCCCUCUUCAGCUCUAUCUUCAUUAGCCAAGCAUCGUUGUCACAAUUGUUGGAGGAGGGGGACGACAUGAUGCCUGGCCUUGACAACCCUGACAGAAAACAGCUCGAAAAAAGAACAGAGGAUAAUUGCGUGAUACGGUGGUCAAAACCUUCGGGAGAUUAUAUAAUGAAUUUUUACCGACCAAAGGAAGUAUCGCACAAGAAAACGGAGUCCGGAGAGUACACGAGGUGCCCACGAGGUAGGGGGGCGCUCCCAGGGGGGUAGGGCACGCCUCCCACCCUCGUGGAAGCCUCGUGUCCCUCCCGGACUGCUUCUUAUUUUCCUAUUUUCUUAAAUAUUCCAAAACGGAGAAAAAUUGCCAUUAGAAUUGUUUUGGAGUCGGUUUACUUACCGUACCACAUACCUAUUCCUUUUCGGAGUCUGAAACGUUCUGGAAAGUGUCCCUUAUGUAUUCCUCCAGUGUUACGGUUUCAAUAACAUUAGUUUCAACAUUUAUAGGAUUACCUGAGAUAUAAUGUUUGAUUCUUUGACCGUUCACCACCUUCGGAUUUGUGCCUUCGAAGUUAUUGAUUUUUAGGGCACCGGAACGAUAGACCUCCUCGAUAACGUAAGGACCUUCCCAUUCAGAGUGAAGUUUUCCUGCAAAAAAUCUUAAACGUGAGUUGAAUAGCACCACAUAAUCACCUACAUUAAACUCACGCUUUUGUAUCCUUUUGUCAUGCCAUCUUUUAACUUUUUCUUUAAACAGUUUGGCAUUCUCAUAAGCCUGGGUUCUCCAUUCAUCAAGUGAGCUAAUGUCAAAUAACCUCUUCUCACCGGCAAGUUUGAAAUCAUAGUUGAGCUCUUUAAUGACCCAAUAUGCCUUAUGUUCUAGUUCGAGAGGUGAGUGACAUGCUUUCCCAUAAACCAUUUUAUACGGAGACAUACCCAUAGGAUUUUUAUAUGCAGUUCUAUAGGCCCAUAACGCAUCAUCAAGGCCUUCCUCCACUAGCAGGUUUCUUCGGAAAACUCAUCAAGUUUCUUGGACCAAUUCUUUCUAGAUCUAUUAACAGUCUUUUGAAAAAUUAACUUGAGCUCUCUAUUACUCAAUUCUACUUGACCACUAGACUGUGGGUGAUAAGGGGAUGCAAUUAUAUGAUUAACAUCAUACUUAGCAAGCAUUUUACGGAAGGCACCAUGAAUAAAAUGUGAACCACCAUCAGUCAUUAAGUAUCUAGGGACUCCAAACCUCGGAAAAAUAACUUCUUUAAGCAUCUUAAUAGAGGUGUUAUGAUCAGCACUACUAGUUGGAAUAGCUUCUACCCACUUAGUAACGUAAUCAACAGCAACUAAAAUAUGUGUAUACCCAUUAGAGGAAGGAAACGGUCCCAUAUAAUCAAAGCCCCAAACGUCGAAUGGUUCAAUAACAAGUGAAUAAUUCAUAGGCAUUUCUUGACGUCUACUAAUAUUACGAAUUCUUUGACAUUCAUCACAAGAUAAGACAAACUUACGGGCAUCCUUGAAGAGAGUGGGCCAAUAAAAACUGGAUUGCAAUACCUUAUGUGCAGUUCUAUCUCCAGCAUGGUGUCCUCCAUAAGCUUCGGAGUGACACUUGCGUAUGAUCUGUUCAUGUUCAUGCUCAGGUAUACAAGGUCUAAUAACACCAUCUACUCCUUCUUUAUAAAGGUCUGGGUCAUCCCAAAAGUAAUGCCUCAAAUCAUAGAAAACUUUUUCUUUUGCUGGUAUGUGAAACUAGGUGGUAUAAAUUUAGCAACAAUGUAAUUAGCAUAAUCAGCAUACCAUGGAGCAGUACGAGAAGCAUUUAUGACAGCUAAUUGUUCAUCAGGAAAGCUAUCAUCAAUAGGUAGUGGGUCAUCAAGAACAUUCUCUAACCUAGACAAGUUGUCUGCAACGGGGUUCUCAGCUCCCUUUCUAUCAAUAAUAUGCAAAUAAAAUUCUUGUAGUAGGAGAACCCAUCUAAUAAGUCUAGGUUUAGCAUCUUUCUUUUCCAUAAGAUAUUUAAUAGCAGCAUGAUCAGUGUGAAUAGUUACUUUAGAAUCAACAAUAUAAGGUCUGAACUUAUCACAAGCAAAUACAACUGCUAAGAAUUCCUUUUCAGUAGUAGCAUAAUUUCUCUGGGCAUUGUCUAGAGUUUUACUAGCAUAUUGAAUAACAUUUAAUUUCUUAUCAACUCUUUGUCCUAGAACAACACCUACCGCAUAAUCACUAGCAUCACACAUAAUUUCAAAGGGUAAAUUCCAAUCAGGUGGCUGAAAAAUAGGUGCAGAAAUUAAUGCUUUCUUAAGUAUUUCAAAUGCUUCCACACAAUCAUCAUCAAAGACAAAAGGGAUAUCUUUCUGUAAUAGAUUAGUCAGAGGCCGAGAAAUUUUUGAGAAGUCCUUAAUGAACCUCCUAUAAAAACCGGCAUGACCAAGGAAACUUCUUAUACCUUUGAUGUCCUUGGGACACGGCAUCUUUUCAAUAGCAUCAACUUUAGCUUUAUCAACUUCAGUACCUCUUUCAGAAAUUUUAUGCCCCAAGACAAUUCCUUCAUUAACCAUAAAGUGGCAUUUCUCCCAGUUCAAGACAAGGUUAGUUUCUUCACAUCUCUGCAGAACUCGAUCAAGGUUUCUCAAGAAAUCAUCAAAAGAGGAUCCAUAAACGGAGAAAUCAUCCAUGAAAACCUCACAAAUCUUUUCGCAAAAAUCAGAGAAUAUAGCCAUCAUGCAUCUUUGAAAGGUAGCAGGUGCAUUACAUAAACCAAAAGGCAUACGUCUAUAAGCAAAGUUACCGAAAGGGCAAGUAAAAGUGGUCUUCUCUUGAUCAUCAGCUGACACAGGUAUUUGAGAGAAACCAAAAUAACCAUCUAGAAAGAAAAAAUGUGUGUGUUUGGAUAAUCUUUCUAGCAUUUGGUUAAUGUAUGGCAAAGGGUAAUGAUCUUUUUUAGUAGCUUUAUUUAAUUUGCAGAAAUCAAUUACCAUCCUAUAACCUGUAAUAAUUCUUUAUGGAAUCAAUUCAUCUUUAUCAUUAGGAACGACAGUAAUACCUCCCUUCUUAGGGACACAAUGGACAUGACUUACCCACUGACUAUCAGCAACAGGGUAAAUUAUACCUGCUUCAGGGAGCUUUAAUAUCUCCUUUCUUACCACUUCUUUCAUCUUAGGAUUUAGCCAUCGUUGGUGAUCAAUAACUGGUUUGGCGUCUUUCUCCAAAUUUAUUUUGUGUUGACAUAGAGUGGGACUAAUGCCCUUAAGAUCAUCAAGAGUAUAUCCAAUAGCAGCACGGUGCUUCUUCAGAGUUUUCAAUAAUUUCUCUUCUUCAUGCUCUAAAAGGUUAGCACUAAUAAUAACAGGAUAUAUCUUCUUUUCAUCAAGAUAAGGAUAUUUAAGAGUAUCAGGUAAAGGUUUAAGCUCAAACACGGGAUCACCCUUGGGUGGAGGAGGAUCCCCUAGGAUUUCAACAGGCAAAUUGUGUUUCAGAAUAGGUCCCUGUUUAAAGAAUACUUCAUCUAUUUCCCUUCUUUCUUUCAUAAACAUAUCAUUUUCAUCGUCGAGCAAAUAUUGUUCUAAAGGAUCAUUAGAAGGCAUGACAAUAGAAGCAAGACCAAUAAUUUCAUCUUUACUAGGCAAUUCUUCCUCACGGGGUUGUCUACUAAAUUUAGCAAAAUUAAACUCAUGAGAUAUAUCACCCAAACCAAUAGUAACAACAUCCUUUACGCAGUCUAUCCUAGCAUUAAUAGUGUUUAGGAAGGGUCUACCAAAUAUAAUGGGACAAAAGCUAUCUUGUGGGGAACCAAGAACAAGAAAAUUAGCAGGAUAUUUAACUUUCCCACACAAGACUUCAACAUCUCUAACAAUCCCAAUUGGUGAAAUAGUAUCUCUAUUGGCAAGCUUAAUUGUAACAUCAAUUUCUUCUAUCUCAGCAGGUGCAAUAUCAUGCAUAAUUUCUUUGUAUAAGGAAUGAGGUAUUGCACUUGCACUAGCACCCAUAUCACAUAAGCCAUGAUAACAACGAUCUCCUAUAUUAACAGAAACAACAGGCAUGCCUACAACAGGUCUAUGUUUAUUUUUGGCAUCAGGUCUAGCAAUUCUAGCAGCUUCAUUGCAGAAGUAAAUAACAUGCCCAUCAAUAUUAUCGGCCAAGAGAUCUUUAGCCAUAGCAAUUUUAGGUUCAACUUUAACUUGCUCAGGGGGUUUGUGUGUCCUGAUAUUACUUUUGUUGACUACAGUUCAAGCUUUGGCAUGAUCCUUUAUUCUACCAGGGAAAGGUGGCUUCUCAAUAUAAGGAGUAGGAACAACAGGAUCAUCAUAAGUGAUAGUCUUUUCUUCAACUUUAAUACAUGCAACUACUUUUACUUCAAUGGGAGGAUUAUAUUUAAACCACUUCUCCUUAGGGAGACCAACAUGAGUAGCAAAGGAUUCACAGAAAAAAGCUACUAUCUCAGAGUCAAGUCCAUAUUUAGUCCUAAAUUCACGGAAAGCAUCGGUAUCCAUAAAAGAUUUAACACAAUCAAACUUAGGUGUUAUACCUGACUCUUUACCUUCAUCGAGGUCCCAAUCUUCAGAGUUGCGUUUAAUUAUUUCCAAUAAAUCCCAUUUGAAUUCAAUAGUCUUCAUCAUAAAAGAGCUAGUACAAGAAGUAUCGAGCAUGGAGCGAUUAUUGAGAGAAAGCCGAGCAUAAAUUUUUUGAAUAAUCAUUUCUAUUGAGAGCUCAUGAUUGGGGCAUGAAUAUAACAUUGACUUAAGCCUCCCCCAAGCUUGAGCGAUGCUUUCUCCUUCGCGAGGCCAAAAAUUAUAUAUAUAAUUAUGAUCACGAUGAACAAGAUGCAUAGGAUAAAACUUCUGAUGAAAUUCCAAUUUCAAUCGUUUGUAGUUCCAUGAUCCCAUAUCAUCACAUAGCCUAUACUUUGUCAAUGCCUCUCCCUUCAAAGAUAAAGGUAAGACCUUCUUCUUGAUAACAUCAUUGGGCAUAUCUGCAAGCUUAAAUAAUCCACAAACUUCAUCCACAUAGAUUAGGUGUAAAUCGGGAUGCAAUGUUCCAUCUCCUGCAAAAGGAUUAGCUAGCAGUUUCUCUAUCACACCCGAAGGAAUUUCAAAGUAAACAUUUUCAGUAGGUUCAGUAGGUUGAGGAGCAACUCUUUGCUCUACUGGUCGGGGUGAAGAUACCCCGAACAAGCCCCUCAGAGGAUUACUUUCCAUAGUAACAAGUGACAGUAACUUUCAGCACACUAUAUAAAUUUUUCCUUACCAAAUUCCACCUACCAAAGGCGCUUCACUCCCCAGCAAAGGCGCCAGAAAAGAGUCUUGAUGGCCCACAAGUAUAGGGGAUCUAUCGUAGUCCUUUCGAUAAGUAAGAGUGUCGAACCCAACGAGGAGCAGAAGGAAAUGAUAAGCGGUUUUCAGCAAGGUAUUCUCCGCAAGCACUGAAAUUAUCGGUAACAGAUAGUUUUGUGAUAAGGUAAUUUGUAACGGGUAACAAGUAACAAGUGUAAAUAAAGUGCAGCAAUAUGGCCCAAUCCUUUUUGUAGCAAAGGACAAGCCUGGACAAACUCUUAUAUAGAGAAAAGCACUCCCGAGGACACAUGGGAAUUAUCGUCAAGCUAGUUUUCAUCACGCUCAUAUGAUUCGCGUUCGUUACUUUGAUAAUUUGGUAUGUGGGUGGACCGGUGCUUGGGUGCUGUCCUUUCUUGGUAAAGCAUCCCACUUAUGAUUAACCCCUAUUGCAAGCAUCCGCAACUACAAAAGAAGUAUUAAGGUAAACCUAACCAUAGCAUGAAACAUAUGGAUCCAAAUCAUCCCCUUACGAAGCAACUCAUAAACUAGGGUUUAAGCUUCUGUCACUCUAGCAACCGAUCAUCUACUUAUUACUUCCCAAUGCCUUCCUCUAGGCCCAAACGAUGGUGAAGUGUCAUGUACUCGACGUUCACAUAACACCACUAGAGGAAAGGCAACAUACAUCUCAUCAAAAUAGCGAACGAAUACUUAUAGCAAUGCUUCUCCCAUGUCCUCAGGAACAAACGUAACUACUCACAAAUCAUAUUCAUGUUCAUAAUCAGAGGGGUAUUAAUAUGCAUAAUGGAUCUGAACAUAUGAUCUUCCACCAAAUAAACCAACUAGCAUCAACUACAAGGAGUAAUCAACACUACUAACAACCCAGAGGUACCAAUCUGAGUCUUUGGGACAAAGAUUGGAUACAAGAGAUGAACUAGGGUUUGAGAGGAGAUGGUGCCGGUGAAGAUGUUGAUGGAGAUGAUGGGCACCGGACGAAAGACUUCAUAUAGCAGAAGAUGGGCACCGGAGGCCUACCAGGGGGGCCAUGAGGCAAGGGGGUAGGGCGCGCCUCCCACCCUCGUGGCCAGGGUGUGGCCCCCCUCUGGUAUUUUCUCCGCUCAGUAUUUUUUAUUAAUUCCAAAAAUGACUUCCGUGAAGUUUCAGGACUUUUGGAGCUGUGCAGAAUAGGUCUCUAAUAUUUGCUCCUUUUCCAGCCUAGAAUUCCAGCCGCCGGCAUUCUCCCUCUUCAUAUAAACCUUGUAAAAUAAGAGAGAAUAGGCAUAAUCAUUGUGACAUAACGUGUAAUAAUAGCCCAUAAUGCAAUAAAUAUUGAUAUAAAAGCAUGAUGCAAAUGGACGUAUCAGGAAACAUCCCUCCGGGAGGGGGAAAUCAUCACCAUCGUCAUCACCAUCGAUCCUCCCAUCGGGAGGGGGUCAAUCUCCAUCAGCAUCUUCACCAACACCAUCUCCUCUCAAACCCUAGUUCAUCUCUUGUAUCCAAUCUUUAUCUCAAAACCUCAGAUUGGUACCUGUGGGUUACUAGUAGUGUUGAUUACUCCUUGUAGUUGAUGCUAGUUGGUUUAUUUGGUGGAAGAUCAUAUGUUUAGAUCCCUUAUGCAUAUUAAUACCCCUCUGAUUAUGAACAUGAAUAUGAUUUGUGAGUAGUUACGUUUGUUCCUGAGGACAUGGGAGAAGUCUUGCUAUAAGUAGUCAUGUGAAUUUGGUAUUCGUUCGAUAUUUUGAUGAGAUGUAUGUUGUCUCUCCUCUAGUGGUGUUAUGUGAACGUCGACUACAUGACACUUCACCAUUAUUUGGGCCUAGAGGAAGGCAUUGGGAAGUAAUAAGUAGAUGAUGGGUUGCUAGAGUGACAGAAGCUUAAACCCUAGUUUAUGUGUUGCUUCGUAAGGGGCUGAUUUGGACCCACAUGUUUCAUGCUAUGGUUACCUUAAUACUUCUUUUGUAGUUGCGGAUGAUUGCGAUAGGGGUUAAUCAUAAGUGGGAUGCUUAUCCAAGGAAGGGCAGCACCCAUGCACCGAUGCACCCACAUAUCAAAUUAUCGAAGUAACGAAUGCGAAUCAUAUGAGGGUGAUGAAAAUAAGCUUGACGAUAAUUCCCAUGUGUCCUCGGGAGCGCUUUCCUUCAUAUAAGAGUUUUUCCAGGCUUGUACUUUGCUACAAAAAGGAUUGGACCACCUUGCUGCACUUUAUUUACUUUUAUUACUUGUCACCCGUUACAAAUUACCUUAUCACAAAACUAUCUGUUACCGAUAAUUUCAGUGCUUGCAAAGAAUACCUUACUGAAAACCGCUUGUCAUUUCCUUCUGCUCCUUGUUGGGUUCGACACUCUUACUUAUCGAAAGGACAAUGAUAGAUCCCCUAUACUUGUGGGUCAUCAGAAUCCUACUAGGACUUGGAGUCCUAGUAGGACUCCCUUCUCCUGGCGCGCCGUACAGGGCCAACGCGCCGUACAGGGCCGGCCAGCCUCCCCCUCCCCUCCUAUAUAUACGGGGGCAGGGGGCACCCUAGAACACACAAGUUUCUCUUAACCGUGUGCGGUGCCCCCCUCCACAGUUACACACCUCGGUCAUAUCGUUGUAGUGCUUAGGCGAAGCCCUGCACCGGUAACUUCAUCAUCAUUAUCGCCACGCCGUUGUGCUGAUGGAACUCUCCCUCAUCCUCAACUGGUUCAAGAGCCCGAGGGACGUCAUCGAGAUGAAUGUGUGCUGAACGCGGAGGUGCCGUACGUUUGGUAAUUGGAUCGGUUGGAUCACGAAGACGUUCGACUACAUCAACCGCGUUACUAAACGCUUCCGCUUUCGGUCUACGAGGGUAUGCGGACACACUCUCCCCGCUCGUUGCUAUGCAUCUCCUAGAUAGAUCUUGCAUGAUCGUAGGUAAAUUUUUUGAAAUACUGCGUUCCCCAAUAGUGGCAUCAGAGCCAGGUCUAUGCGUAGAUGUUAUAUGCACGAGUAGAACACAAUGAGUUGUGGGCGAUAAUAGUCAUACUGCUUACCAGCAACAUCUUACUUUGAUUCGGCGGUAUUGUUGGAUGAAGCGGCCCGGACCGACAUUACAUGACCGCGUUCAUGAGACUGGUUCUACCGACGUGCAUCGCACACAGGUGGCUAGCGGGUGCUGUUUCUCCAACUUUAGUUGAAUCGAGUUUGACUAUGCCCGGUCCUUGUUGAAGGUUAAAAUAGCACACUUGACGAAAAAUCGUUGUGGUUUUGAUGCGUAGGUAAGAACGGUUCUUGCUAGAAGCCCGUAGCAGCCACGUAAACUUGCAACAACAAAGUAGAGGACGUCUAACUUUUUUUGCAAGGUGUGCUGUGAUGUGAUAUGGUCAAGACGUGAUGAGAUAUAAAUUUUUGUAUGAGAUUAUCAUGUUUUGUAACAGUUAUCGGCAACUGGUAGGAGCCAUAUGGUUGUCGCUUUAUUGUAUGAAAUGCAAUCGCCAUGUAAUUGCUUUGCUUAUCACUAAGCGAUAGCGAUAGUCGUAGAAGCAAUAGUUGGCAAGACAACAACGAUGCUUCGAUGGAGAUCAAGGUGUCAAGCCGGUGACGAUGGUGAUCAUGGCGGUGCUUUGGAGAUGGAGAUCAAAGGCACAAGAUGUUGAUGGCCAUAUCAUAUCACUUAUUUUGAUUGCAUGUGAUGUUUAUCCUUUAUGCAUGUUAUUUUUCUUAGUACGGUGGUAGCAUUAUAAGAUGAUCUCUCACUAAAUUUCAAGGUAUAAGUGUUCUCCCUGAGUAUGCACAGUUGCUACAGUUCGUCGUGCCGAGACACCACGUGAUGAUCAGGUGUGAUAAACUCUACGUUCACAUACAACGGGUGCAUGCCGGUUUUGCACACGCAGAAUACUUGGGUGAAACUUGACGAGCCUAGCAUAUGCAUAUAUGGCCUCGGAACACUGAGACCGAAAGGUCGAACGUGAAUCAUGUAGUAGAUAUGAUCAACAUAGUGAUGUUCAUCAUUGAAAACUACUCCAUCUCACGUGAUGAUCAGACAUGGUUUAGUUGAUUUGGAUCACGUGAUCAUUUAGAUGACUAGAGGGAUGCCUAUCUAAGUGGGAGUUCUUAAGUAAUAUGAUUAAUUGAACUUUAAGUUAUCAUGAACUUAGUACCUGAUUGUAUUUUGCAUGUCUAUGCUGUUGUAGAUCAAUGGCCUGUCCUACCGUUCCUUUGAACUUUAAUUCGUUCCUAGAGAAAGCUAAGUUGAAAGAUGAUGGUAGCAACUACACGGACUGGGUCCGUAACUUGAGGAUUAUCCUCAUUGCUGCACAGAAGAAUUACGUCCUGGAAGCACCGCUAGGUUCAAGACCCGCUGCAGGAGCUACUCCAGAUGUUAUGAACGUCUGGCAGAGCAAAGCUGAUGACUACUUGAUAGUUCAGUGUGCCAUGCUUUACGGCUUAGAACCGGGACUUCAAUGACGUUUUGAACAUCAUGGAGCAUAUGAGAUGUUCCAGGAGUUGAAGUUAAUAUUUCAAGCAAAUGCCCGGAUUGAGAGAUAUGAAGUCUCCAAUAAGUUCUACAGCUGCAAAAUGGAGGAGAAUAGUUCUGUCAGUGAACAUAUACUCAGAAUGUCUAGGUACCACAAUCACUUGACUCAACUGGGAGUUAAUCUUCCUAAUGAUAGUGUCAUUGACAGAGUUCUUCAAUCACUGCCACCAGGCUACAAAAGCUUCGUGAUGAACUAUAAUAUGCAAGGGAUGGAUAAGACAAUUCCUGAGCUCUUCACAAUGCUAAAGGCUGCGGAGGUAGAAAUCAAGAAGGAGCAUCAAGUGUUGAUGGUUAAUAAGACCACUAGUUUCAAGAAAAAGGGCAAAGGGAAGAAGGAGACCUUCAAGAAGAACGGCAAGCAAGUUGCUGCUCAAGUGAAGAAGCCCAAGUCUGGACCUAAGCAUGAGACUGAGUGCUUCUACUGCAAAGGGACUGGUCAUUGGAAACGGAACUGCCCCAAGUAUUUGGCGGAUAAGAAGGAUGGAAAAGUGAAAGGUAUAUUUGAUAUACAUGUUAUUAAUGUGUACCUUACUAAUGCUCGUAGUAGCGCCUGAGUAUUUGAUACUGGUUCUUUUGCUCAUAUUUGCAACUCGAAACAGGGGCUAUGGAUUAAACGAAGAUUGGCUAAGGACGAAGUGACGAUGCGCGUGGGAAAUGGUUCCAAAGUCGAUGUGCGAGCAAUAGACUUGUAGGAAAUAAUACAUACUGAUGUAUGCGGUCCGAUGAGUGUUGAGGCUCGCGAUGGGUAUCGUUAUUUUCUGACCUUCACAGAUGAUUUGAGCAGAUAUGGGUAUACUACUUGAUGAAGCAUAAGCCUGAACGUUUGAAAAAUUCAAAGAAUUUCAGAGUGAAGUGGAAAAUCAUCGUAACAAGAUAAUAAAGUUUCUAUGAUCUGAUCAUGGAGGUGAAUAUUUGAGUUAUGAGUUUGGUCUUCAUUUGAAAUAGUGCAGAAUAGUUUAACAACUCACGCCACCUGGAACACCACAGCGUAAUGGUGUGUCCGAAUGUCGUAAGUGUACUUUAUUGGAUAUGUUGCGAUCUAUGAUGUCUCUUACUGAUUUACCGCUAUCGUUUUGGAGUCCUAGUAGGACUCCCUUCUCCUGGCAGGGCCGGUCGUCCUCCCCCUCCCCUCCUUUAUAUACGGGGGCAGGGGGCACCCUAGAACACACAAGUUUCUCUUAACCGGGUGCGGUGCCCCCUCCACAGUUACACACCUCGGUCAUAUCGUCGUAGUGCUUAGGCGAAGCCCUGCGCCGGUAACUCCAUCAUCACCAUCGCCACGCCGUCGUGCUGACAGAACUCUCCCUCGUCCUCAACUGGAUCAAGAGCCCGAGGGACGUCAUCGAGCUGAACGUGUGCUGAACGCAGAGGUGCCGUACGUUCGGUACUUGGAUCGGUUGGAUCGCGAAGACGUUCGACUACAUCAACCGUGUUACUAAACGAUUCCGCUUUUGGUCUACGAGGGUACGUGGACACACUCACCCCGCUCGUUGCUAUGCAUCUCCUAGAUAGAUCUUGCGUGAUCGUAGGUAAAUUUUUUGAAAUACUGCGUUCCCCAAUAAGUUUAGCUACACGUUUGCUCCAUGGAGGCGCACCGACAUGACGUGGUACGCCGGCGCCUCCUAUACCGUGGAGUGGUAGGAACUGAUCGAAAUCCGCUGGUGGGUUUUGACUUGGUGAUCUCUGCCACCCACGUCCCCCAUGCCCACUACCGCAAGCAGAGGUACGUCCUCUGUGAUGCCGGUGAUAGUUGCAUGUCAAGGAACCGGGACACACCACCGCUGGAGGAGGACGCGUCACCGCGACCUUGGGCUCGGGACUAAGCGUGGCAGCGCCGAUCGAUGCUUCUGGUCAGCGGUGAGGACGUAAGGCAGCUGGAUCCAGCCAUUUGAGCGGCAUGGUGGUGCCUUGGUGCAGUGGCUAUUCUGUGUGUUGACUGUGGGGUCAGUUGACCCCACAACUUUUCGUAAAAACAACCUAAAAACGCUGUACAUUGUGAAGAUUAAAAAAAAUAGCAACGACCCCACAGAUUCUUGAGGCUGGCUUCGCCACGGUUGGAGUGGAUGCAUGGGCAGGCCAGCAAGGGGAUGCAUGUGCUUGGGCGGUGGCGGAGUGGAUAAGGUCGAGCGAUGAAAGUGGGGAAAUUUUACUCCAGCGGCGGCGGGGUAUAUUUAAGAGUUGGCCGGGAUAGAGUAUAUUUAAGAGUUAGCCGGGCUAUGAAGUAAAAAAUUUGCUCCUCUAAAGAAGAUAAGAGAUUGUUUAGGUGCGCUUUAGAGGAGUAAAAUUGAAUUUUUACUCCUCUAAAGCUUCAUAGGGGAUCGGUUAGAGAUGCUCUAACAACAUACCUCCGUGUGCAUGUGAACAACAAAUUUGGGUACCUUUUUUAGAUUCAAAAAAAUUGGGUAGUUGGGUAGCCAUCCAAAUUUUGCUGGCGGUUCCAACAAACAAAGCUACCAAAGCGACCAAAAUAGCCACAGGAAAAACAAACGCCACCCGACCCACCAUGCGUCCAUGUCGACCAAUUCCUAUAUCGGAUGUCAUCGCCGCCACUACUGCACCUUGCCGCUCAAAUCCAUCACUCAUGGCUGACACCGCGACCACCGUCGAGCUCGCAACUCCGCUCAGGCCCACCCGAUUCCGGUUGCCCCAUAGCUUUCCACCGCGGAUCCUCGCCUCCCGCCCCAAGCCCCCCCCCCCCUUGCCGCCGGAAAAUAUGUUGUGGAGCUUAGGCUCAGGUGCACCUCCUUAGCUAGCCAUCCAUCUCUGCAUCGCGAUUCGUGCAAGGACUUUUGUCUUUUUUGUUUCUUCCAAAUAAAAUAACAUAUGAACUUCAAACUUUGCAGCACAGCAAAACAUUCUAACUAGAAUGUGGGAAAAAAACUUUUAGAUUUUCUGGUGCAACAUAAAUACUAAAAAUAAUAUUUUUGAAUAAAGAAAAUCACAUUGUAGUUAGAAUGUUUUGCUAUCUUAUAAAGUUUGAAGUUCAUAUGUUGUUUUAUUUGGAAGAAACAAAAAAAUAUUCACGUAGUAAGUUAGUUGUCUAGCACAGAUCUCAAAGCUAUAUUGAAGGGUAAGGAUAGAUGGUGUCCAUGAGCUCAAGCUCUAAAAAUCCACGUCCUCCCGUCGCCUCCCCCGACCACCACGUCGUUGAAUCCGCCGCCAAGCUCCCGCCGCCGUCCACGAGCACCACAUCACCAGACCAGCCAUUGAGCUUCCAGCCGUGCCUACCCCGAGUACCGCGCUGCCGGAUUCCAUCACCAUCCGUGAACAUGUUGAAGUUGCCGUCGUCGAAGUAUUGCGGUGUGAGGCUCCAGCCAUGGGGCAAAUGGGUAGUGGUGAUCUCUAUCUAGAACGCGGGAGCGUGUGUUGCUUGGCACGUUUGCCACUGCGGAGAAGGCAGCAUGCAUCUACGACGCCAUGGCACUCCACUUCUUCGGAGCCAGGUGAAGCUCAACUUCCCCGCCGACACCACCUCCGCAGUCGCCAUUGUGCCUUGUGUUAGCGUCGUCUCCCGAGCCGAGGAGAGGGAACACCGCUUGGCCGAGGUGCAACUUGUAGCCGAGCGGGCCAAUGACACCUUCAUGGCUGCUCUCUUCCUGGAGGAGCUGCUGCUCCUCGUCGAGAACUGAGCAUUCUUCGAGUCCAUAGAGCACGAGCACAAGGUCAAGCGCAAGUGCCAUGAGCUCACCCGCCUCAAGGCUGAGUGCGAGGAGAUGUUCGAGAAGCUCAUCGAUCCCGCGAUGAUUUGGUGUUUGCGUUUCCACACAUGGAAUUGAAUUUUAAUCCGAAUCUCUUGCAGAGUAAUAUAAAUCAUGUUUCGUCACUACAAGUGGGCCCCACGCCAUGUCGAUGGCACGUCAGCCAUAUACGGUGCCACGUCGGCACACUUUAUGUCUAUGGAUGAGAUUAACACCGUAUUAGCACGUUUGUGCCAAGUUUUAGAAUCAGUUCGGUGUAUUUUUUGAAUUCAGGGACUAAAUCAAACGUCUGUGACAAAUUCAAGCACCACUGAUGUAUUUAACUUUUCUUAAACCAUCAAUCAACAAAUUAAAAUAGAGACAUCAUUAUCUUCCAAUCUAACACAACAAGGAUCUAGUUGCAAGUAUCUUUGUCUUUUUCCCAACUUAUCCAAACAUUCCUUCUCGCUCGGCUCGUGGGCCUCGGCAUCGGCGGUGUGCCGGCGCAUGUGCCCGCUCAGCGCCUUAUGUACACCCUGUUAGAAUUAUUGGGAUUUAAACCAUCUGUUAUAUCCAAUAAUUUCUAGGAAAAUCCCAUAGGCCCAUGUGGCACGUUCAUGCAUGACAAGAAAGAAGUUAAAAUAUUUGCGCUAGUGGAAAAUGAAACCGAAUGGUGGUGAAUGAUGACAUUUAUCUCCUCAUUGAUGGCAUCAAUAUUUUGGUUUUGGUUUCAUUUCUUCAUUAGUAUAUUGGUUUCUUCGUACCGUGCGUACUAGCAUAUUUUGUCAUGCAAGAACUUGAAACGAUUUGCCUACUAAUGGGAGACGAAGCUGGCCACUUAAUAGGAUUUUUAGUGCGUCUGUUUCUCCUCUCCUUAAUGAGAAUUAGUGCGUCCAUUUCAGUUUCAUCUCGUUGCUCCUAUAAGAGGUCGCUCCUCUUUCCAACGAGACACAACUCUUCGCAUUGUUCCAGAGCAUUGCACCGUCUACCUCUUUCCCAUCUCGCUUCCUGGCGUGCACCGGAGAGUGAGACAGCAGGCCUCUGAAACCCCGCCUCUUGUGAUCCGGUACGGGAGAGGGGCGAUCAGGUUUUUUGGGAGCGUCCUUACGCGACUGCUGGAGUCUUGUGCAUCGUGGUUGCAAACGGCGACAUCACUGACGACGAGUUCCCCAACGACGACUUCUUCCCCGACGUCAAGGACCUCUUCAGCGACAUGACGAUCGGGACAUCUGCACCUUCUGCUACUGCGCCGUAUGCCAUCUUAUUCUCACUGUUAGGGCUAGUAUUUGGUUUAUUGCUAAUAGCAAUUGACAUAGAUAUGAUGCAUUUUGCUUAUGAUUUUGAUUGUAUGAUUAGUCUCAACGAAUUGUUGCUAGUUUCUAGUUUCAUCAAUAUAUUGCUAUUCAUGUUUUAUCUAUUAUUUUUCUAGAUUAAACUAAACGGGAAAAUGUCUAAUUAUUCAACACACCCUCCCCGGCAGCAGCGCCGAGCCCCGCCACGCUCCUACACUUGGCGCAGUUCUCCGAAGGCGCCAGGUUCAGGCCAGGCAGAUCCCGCCGGCGUCGCACGACGCCAACUCCGUCUUGGUCGCCGCCGCCUCGCAGCUCGGCGCUCUGGCCGCGGCCUCGGCCUCGACACGGUGCCGGCGCAAGUGCCCACCCAGCGCCUGCCCGACGGCGAACUCGAGCCCGCAGACGGGGCACUCGUGCGCCCUCGGCCUGGCCGCCUGCGGCGGCGCCCGGCGGCCGAGGCAGAGCGCCGCGCCGUCGUCGACGCUGCCGGUCGCGUGCUGCGGCUGCGGAUGGUGGAGCCUGGGGCGUUUGUGGCUGGCGCGGUGCCCUCCGAGCGCCUGGAACGUCGGGAACUGCCGGUUGCACGUCUUGCACUCGAACACGCGGUCGCCGCCCAUCGCCUGCGCCGCCCCGGCGACGGCGCGCUGGUGCUGGUGCUGCUGCGCGAGGAGCAUGAGCAGGCGGGCCGUGUCCAGGCUGCCCAGCUCCAUGUCCCACACAUCCCUGCCUCUCUUGCUCAUGGCUCUCUCUCGAGUCUGGACUUGAUCUCUCGCCGGCCGGUUAGGUUGGUAGCCGAAAGUCGCAGCGUACUUAGCGUGCGUUCGUACCACCUUGGCCUGCACUGUGUAAUGGAUAUGUGGCUCUGGGCCGUAUGGUCGAUGCCUCUUAUAUAGUGUGGCGCAGCUUGAGGUUCUCCGGGGUUUGGUGCACGUAGGAAACGGGCGCGCACGCACGAGCACGACUACCACUAGUGGAUCGCGAGUGUUUGUUGGCUUCCAGACGUGGACGUGUGUGCGUCUACUUUUCGAUCGGGAAGUUUGACCGCGCGCCCUGAGGGAGAUUAGUUACUGGUCUACUAGAGUCUACAGUACGACCCGUACCGAAUCUGCGUUCAAUCUUGUCAUGUGACUAGGUAGAUCGCAGUAUCUAGUCUAGUCAACAUGUGUGUUCAGGCGAUCGAGCUGACUCUUCUAGACCGGCCGGCCGGCUGGCCGGCGGCUGCGCGCCCCGGCUAAGCAACCACAGAAUCGUAAACAGCAGACACCUGCAUGCGGACCUGCCCGAUGGACCGUGGCGCGGCGUCACGACUAGGGAUGAAAACGGAGCAGAAACGGACGGAACUGAGUGCUACCAUAUUUGUUUUCAUAUUCUUUUGCAGAAGCGGAAACAAAUACAGAAUCCUGAAAAUGAAUACGGAAACAUAUACUAUCAGAAACGGACACGGAGUGAGUAUAGAUCGGACACAGAAACAGAAGUGGGAGUUGACCGGAACUCAAAAACCCCUUCAAUCACAGGAAAAUACACACAAAAACAAAUAAGUUUAAUGAAUUGUUAACAUGACUACAAAAUAAUAUGUUUAUUUUAGCAACUUAGCAUAGUAUUGUACUAGUUGAAUACAUGUGCGGUAGUAUAGGUUGGGCCUCAAAUGAUCGUGGUUGGGCUACAAAGCAGCCAUAUGCGUAUAGUAAAAACAGAAAUUCCAUAUUCACGGAAACGGAAAGUUUCGUUUCCACGUCUGUUUCACCGGAAAACACCGUUCCGUUUUUGUUUCCGUUUCCGCAUAAAAAAAAUUCCAUUUCCACUUCCGUUUUGCAAAUUUUCGUUUCCGUUUUCAUAUUUCCUCUCUGUUUUCAUUUUUCCUCCGGAAAAGCGGAAAGUUUCCACUCCAUUUUCAUCCUUAGUCGCGACCGACGUCCGUACCGUGUGCGCGGGUGACGUUCUGUCUUCCGUUCGUUCACCGUGCGUGCGUGUUUUUCUUCGACGUAAUAGCAUCCAGUUUAGCUAAAUGUCAAUCGACUGAUUUUGAAAGAGGGUCAGUCGGUUUUCGAGAGUUGGCCGGAGUGAGCCGGAGGUAAGGAAGGAGAAGGAAGGGGCUCGCCGGAGGGUUACUCCAAUAUCUAUCUUAAGGUUCAGGGUGGUGAUGGGGGUGGACGGCGGCAGUGGGGGCGGUGGUGCACUUCGCCGGAGAAAAAACCUAAACACGGGUGCACUAGUAGAAAAAGGGUCAAAUGUGAAGCACAUUAGUACCGGUUUGAUUUUGAGCCGGCACUAAUGUGUCAAUUAGUGCCGGUCCAACGGCUAGGCGGGCGGAGAUCAUUAGUACCGGUUCGUGAGCAACCUUUUGUACCGGUUCGUGUCACGAACCGGUACUAAUGAUGUUGCGUCAGGCUGUGGUCAGGCUGGGGCCCCACGGGCACCUUUAGUACCGGUUCGUGCCAUGAACCGGUGCUAUAGUUUCUUAGUAAGCUGUUUUUUAGUCCCACCUCGCGAAGAGAGAGGCACUAGGAGCGGUUUAUAAGCCCUGAGUGCAGAGACGAUGAAGGAGAGACGCAAUGCUCAUCUGCACGUUGCUUAGCUUUAAGCCUUGAGGAAUAGUGUAGACUGCACGGAGCUAUGUGCAGUGCAGUUUGCACUAUUCCAAAAGGCUUGAAGCUAAUUAACGAGCAUUGUGCCUCUUUUUUAUCUUAAUUAACUUAUUACAAGUCCGGACUUCUUGUGUUACGGCAAAAACUGGACGCACUUCAUGUACGAACUGGACAAUCUCUUUCGAAGCAUCAGGGUUUCUGACGAGAACUCAUCUGUUACAUGGGCACUUCAUUUUUUUAAACUCAUUACAACUCCAGACUUUUUUGCGUUCCGUACACACCAUUCAAAGCGGCGUCAUCAAUUUCCAACACGUUCUGACAUCAUUUGCUGUUUUUCAGUCAUUUGAACUCCAGCCUAUUUUUGUAUUCAGUAUGCAUCAUUCAAAGCGACGUCAUCAAUUUCCAACACGUUCUGACAUCAUUUGCUGUUUUUCAGUCAUUUACUGAUUUGUUUAGAGAGCUAAAUGAUGGUGAAAUUGAAAAUCACUACAAAAUGAACUCUGAAAAUGUUGGAACUUGGCAUGGUAUCAUCAUUUCGCCCGCAUAGCAUGUGCAAAAGAGUAGAGAGGGUCACGGCGAAAACUGGACGCACCUCGUGUACAAACUGGACAAUCUCUUUCGGAGUAUCAGGGUUUCGGACGAGAACUCAUCUGUUACACGGGCACUUCAAUGUUUUUUAAACUUAUUUGAACUCCAGCCUAUUUUUGCGUUCAGUAUGCAUCUUUCAAAGCGACGUCAUGAACUUCCAACACGUUCUGACAUCAUUUGCAGUUUUUCAGUCAUUUACCGAUUUGUUUAGGGAGCUAAAUGACGGUGAAAUUGAAAAUCACUACAAAAUGAACUCUGAAAAUGUUGGAACUUGGCAUGGUAUCAUCAUUUCGCCCGCAUAGCAUGUGCAAAAGAGUAGAGAGGGUCACGGCAAAAACUGGACGCACCUCGUGUACAAACUGGACAAUCUCUUUCGGAGUAUCAGGGUUUCGGACGAGAACUCAUCUGUUACACGGGCACUUCAAUGUUUUUUAAACUUAUUUGAACUCCAGCCUAUUUUUGCGUUCAGUAUGCAUCAUUCAAAGCGACGUCAUCAAUUUUCCAACACGUUCUGACGUCAUUUGCUGUUUUUCAGUCAUUUACCGAUUUNNNNNNNNNNNNNNNNNNNNNNNNNNNNNNNNNNNNNNNNNNNNNNNNNNNNNNNNNNNNNNNNNNNNNNNNNNNNNNNNNNNNNNNNNNNNNNNNNNNNNNNNNNNNNNNNNNNNNNNNNNNNNNNNNNNNNNNNNNNNNNNNNNNNNNNNNNNNNNNNNNNNNNNNNNNNNNNNNNNNNNNNNNNNNNNNNNNNNNNNNNNNNNNNNNNNNNNNNNNNNNNNNNNNNNNNNNNNNNNNNNNNNNNNNNNNNNNNNNNNNNNNNNNNNNNNNNNNNNNNNNNAUCUUUCAAAGCGACGUCAUCAAUUUCCAACACGUUCUGACAUCAUUUGCUGUUUUUCAGUCAUUUACUGAUUUGCGUAGAGAGCUAAAUGACGGUGAAAUUGAAAAUCACUACAAAAUGAACUCUGAAAAUGUUGGAACUUGGCAUGGUAUCAUCAUUUCGCCGCAUAGCAUGUGCAAAAGAGUAGAGAGGGUCACGGCGAAAACUGGACGCACCUCGUGUACAAACUGGACAAUCUCUUUCGGAGUAUCAGGGUUUCGGACGAGAACUCAUCUGUUACACGGGCACUUCAAUGUUUUUUAAAUUUAUUUGAACUCCAGCCUAUUUUUGUGUUCAGUAUGCAUCAUUCAAAGCGACGUCAUCAAUUUUCCAACACGUUCUGACAUUAUUUGCUGUUUUUUAGUCAUUAACCGAUUUGUUUAGAGAGCUAAAUUACGGUGAAAUUGAAAAUCACUACAAAAUGAAUAGCAGAAAAUAAAUAAUGCAGAAAAGAAAAAACUAUAUAAUUUUUUUUAUAUUCACAAAAAAACUAAAUACAGAAAAAAAUUACUCGAAAAUAAAUAGAAGAAAAUUAUAUAAAAAAUUGUUGGGGCGCUGCCCGCUGGGCCUGCCAACCCUAGGGUUUGCAAAUACAGGCCCAGAAGGGCCAGCAGGCUCAACGGGCAGCGCGCCAGAGUUAGGCCCAGAAGCCUGCUGUAAAGAGGAGUUCGAGACAGCAGCCGCGCCGGGGCUUUUAAACUGGUGCGGGCGCCCCUCGGCUAGCGAGGUGGGACUAAACUUGCCCGCACCGCUCCUGCGCCAGCGCACACCUUUAGUACCGGGUCGUGGCUCCAACCGGUACUAAAGGGGGGCCUUUAGUACCGGUUGGAGCCACGAACCGGUACUAAAGGGGCAGUUUCCCGCCCCUUGGCCUGGCGAAAAUUGGCCUUUAGUACCGGUUGGUGGCUCCAACCGGUACUAAAGACCCCUCCUAUAUAUAUGGCACUUACGAAAAAUUCAGUUUCAUCGACCACCACUUCUUCUCCAACUACUUCGCGCGACAUCACCGCCGCCCUCGCCACCCUCGCCGCCCGUCGUCGCCGUCAGCGCCGUCGCCCUCACCGCCCGUCGUCACCGUCACCGCCGUCGCCCCCGCCGCCCGUCGCUGCCGCCCCGUACCACGUCGCCGUCUCGAUCGCGCCGUCGCCCCCGGCCUGCCGCUCGUCNNNNNNNNNNNNNNNNNNNNNNNNNNNNNNNNNNNNNNNNNNNNNNNNNNNNNNNNNNNNNNNNNNNNNNNNNNNNNNNNNNNNNNNNNNNNNNNNNNNNNNNNNNNNNNNNNNNNNNNNNNNNNNNNNNNNNNNNNNNNNNNNNNNNNNNNNNNNNNNNNNNNNNNNNNNNNNNNNNNNNNNNNNNNNNNNNNNNNNNNNNNNNNNNNNNNNNNNNNNNNNNNNNNNNNNNNNNNNNNNNNNNNNNNNNNNNNNNNNNNNNNNNNNNNNNNNNNNNNNNNNNNNNNNNNNNNNNNNNNNNNNNNNNNNNNNNNNNNNNNNNNNNNNNNNNNNNNNNNNNNNNNNNNNNNNNNNNNNNNNNNNNNNNNNNNNNNNNNNNNNNNNNNNNNNNNNNNNNNNNNNNNNNNNNNNNNNNNNNNNNNNNNNNNNNNNNNNNNNNNNNNNNNNNNNNNNNNNNNNNNNNNNNNNNNNNNNNNNNNNNNNNNNNNNNNNNNNNNNNNNNNNNNNNNNNNNNNNNNNNNNNNNNNNNNNNNNNNNNNNNNNNNNNNNNNNNNNNNNNNNNNNNNNNNNNNNNNNNNNNNNNNNNNNNNNNNNNNNNNNNNNNNNNNNNNNNNNNNNNNNNNNNNNNNNNNNNNNNNNNNNNNNNNNNNNNNNNNNNNNNNNNNNNNNNNNNNNNNNNNNNNNNNNNNNNNNNNNNNNNNNNNNNNNNNNNNNNNNNNNNNNNNNNNNNNNNNNNNNNNNNNNNNNNNNNNNNNNNNNNNNNNNNNNNNNNNNNNNNNNNNNNNNNNNNNNNNNNNNNNNNNNNNNNNNNNNNNNNNNNNNNNNNNNNNNNNNNNNNNNNNNNNNNNNNNNNNNNNNNNNNNNNNNNNNNNNNNNNNNNNNNNNNNNNNNNNNNNNNNNNNNNNNNNNNNNNNNNNNNNAAGAAAAUUAAUAGAACACGUUUAUUUUUAUUAAAUGCUUAGUUGAAUUAGUUGAAUUAAUAGAGCUAGUUGAACUAAUAGAAGUAGUUGAAUUAGUUGAAUUAGUUGAAUUAAUAGAACUAGUAAGUGUUUAAUGUUUCACCUAUAUGAACAUAGGAAAUGUCGUCUGACGACGAAAAAGAUUUCAUUAAAUGCGAAUUCUGUGAAGACCAGCGCGGCCUGUGCGACAGAAAUUUCCUUGUUGAUGAUAGGCGCUUCAACAUCAAGCUGGAUGAGACCUUCGAAGUGGAUACAGUAAGUCACAACGACAAGUCUUUUUUCGUAAUUAAGUAUGACUUAUAUAUGCUUCAUUUGCUUCAACUUAUAAUUUUAAAUUUUCACUAUUCUACUAGCGCAUCCCCUGCCAUGCAAGAAUUUUUGUCUUGGAUAAGAUAGGUUUCGGUGCUAUGAAAACUAUGGAGGUAAAGAGAGUUUACCUGAAGACCAAGCAUGGUUAUACUUUCAACGUCAAAUUAUACAAUGCAGACACGUACACCUAUUUUGAAUGCAAAACUUGGCAAGCACUAUGCAAGGCUUAUGCAUUUGAGCCUGAUAUGGUUAUCACCUUGAUAUUCGUCCGGAAGAUGAUAUUGAAGGUAAUAGAGACAUCUGGGUCGAUGUGCAGACGCCUCCAGUUCUACCAUUAUGUGAGUUUCUCAACCAUAUUUAUGUCUUUGAUAUUGUUUAUUCAAAAAUAGUUGACAACUAAUUUCUAUUGACAGCUUAUUUCCAUUCAAGCAAACAUGUUCGUCGCUUGGUAGACAUGACCUACUACUGUCCCGAAGCUAAACUAAACUGCGAGGAGAUAAGUCAUUAUGUUUCAUGGCUUGAGGAUCUUGAUGCUGUUAAGAGAAAUCAUUUUCCUGAAUUUGAAAAUCUUAAUACUCAAAACGUGUGACCAAUAGUGAUCGUAUUGAACUACGGUCACAUGUAUUUAGGAAAGAUGGUAAGAUUUUUACUAUUAGUCCUCAGUGCAUCUUUUGCAUACAUUAUUUUUCAAGCUAAACUUUCAUUGCUAAGUAUAUUAAUUACUAUACGAUGUUCUUCAACAGGGACUUCCGAUGACAGUUGUGACUCAGUGGAUCGAGACUAAAGGUCGCAUGUCAAUUGUUAGCUUACGGCCAAGAUAUCCUACAGUGCACAUGAGUGCAUUCAGGAUUUCUGAAAGCGAUGAAUGCUUAAUAGUGAAAGAUUGAACAAAAUUGUUAACGAUCGCAGAGAAGUACUAGGGGGCAGCAAUUAGAAGCGCAGCCCACGAUUAGGAGAUAGGUUCAUCUACAUGCUCUAAUAUGAUGAAUCAGGAGAGCUAUACAUGUUCUAUGCUAUUUUACCUGAGAGAGAGCAGCAGGAGUGAUUUAGCUAGUUAUCAUGCUCUUAGUACUUGUUGUCUUCUCAUGCGUGUCCGUGUUCUUCGUCCUGAACUUAAUCUCAAAGAGUGAUUUGCUUUUGUGGUGUUAUGAACGCUUAUAAUAUGAUGAUGAUGAUGAUGAUGAUGAUGAUGAGUUAUUAUAUCAUUUAUGAAAGAAACCGCAUAUUAGUUUCAACUGGAUGGAUCCUAAUUAAGUGAUCAAGUAUAUGCCAUAUCCAUAUUAUUUAGAUCACUAAGUGAUCAAGUAUAUGACAUAUCCAUAUUACUUAGAUCACUAAGUGAUCAAGUAAUAUGGAUAUGGCAUAUACUUUAGCUAGGAUCCACAUGCGUCCAGUCGAAACUAAUCUGCGGUACUUUCACCUAAUGAUUUAACAACUCAUUAUAAUGUAAAACAAUCACUAAAUUAAAUUGAAAACACAAAACUAAAUAAAAAUUAAAAAUUAAAACCAAAACACACCCAAACAUUUAGUACCGGUUGGUGUUACCAACCGGUACUAAUGUCCUACAUGCACCCGGGCCUGGCUCGUGCCACGUGGUGGCACGUUAGCGCCGGUUCGUGCCAAAUCGGUACUAAAGGGGGGGCCUUUAGUCUCCACUCCAUAGUGCCCACUAAAGGCCCUUACGAACCGGUGAUAAAGGCCGGUUCUGCACUAGUGGUGGGCCUAGAGGGAUGGUCGGGGGCGGCAGCCAGACCAACGGUGAGGGGCGGUUUCGGGGAGGGCGGGCCGGCGAGGUGGGGCGGGAGCGCCGCCGCCCGCGGGUGGUGGUCGCAGGCGGUUUGACCGGCGGCUCGGGAGGCGGUCUGAAGCGCCGUUGGAUGUCGAUCGGACGAACAAAAAUUCAACUGGCGCAAAUUAAAAAGUCAGUCGACUGAAAUUGAGCCUCACCCAAUAGCACCACAAGUCACGGUGCAUGAUGUUUUAAUUCAAAAUUUGCAAAAAUACACCCGACCACCCUAGAACUUGCACUGCAUGUGACAAUCACAUUUUGGCAAGUUCUAGGACUUUUUUUAGGGAGUUGACUUGUAGUGCUAUUACUUCUUUAGUUUCGCGCUGGCGACGAUCUCGACCGGGCCUUUGCACGGGUUUCAGUGUUUCACACACUCUCCGGUCGGCGUAUGUGGUUUUGUCGCUGCCGUCACCAAAUUCAUUGGCUCGACCGGGCGAACGGAGAGUUCGAGAUCGACACGAAUAGCUCCAUCCAAAACAUCUAGAACGAGCGGCGCGACGUCCCUGUUCAAAACGAGCUCCGUUGUUGCCUCCGUGGAAUCUAGAAAUCUAUACCACUACCAGCAGUCUCGGCAAACAAUUUAGCUUACAUAGCAGUCCGAUUUAGUGUUGAUUAAUCACUUGACAGGAACUAACGGCUGCUUAGCCAGCUGCCGACAUCUGAUAGGUGUGUGCUCAACAUGAUCGUGCGGGCUGCUCGAUCGAUAAUUGUUAUUCCCGGGCUGCUAAUUGAUGCGUCUGACCGGCGAUGUUCAUGCUUCAGCUAGCCUUGGAAUUCUUUGGAUAAUCAACACUUGGUCAUAUUCUUUUCUAGAGAACCAAUGAUCAAGUUAACUAAUGGCGAGCUUCUGGGAACGAAUGGUCAACUCUGCAGCAGCCGAGUCAAAUGUUAUUGUGUACUAGCCCGCGUUCUUUAGAGGUGCCACUUGUCAGGCAUCAUAUUCAAAGAAGCAUUUUUUUUUUCCGGUUCAAACAAGCAUACUUAAAGAUCAUUCUGGUGGCUCACUUGGCGACCUUGGGCUCCUCUCCGCGUCAAGUUUUUCUUAUGGCUGGCCAUGCAAGACCGCAGCUGGACCGCGGAGCGCCUCGCAUUCCACGGACUGCCCCAUGGUGAUGCAUGCGCCCUUUGCGACCAGGAGGAGGAGACCAUGCCCCAUCUCCUUGCCGGCUGCUCUUUCUCUCGCCAAGUUUGGCACGAGAUCCUCGGUUGGGUACGUGUGCCCAUCGGCCUCCCCGCCCCUGACACGCCUUUUCAGCUCUGGUGGAGAUCCUCUCUCGAGCUCGCGCCGGCAGCCAUGCGCAAGGGUCUAUCCUCCCUCAUCAUCCUGUCAGCUUGGUGGAUUUGGAAGCACCGCAAUGCUUGCAUUUUUGAUGGAGCUGCACCAUUGAUCACCUUCACCUCCGAUACCAUCAAGGACGAGGCGCGCCUCUGGGCCAAGGCGGGCGCCACCGGACUACAUAACAUUAUCCCCGGUGCUUAGUCUCUAGUUUCUGUCGUGGGGCUGAGCAUACCCCCGUCUGUUGUGCUCCUUCGCUUGUAUACCAUGCCUAGUGCGUACAUGGCUAACCCCAUGCUUGUACUCUUCUUCUUCUAUCAAUACAAAGAUACGCAUCUUGCGUAUUCGCAAAAAAAAUAAGCUAACCAUAAUCAUCAGUAUAAUUUCAAGCCAACUGGUUGGCUAAAUCGGCCAAUUAAGGAGAAAAGAGAGGCUGAGAGAGAGGGACGAAGCUUGGCUGGGUCGCAAGGGAUUGUUGGUGACGGUGCAGAACCGAUGCCCUGCAUAUAUCGUCGUUAGGUAGGGUAGUCCGGUCUUGGCGGCGAUUUGACCCAUUAAUCCCAAUGAAAAUGACUACCAUCGUACGACUUGCGAGAAAUUGUAUAGCUCAUUUAGGGGGUGUUUGAUUCUAGAGACUUUUUUUUGUUGGGACUAAAAAAGUCCCUACCAAACCAAACAGGGUGGGAUUUUUUUGGGACUUUUUGCUAAAAGUCCUUAGAAGCACCUAUUUGAGUCGUUUUCAAAAAGUCCUAGGGACUAGAAAAAGUCCUAGUACUAGAGAACCAAACACCACCUUAAUGCGUCGCAUGUAUGUACGCAUGCAUUUUGCUUGGCUCAGUGGGUCCCCAUCAAAUGCCUUUCUGCACAUAAAUUAGAUACUCCAAUGAUCAAGUACUGUACGUUUCUACAAGAAUAAUGUGAGUGCAACUAAUGCACAUUUUUUAUUCGAUUCUAAGUCCAAAGUUAAACAAAUGAAACUAAUAGUACAUGUGCAUGAAUAAAAAUGAUGCUGUUGGAACCCUUCCACCAGCCAAAAGUUGGAAGGCAAUGAUCAUUCUCAAGUGUCAAGUUUGUUUCAUGGCUUGUGUUGCAUGGCCCAAUCCUCAUUGCAGAUAAUCCGACAAUCGGGGAAUGACCCUCAUAACCCAACCUACCAAUUAUGCUUUGCAAGCAAUGACACGUUGCACACCUAUGUAAAGACUACCCUUCCUCAAAGCAGGUAUUUUUUUUCGAGAGUACGCCAAUAGCGUACCUUAUCUUUAUAGAAGAAGAGCAACAAGUUUAUAAGAGACGCCUAGAGGAGGACGCGAACAUCACACCUAGGCCACACCCGAUUACACCCCACUCAGAAACCAAAGCCUACUCUCUAACAAAUCAUGACAACCCGCCUACUCCUAGACCCGCCUCCCUCCACUCUUGGAUCUCCCGCAUGAUCGCACCCACCACCUGAUGAGGUGAUUUCUGUUGGGCCGUUCUAUUGAAGACCCACGCAUUACGUUGCUUCCACAAAGCCCAGGUGACCGCAAUCACAAAAGUGUCAAACCCGCGCUUGGACUCUUUACUGAAUCCCCUCCUAGCCUGCAACUACCAAUCCAGCAAAGUAUCCUCCAUCGUCGGCCGCUCCACGUUCAGGUUGAGCUCUUGUAGGCAUUCAUGCCACACUUCCCUAGCGAACACACAUUGGAUCAAGAUGUGCUCUGCAUUGUCUUCCUUCUGCAAACAAGUGAAGCAGCUUGAUGAACGCUCUUGCAACCCGUGCUUCGCUCUCCUGUCCGAGGUCCAAAUGCGGUGCUGGAUCGCCAGCCAGACAAAUAUUUUACACUUGAGUAGCGCCCAACUCUUCCAGAUGCAAGAAGCAUAGGCAACCCGUUGAAUCCCUUGGCACAGACGAUAAUAUGUGGAUCUAGCGGUGUACUGCCCGGACGGGUCCGCCGGCCAAGAGAAACAAUCCGUCCUUUCUGGAUCCCGAGGCACGGUGCUUAUAGCUAGAUUAAGGUGAACUAGAUGCAUAUGGCCCAUGAAGGUGAGCUCUCCAUCCAUAUCCUGCAACCAUCUUCCCUCCUCGAGGGCAUCUCUCACCGUCCGUCGGUUCCUACUACGGGUAUCCACCAGCUUGUGUAGCAGUGGUGCAAUGUCCGCCACAGCAAAUCCAUGUAUCCAUAUGUCUCUCCAGAACAGCACCUUGGUGCCAUCCCCCACCUCAAUCUUGACAAGACUAUCAAAGACCUCUCUAGCGUCUUUAUCCUCCAACAUAGCAAGCCCCUGCCAUGGCCUCGUAGGGCCCGUCCUUUUUAACCAUUCCCAUCUCACCCUAAGUGCAAGGCCAUGGAGCUCUAGAUCCCUCACCCCCAAGCCACCCAAGUAAGUGGGUCUACAUACCGUGCUCCAACCCACAAGACACUGCCCGCCAUUCGCUUUUUCUUUGCCAGCCCAGAAGAACACACGCAUCCAUUGAUUGAUCUCCUCCAACACCCACGCUGGGGCCUCCGCUAUCAUAAAGUGAUGGAUGGGUUUCGCCGUAAUCACGGAUUUAGCAAGAACCAACCGGCCAGACCUCUGGAUCAUACCCCGCUGCCACGCAGGAGCAGCCUUCUUCGCUUGAUCCAACAUGGGCUGCCACACUGCUCUACUAAGUUGGUGGAUUGCCAACUGCAACCCCAGGUAUCUACACGGGAAGCUUCCCACAUUGCAUUGCAGAACGGAUUCCGCCCGCUCCCUAUCAGUCACUUCACCAUUGAUCAUCACGGCCAAGGAUUUAUGGUAAUUGAUCUUCAACCCGAAGCCUCCCCAAACAUCGACAACGCUUCCUUUACGAAUCUCAGAUCCAUCAACGUGGGCUUAACAAACAGCGCCACGUCAUCAGCAUAUAUAGACACACCUUGCUCUGCCGAGAUCCCAGUGAAUUUACUCGACACCCCCAUGGCCACUGCUUUAGACAUAAUCUUGGACAACACAUCCAUCGCAAUGACGAACAACAACGGAGACACUGGGUCCCCUUGCCUUAGUCCUUGCACAUGCUGGAAGCUUCUUCCCGGACAUCCAUUCACCAGGACUUUCGUGGUGGCUAUCUUGAGAAGAAUGGAUACCCACAACUGCCAUUUUGCACCAAAACCUUUGUGCGCCAUCACCUUAAACAGAAAAGGCCAAGCGAGCGAGUCAAACGCCCUGGAUAUGUCUAGUUUAAGGAAAGCUCCUGCCUCUCUCCGAGCAUGAAUCUUUCUAGCCACUUGCCGCACCAAAAUGAAGUUAUCAUGCAAAUGUCUCCCACAUAUGAAGGCCGAUUGAUUAACAGCCACGAUCUCCUUCAUCCUCCUCCUAACUCGAUUCGCUAGAAGCUUAGCGAAAAUUUUAGCCACACUAUGGGUCAGACUAAUAGGACGAAAGUCGCCCACCACCUCUACAUCCGGCUUCUUCGGGAUGAGCACAAUGUGUGCACGGUUAGGUUUGUUGAAACCCCAACCAUCCCCUACGUACAGCUUCAGGAAAACUGCCAUCACAUCGUCUUUGAUAAUGUGCCACGCCUUCUGAUAAAAAGCAGCAAUAAACCCAUCCGGCCCAGGCGCACGAUCUGGAGGCAGAUCCUUAAUAGUGCUCCAAACUUCCUCCUCCGAAAAGAUCUCGUCGAGCUCCAACAGAUUGUGAGUGUCCAUAUCCAAAAACUCGAGAUCCACGUCCACCUCCCUCGAGUGAGUUCUACCCAGGAGUUGUUCACACGCUUCCGAGAAAAUCUCUUCCUUCCGAUGCUGAUCAGUGAUCAACUCGCCAUUGUGUCUCACGUGUGGAAUGAAAUUUUUUGAUCAUCGACCGUUUGCCACAGCCUGGAAAAGUUUUGUGUUAGCAUCACCCUCUCUAAUCCAUCUUAAGCGCGAUCUCUGCCUCUCUAUGGUCCGCUGCAAAGAGGCCAGACCAAGCAAAGCAUGCUUAAUGCUACCCCUGAGCCAUCUCUCCUCGGGCGAAAGAACACGAGUCUCCAUGGCUCGGUCAAGCUUCAGGAUGAUGUAGUUGGCAAUGUCCAUCUGGAUCUUAAUGUUACCCGUCUUCUUUUGCCCCCAAGCCUGAAGCGUCGUCGCGGUGUUGCGAAGAAGGAAGUCCAGCCUCUUGAAAGGAUCGAAGAUUGCCUGAUCGCACACCCACGCAUCACGGACCGUCUUCUCGAACCCCUCCAGCUUCAACCAAAACAUCUCAAAACGGGACCUCUUCUUAGCACAAAAGGGCGUCGAGGUAGUUAGAUGCAGCGGGGAGUGAUCAGAGAUGUUUGUGCUAAGGGCUUGCAAUAGCAUAUCCGGAUACGCUAACUCCCAAUCCACCGUUACCAAAACCCGGUCAAUCUUCGUCAACACCGGCUGCUCUCUUUCAUUCGACCACGUAAAUCUCCUCCCAUGCAAGUAAGGCUCCUUAAGCUCACACUCGUCCAUGAACUCCUUGAAUCUUCUCUUAAUUCUCCGGUUCAGGUUAUUGUUGCUCUUCUCAUCCGCCCUCAAAAUCAUGUUGAAGUCGCCAAGAACCGUCCAAGGCCCUGGACAAACCACCCUUCUAUUGUGCAGCUCGACUAGGAAUGCAUCUUCGCCUCAUCGCCUUGCGGUCCAUAAACCACCGUCAUCUACCACUCCGAACCAUCCUUGGUGUGCACCCUACCCGUGAGCGAAUGGGUGUCAUGUGCAAUGCUAUCAACAUCCAUCACCGCCGAAUCCCACCCCAGGAGAAUGCCCCCCUCCCCGAGUCUCCAAAGCCGGCACGUAGGCGAAGCCAUCAAACGAUGGCCCCAAGCAUUGCAUAGCUAUGAAAGGAUCAAUUACAUCAAGUUUCGUCUCUUGAAGAGCAACUAAGUUAACCUUGGCCUCCACUACAAACUCCCUAACCGUGUUCCUCUUAGCUGGGUUAUUCAAACCCCUCACGUUCCAACAUAAAACCUUUGGGUUCCAAUCCAUAGUAACCCAAUUGACACCCAGCACCCCCAAAUCCUACAGCCGAACGGCACUCAAGCUGCUCCCAUAACCACAGAAGAUCCGGCAGCCAAAUCCCUCGUCGGUGGCACCUCCUUGCCAAACAAGGCAGCAAUGACCCGAAUGUGUUGCUCCCUCAAUGGUGAGUCAAAUAUCUCAGCUAGCUCCGCAAUGUUAUCCUCGUUGCCAUCCAAGUCCUCAGGAACGAUCCCGAGCGCACGCAUGAGCACAUUCUCAGCCUGCGUCGCCUUGCAGGCUUUGCUCGCCGGAGCCUUCUUAGAACCCCUAGUCGUGCGACGCGGUGUGAACGGCUCGGCCUCCGGGCGAAGCGACGACUGCACCUCCAUGAGAAGCGGGGGAGCCAGCUUGCGUACGAGCGCGUUACAAAACCACUUGAGUUUUCCAUAUGCCACAGCCUCCUGAGGUGUCAUCCCACUCGUGCAUGUCUGUAACUGCAUUUGCAUGUUCGAACCAACGUGCCGAUCCGCCGAAAUCUCCAUGUCCUCCUGGGAGGCCGCCACUUGUCCCUGAUCCAAAAACCCCUCCAUGCGUGCGGGAGUGCACUCCACAAUCAUUGGCGGGGCCAGCUGCCGAGAAUCAGGGGGCAGGGCCAUCCCAUCGGGCAACGCCCCCAUCGAGUGGGGGUCCGCCAUAUCCUCCCCCGCACCCCCCGACAAGUGAACCCGACCCGUCACAUCAGAUGGGCCCUCCGGAUGGCCCGCCACUACCAACGCAAUCCUCGCCCUUGACUGGUCAGGGGGCACCUGCCCAAGCACUGGGCCCGCGGCGCUGGUCCCAAUCAACCCACGCCCAAUGCCAGCCACCUCACUCUCCACCCCAACAACGAGCUGUCGCUCCUCGAAGUUACCAGCCAAUAGCAACUCCCCCUGCGGAUCCCGAGGCUCAAUAUUGGAAUUAUCCACAGGUCCCACCGCCUCGUGGCGCGCAUCCUGACCCGGACCAACUGUCCCCUCCUCCACCUGAUCAUGGCCCCGCUCGGAAGCAACAGUCCCUUCCUUCCUCGACUCCAUGACAACUGGCACGGCUGCAUGACUUGCAGCACCACCUGUAGGUGGGACCACCUCCGGUUGCACUGCCACCUCCACAUUGCUCGUGCCGCUAGACAGAUUUGAAAUUUGAAGCACUCUCCCUUCUGCGGCCCCAUCCUGCCGUUCCAACCCUCCCAGCCUGUCAAAAGCAGACAACCGGGACGUCAGCCUAUCGCGGACCGUCACCCCGGACCCGUGGCUCCCCACCGGAAGCAGUGGGUCCAUCGGGGGGAUCCUCCAGUCCCCACCAUCACCAGCUCCGGCCAAGCCAGCGGCGUACUAUGUGCCCGCCGGCGCACCACCUCCGCUACCCGAAGCAGCACCUCUCUGAUCAUGAACUCCAGCCUGCCAAACCAUCCUGCGAGUCGUCGGUCCACCACCCAUGUCCGGCUCCGAGUCUGGCAGCCCACUCUGCCCGCUGUCCGACGAGGCCCCCAAGAACCAUGGCUCCUCCCCAUCCGGAAAUGUCGUCACUGAAUCCAAGUGGAUGAGAACCUUAUGUUGCAACAUCUUCGGCUUGAACAACUCGCGCUGGUCCAGCGGCUCCGGCACAGCCAGCCACCGGCGCGACGGGAUCAGCUCCGGCUCCGCCAUCCAUGCCGUGAGCUUUGAACGACGACAAGUCAGACCGCGAAGAAGUCUCCGGAGCCACCGCCUCGAUGAUGCAAGACCCCGCCAACAAGCUCUCCACCACAUCAAGCUCCCAGGCAUGCGGAGGAAUGCCUUCCAAUUCCAAUCCCACCUCAAAUUUCAUGGCGGCGAACACAGCUUGCGACUGCCGGAUCCACUGCCUAAAAGAGAAACGAUGCCCAUUGAACUCCAACACCGGACGGAGUCCCAUCCUGUUCCGAUCCUCCUUUCUCGCGAAGACCACAAGGUAAUCCUCCGGCAUAAACCGAUGCACCGACACCCUAUCCGGUGGGAUGCCCAUCCUGGAUUGCAGCGCCUCCAACACCAUCUCUGGCGAAACUGCCUCUCUGUCUCCACCCACGUACACUACCAUGGCCUGCUGAAGCCGCCCCUCCAAGGCAUCCAUCUCACGGGUCCUCCUGACCACACACAGCUCGCCCGGCUCCAUCUCCAUGUCCACAUCCAGCUCCAGCCGCGGCGGCGCGAGGCGGGGCCACGCCGGAGCAUCCGAAGCAGGGCGCGGUGAAGGAGGAGGCGGGGAGGAGGAAGACGCCUCUGCCCCUCCCCGCCAGACGUACGGGUGCCCGAUGAAACGCCCUCAGCACCGCCCCGUCACACGACCUUGGCCGCAGCCUCGCGCCUGAGCUCCUCGACCGAGGACGGGCUGCGCGGCCGCUUGCACUGCGCAGCAACAUGACCCGGCAGACCACACCGAAGGCAGACGACAUCAUUGGUGCGGUCCUUCAAGAAGUGCCCUUUCGACAGACACCGGAAACACUUGUCACGCAUCUCCGGCGAAACCUCCUUGCGAGGCGGCGACGAGCGGCGCAGAGCAGGAGCCCGGCGACCCUCCUCCAGGCGCCGCCGCCACAUGGUCUUCUUGGAAGCAGGGGCCUCCUGCCACUGCGAGAGCCUCCGCGACGCGCCCGCCCAGUCACCCACGGCGACCAGAGCGGCCGGCGCCACCGCCGCCUCCGACGCCUCGGAGGCCGACGAGAGCCCCAGCCCACACACCACCGGCCGCUCACCCUGGAAAGACGAGGUGACCGACCGUGGGCUCUCCGACAUGGAUCGAGCAGACGUGGGGGAAAGCGGGGAAGGGAGCGAGCCGAAGACCGACGACGGCUGGAUCUGGGGUGGACGCCGCACCCGGAGUGGCGCACGGCGGACAGGUGGACGCCGGCGCCGGAGUGACGCACGGCGGGGACACGCGCUCUCUCGCUCUCACCCUCGAAGCAGGUAUGAAAGGCGUGAAUUGUUGGAAUUGGCCUUCCCCAAUCCAAGGCAAUUUAUAUUAACCUAUGGUGGGAUGACUUUCUUAUGGCCUCUUCGACCAGUGCAUGCGCAUAGUAGCAAUCUGAUACAUGCACCAUGGACUAUUUAGAAGAAAAGGAAACGAGCAAAGUUUACCGGCCAAAGAAUGACUUACCAGGAGGUGGCACAUCUAGCUUUGGUGGACAUCCGCAUGUGCAUUCUUGUAGUUUUUUCCUGCACGAGUAGUUUGCAUGCCGGUUUGGGGUUUUAGUUAAGCCUCACCACUACACAACAACAUCCUUCUGACAGAAUUUCUUGAACCUUGGAAUGUAAAGAAAUAGAAACUCCGCCCCAAAAUCAGUGAAACUACUUUAGACACUAGUAGAAAACGAAGCUUUAUUACCGGUUCAUAAGGGCCUUUAGUGCCGGUUCUGCAACCAGCACUAAAGGGUGGAGACUAAGAGCAACUCUAGCAGACCCCACAAAACGCACCGGCCCGCAAAAUAAUCGCCAAAUUGCGGGUCGGGGCCAGAAAAUCUGCACGAUCAGACCCCGCAUCCCGCACCGGCCCGUAAAAUUUUUUGCGGGGCGCAGCAAAUCUUCUCCCCCAACCUCUAUCUUCACGGGCUGGGAGGCCGACCCGAGCUUAACCCCUAUCCGGCUCGAGAUUUGGCGGGAGGGACAUUUCUGCGCACCCUUUCCCGCUCCCCGCACCCUCCGCCACCAUUGCCCCCUCCGCAAGCUCUGGUUGCUCCUCCCUGGCCAUCCCUCGCCGCCAUGGACGACCCCAUGCUGUCCCCCGUCACCGUCGUGGUCGCGCACGCCCCUUCCCCUCGGGCGGAUCUCGUCGCCAGCCAUGUUGGCCCCGCCGCCGUCGCCCAAGCACACGUCGCGCCUGCCCGCAAGCGGCAGGGCAACGUGGUUGUGCAGGGCGGGAAUCCGGCUGCCCCCGCCGCGAUGGCCCGCGCUCCGGGCGCCAAUGCCACAGUGCGAUCCCGGCCUACGGCGGAGAAGGCUGGCAAGGCCGCGGGUGUCGGUGUCAAAACCGGCGGAUCUCGGGUAGGGGGUCCCGAAUUGUGCGUCUAGGAUCGAUGGUAACAGGAGACGAGGGACACGAUGUUUACCCAGGUUCGGGCCCUCUCUAUGGAGGUAAUACCCUACUUCCUGCUUGAUUGAUCUUGAUGAAUAUGAGUGUUACAAGAGUUGAUCUACCACGAGAUCAUAAUGGCUAAACCCUAGAAGUCUAGCCUAUGAGUAUAUGGUAAUGAAUCUGUCCCUACCCGGACUAUACUCUCCGGUUUAUAUAGACACCGGAGAGAUCUAGGGUUAUAUGGAGUCCGUUACACAAGAGGGAAUCUUCAUAGUCGGUCGCCUAGCUUGCCUUCCACGCCAUGUGGCAUCCACUCCGGACACGGGUUCAAUCUUCGGUCUUCAUGUCUUCACAGCCCAUCAGUCCGGCCCACGGAUAACAGACCGGAUGCCCGAGGACCCCUUAGUCCAGGACUCCCUCAGUAGCCCCCGAACCAGGCUUCAAUGUCGAGGUGUUCGGCGUUCGGAUUGUCUUCGGCAUUGCUAGGCGGGUUCCCAUCUCCAAGUAAUGUAUUCGGCUGUUGACUCAAUAUUGUUCUCCUCGGCUUGUGCGCGCUAAUAACUUCGUCUUCCACGUGUCGAGCGAAUGCGGAAAGUCAGGGUAUUUUUGCAAAUAACACCCCGUCCAUGCAAGGGAGCGCACCUAUUAAAGAUACUGGAUCUCAGAUCCAUGUGACACCACACCGAGAAGAUCCCCGGAGACUGCUAGGAGAAACCAUUCCAACAUGGCUAGCAUUCCCGGCUCCUCCUCCCGUUCCAGCCCAAAGAAAAGCGAGUGGGACAAGUGCUCGGUGUCUCACAGUCAGUUAGCAAAGUUGCAAACGCAGGGAUUUCUUCCUCCCGCGGAUCUGGUCCCUGUUCGAGCAGGGCUGGCUUCCUUCAAUGGUGUGACUCAGGUGGAGGACUCCCCCAAUCCGUCCGGGGGGAGCGAGUGUGCUUCGUCCCUUAUCUGAUAAGAGGCGUCGGAUUUCCAGUCCACCCGUUCCUCCGAGGGCUUCUGGAAUAUUAUGGCCUUCAGCUGCAUAACUUCACUCCCGCCUCUAUCCUGCACAUCGCAGGUUAUGUUUCUUUAUGUGAGCUAUUUCUGGGUGUUGAAGCCCAUUUUGAACUGUGGAGAAAAUUGUUCUGUCUUGUCCCGCGUAACCAUGAGCGGUCAAUAUUUGAAGUGGGCAGAGCCGAAGUGUGGCGCAUCGCCGAUACCGGAUACCUGUCCGGCACACCAAGGAAGGCAUCUAAAGAAUAGCCUUCCGAGUGGUUCUACAUCGAGGACGUUGCGCUUCCCGACCCAGUUCGAAAGGGUCUCCCUGAAUUUGCAAGCGGUCCGCUAAAGAAACACCAUAGUUGGUGUCCCCGGAGCCUUGAGGAGGAUGACAGUGCGGAGGUUCGUCAACUUUUGGGCGAGAUAAAGACGCUUGCCUAGUCCGGAUUAACAAUGAUAGAGGUAAUGUCGACCUCCAUAACGCGAGGGGAUCAGCCGCUUCAAUACAGAGGGCUCCCAAUGUGGCAGUAAAACGGGGAGGACGACGCCUCCCGCUGCGGUCGAAAAGGUCCGGGCACCCCCGCCGCUCUGGCCAAAAUACUGGCCGAGCUGUUCAAAGGGGAGGAAGAGGAAUUUCUUCGCAUCAAUCGUAGAGAUGGAUAUUCUAUGUAUAAUCCUCCCAGUUGGGUAAGCCCCAAUCCUUCUGCUUUACUCAUUUCGCUUCCCGGAUUACCUUUGACAAAUUUCCAAUCCGCUUAUAACAGCAUUCGCGAAGAAUCAUCGAGGGGUUUUACAGCCCCGCCCCACAACCUGAGGACCACUACCGGGAGCUGGAUCCCGGGUUCGAAGAAGAUCCGGAUAUAUUCGUGGUACUCGCGGAAGGGGUGUUUUACCAGGCGAGCUACGAUGGCACGGAAGUGGUCAUUAUCGCCGAUUACCCUGGUCUUCUUCGUGCUUCCCACGUAAGUCGUUGAGAAAAAACCUCUCUUGAAAGAGCUUCCUCGCACUGCCUCACCCAUCGCACUGUCUCGUGCUCCAUAGGGGAGACGUUCGGCGCGUCACGCUACUCCAGGGGCGGCUCCAAAGAGAGCGGCUCCGGCGCCGAGCAAGGCUUCUAAAAGGAAGGUCGGUGAAGUCACGACCGGUCCCUCGUCAAAGAGGUAAGGAUUUAAAGGUAUACUUUAACAGUCACAUCCAACUGCAACUUGUACGCUUGUUUGACACCAGGAAAAAGGUUCACCGGACUAAAUCCGAGGGUCCGGCCAGCCGUACUCCCUGCGCCCGGGAUUUAGACCCCGUUGGAAAGGCGGGAGCCAACAUAGGAACAAUGCCGGACUGUCCUUCGGCCGAGGGUUCGGAGAAUAUGUCCGUUACCAACUCGGAAGUGGAGAGCGCCAUGAAUCAUCGACGCUGCAGGGCUGUUUUACGAGACCCUGAGUUUUCGGAAGAGGCAUUCAAUGCCUUCAGCUCGGCCAAUGUGUACAUCCGAACUGUCGAAACGGGCUUAGUAGAGCCACGAAGUAGUAUUUAACAGAUGCGCGGGUAAGUUUUCUUUGUCUGAAUAGGAUAACAUAUGCCAGUAGCCCCCAGGACUAAAAGCAGUUGGUACAACUGAUUUAAGGACCGCUGUAUCACCGGGUUCUUACAGAGAAGAACAACCUGCUAACCCAAGAGCUGGAACAGUGUCGGGCGCGGCUAAAUGCUGCUACCGCCGAACUGGAAAAUUUGAAGAAGCUGUCCACUGGUAACGUUUCCCCUCCAUUGAGGAACAGUAAGUGUAUACCAACUGUGCUAAUACUGCCACUGUUCGCGUAAUAGGGUCGCCGGAUCAACUUGAGGAGAAGUUGAAGAUUGCCCAAGAGGGAGAAAGAGGGGCAAAGAGGCAACACACCGCAGGCGAGCGUGUGCUGACCCGCGUCAGGGACGAGAAAAACAAGCUACAGGAUUCCAACACUAAGUUGGGUGAAGAGUUGAAAGAUGUGCGGGCCCAGCUAGCCGACUCCGUAAAGGAGAACAAAAACCUGCGGGGCGGUAUCUUCAGUAUGUGUCCAAACUAUUUGUGGAUUAGCUCAGAAAAUAGAUGGGACUGAUAUAGUCAUGUUUGCAGGUGUACUGACGGGCCGUCCUGAAGAGGAGGUGUCCGGAUCAUCGAGUGAUCUGCUGCAGAGGCUGUCACAGGUGCACGAGCAUGCUCGGCUAGCCAUGCGGAGCGUGGCUAAGGCCUUAUGGCCGUCCGACUCCCCUCCAGAAAUUAUGGAGGAGCUUGUAGAGUUAUUCAAGGGAGCAUGGCGGCGUAUCCGACUAUGGAAGAUAUCGGCCUGCCGAGAAGGUGCGCGGGAAGCCUGGGCCAUGGUGAAAAUACGAUAUACCAAGCUGGACCCAAAUCACAUGGCCAGGGUUGGACCACUAGGGUCAAAUGGGGAGGAAAUUCCCGUUAGUUUAGUAUAUGACCAAGUAGAGGUGGCCUCCAAAUAUUCCCAACAGGAUUGUAAAUUAGACCGCCUGUUGGAUGGUAUAGAGAGGGAAGUGUUUGAGUCCAAGUGACUAUGUAUUUUCCUUGCCCUUUGUAAUUCUAGCUGAAUUGUAUAGCAUUUGUCAUGGCCGACCUUUUCGCUUCAACCUCCGGACUCAAGGGUGCAGAGUGUUUCCGGAUACCCUCACGGCCGAAUAGGCCGGGGCAUACCUGGAAAACUAGGCGUAGGGGUCAUAAUUGCUUGAACAGACAAGUUGUAUUCUGCUAGUUAUGUUAUAUUACAUUUGAGUCGUAAGAAACAUCUUCGAGAGAGAAUAGUUCCGUUAAGGGUUCCUUUCCCUGGGUGUGCAUGCAUUAGUAGACAUGUCCGAAUUGUGAUGUAGAAAUCACAGUGUGUAUAGCUUCUGGGGGUUCACAAUAGAGUGAGUGCAAAAGUUUUCAUCCACCGACCGAAUAUUCCCUUAAGAACGCUAGCUUUCGGCUUCACCCAGUCUGAGGUACACGUCCGGAUGACUUGACAGUAACAAUCGCAGAGGUGCUCCCUUUACCACCUAGCCGAAUAAUCGGGAAUGUAGGGGUAAGCACAGGAGCCAGGCAACCCAGCUUGGCCAAAACUUAAGUCAUAUCGAUGCAUAUAAUGGCGAAGAAAAGACAUGCGGGAAAACGCACAUGUGUGAUGAGCUUGAUGCUCGGAAAAUAAUAUUAACAAGCUUCUCUUAAAGAAGCCCCCAGGUAUAAUGGGCGUACAUAUGCAAAGAUGUGUACGUCAGCAGUGUUCGGUCAAGCCGAAUGAGUGCUUUAAAGCGAAAAAAAAUUGUGUAAAAGGGAGAAAGAGUAAUGGAAACUAUAGGGGAGAAGGAGACUAACAAAGAGUUCGGCGCUAGGCAUAGAACCUUCGGAGUCUGGCCGCGUUCUAGGGGUUCAGCUCUAGGCGAUUGUCUGAUGCGUCACGAAGACGGUACACUCCUCCGGUGAGAACUUCGUCGAUUAUGAAGGGACCCUCCCAUUUGGGCUUGAGUUUGUCCUUUUUCUUCUCCGGUAAGCGUAGAACGAGUUCGCCAACAUUGUAAGUCUUGGCCCGUACUUCUCUGCUUUGAUAUCUCCGAGCCUGCUGUUGAUAAAAUGCUGAACGGGCUUUAGCAACGUCGAGCUCCUCUUCCAGGGCGUCUAGGCUGUCCUGCCGAUCCAACUCGGCCUCUUUCUCUUCAUAGAUACGCACUCGAGGUGAGUCAUGUAUAAUAUCGCAGGGCAAUACAGCCUCUGCACCGUACACCAUGAAGAAAGGUGUGUAUCCCGUAGUACGGUUGAGCGUGGUCCGCAGCCCCCAGAGUACGGAGUCAAGCUCCUCGACCCAGUGUUUGUCUGAUUCUUUCAAAGAUCGCACUAGCCUGGGUUUGAUGCCGCUCAUAAUAAGACCAUUGGCUCGCUCGACUUGACCGUUUGUUUGCCGAUGGUAGACAGAGGCGUAAUCGAGCUUAACGCCCAGAUUAGCACACCAGGUUUUCACCUCAUCAGCUGUGAAAUUCGAACCGUUAUCGGUGAUGAUGUUGUACGGUACACCGUAACGGUGUACCACAUCGGAUAUAAAUGCAAUCACCGGUCCGGACUCGGCCGUUUUAACUGGUCUAGCCUCUAUCCACUUGGUGAAUUUGUCCACCAUGACCAACAGAUAUUUUUUCUUAUGGCUUCCCCCUUUAAGGGGUCUGACCAUGUCCAAGCCCCAGACCGCAAAGGGCCAUGUAAUGGGGAUUGUUUGUAGAGCGGUUGGGGCAUAUGGCUUUGGUUGGCGAAGAGUUGGCAUCCGACACAGCGUUGGACGAGGUCCUGUGCGUCUACCCGGGCCGUAGGCCAGUAAAAUCCUGUACGGAAGGCCUUGCUGACAAGUUCCCGGGCUGCGGCGUGGUGCCCGCCGAGACCGGCGUGAAUUUCUGCCAAGAGUUGCCGCCCCUCCUGCUAGGAGAUAUACCUUUGAAGGACUCCGGUAGUGCUUUUCUUGUAGAGCUCUCCUUCGUGAACUUUAUAGGCCUUCGAACGCCGGACUAUGCGGCGAGCCUCGUUCUGAUCGUCUGGGAGAUCCUUCCUAUUAAAGUAGGCCAAGAAUGGUUCGGUCCACGGGGCAAUUACUGCCAUGAUGAGGUUGGCCGAUGGUGUUACUUCUGUGGUUGAGGCUCCGAUGAUAUCGGCGUGUUCGUUAUCUGUGUUUGUGUUCGGAACGGGACUGUCGUUGCUAUCUCUCCCUUGCCAUACCAUGGAUGGCUUAAAGAGCCUUUCGAGGAAGAUGUUAGGUGGGACGGGGUCGCGCUUAGCGCCAAUGCGAGCAAGGACGUCUGCCGCCUGGUUACUUUCGCGGGCGAUGUGGUGAAAUUCGAGUCCCUCGAACCGAGCUGACAUCUUCAAAACGACAUUGCGAUAAGCUGCCAUCUUUGGAUCUUUGGCAUCAAAGUCUCCAUUAAUUUGGGAUAUUGCGAGGUUUGAGUCCCCGCGCACCUCCAGGCGUUGUAUGCCCAUUGAUACGGCCAUCCGGAGGCCAUGUAGCAAGGCCUCGUAUUCGGCUGCGUUGUUCGAGUCUGUGUCUAAUAUUUGGAGUACGUACUGGACGAUAUCUCCUGUGGGGACGUUAAUACGACGCCCGCCCCUAGCCCUGCCAACAUCUUGGAGCCGUCAAAAUGCAUCACCCAGUUGGAAUACGCGCCGUACUCUUUAGGGAGUUCGGCUUCUGUCCAUUCGGCGAUGAAGUCGGCCAGUACCUGGGAUUUGAUGGCUCUACGUGGUUUGUACGUGAUGUUGAAUGGCAGGAGCUCAAUGGCCCAUUUGGCAAUCCAGCCCGUUGCAUCCCGAUUGUUGAUUAUAUCAUUGAGGGGCACUUCGGAGGCCACCGUGAUAGAGCACUCCUGAAAGUAGUGUCGCAAUUUUCGAGAUGCCAUGAAGAAUGCAUAUGCUAUUUUUUCAUAAUGAGGGUACCGAGAUUUGCAUGGUGUGAGGACGGUGGAUACGUAGUAUACCGGCUUCUGGAGCGGGAAUUUGUGUCCGUCCUGUUCUCGUUUGACGACGAGUACGACGCUCACCACCUGGUGUGUUGCUGAUAUGUAUAAGAGCAUUGGUUCGCCGGCGUUUGGCGCGGCCAGGAUUGGGUUGCUUGCCAGAAGGGCUUUUAUUUUUUCCAGUUCAGCCGUCGCCGCGUCUGUCCACUCGAAGUUAUCAGUGCGCCGUAGAAGGCGAUAGAGCGGCAGCGCCUUUUCCGCCAACCUUGAGAUAAAGCGGCUUAAAGCUGCCACGCACCCAGCGAGUUUUUGGACCUGCUUGAGUUCGGUUGGCAUAGCCAGUUGUGACAGAGCUCAGAUUUUGGCUGGAUUUGCUUCAAUUCCUCUAUUGGAAACGAUGAAGCCCAAUAGUUUGCCGGCGGGGACGCUGAAGACGCACUUUUCCGGGUUAAGCUUGAUGUCGUAUGUGCGGAGGUUGUCGAAUGUGAGACGCAAGUCGUCUAUUAGUGUUUCGACGUGUCUAGUUUUGAUGACGACGUCGUCCACGUAGGCUUCCACUGUUUUGCCGAUCUGUUUCUCGAGGCAUGUUUGGAUCAUGCGCUUAUAGGUGGCGCCGGCAUUCUUGAGCCCGAAAGGCAUGGUGUUGAAGCAAAACGGCCCGUAUGGUGUAAUGAAUGCUGUUGCGGCUUGAUCGGACUCCUUCAUUUUGAUUUGAUGGUAUCCGGAAUAUGCAUCAAGGAAGCACAUCGAGUCGUGACCUGCGGUAGUGUCAAUAAUUUGAUCAAUGCGAGGAAGAGGGAAGGGAUCCUUAGGGCAAGCCUUGUUAAGGUCUUUGAAAUCGACGCAUAGGCGCCAAGAUUUAUCCUUCUUUGGUACCAUUACCAAGUUUGCCAGCCAGUCCGGAUGUUUAAUGUCUUUGAUGAAUCCGGCCUCGAUGAGUUUGGCUAGCUCCUCCCCCAUAGCUUGUCGUUUGGGUUCGGAAAAGCGCCGAAGAGUUUGCUUGACCGGCUUAUAUCCCUUUAGUAUGUUGAUGCUAUGUUCGGCCAACUCGCGCGGGAUUCCUGGCAUAUCGGAAGGAUGCCAGGCGAAUAUAUCCCAGUUUUCGCGCAAGAAGUCUCGUAGUGCGGCGUCGACUGCAGGGCUGAGUUGCGCUCCGAUAGACGCUGUCUUCUUCGGGUCUGUUGGAUGGACCUGAAAUUUGACUAUUUCUUCUGCUGGCUUGAAGGAAGUGGAUUUGGGUCGUUUGUCCAGGAUCACAUCGUCCUUAUCCACGGUGGAGCGUAGUGCGGUUAGUUCUUCGGCCGCAAGGGCCUCAGACAAUGCCUCGAGGGCCAAGGAUGCGGUUUUAUUCUCUGCGCGGAGGGCUAUGUUCGGAUCGCUGACGAGGGUGAUUAUUCCAUUAGGCCCGGGCAUUUUUAGCUUCAUAUACCCGUAAUGAGGUAUGGCUUGAAAGCGCAUGAAGGCCUCUCGCCCUAACAGGGCGUGGUACCCAUUGUUGAAAGGGGCCACCUGGAAAGUUAUUUCUUCGGACCGAUAAUUCUCCGGCGUGCCGAACACCACAUCAAGUGUAAUUUUUCCUGCACACCGAGCUUCCCGGCUGGGGAUGAUACCUCGAAAGGUUGUGCUGCUUUUCUCGAUGCGGCUCCUGUCUAUUUCCAUCUUGUGGAGCGUGUCCUCGUAAAUGAGGUUUAGUCCGCUGCCGCCGUCCAUGAGGACUUUUGUAAGUCGAAAUCCGUCCACGAUGGGACUAAGGACUAGGGCAGCUGGCGCUCGGACUGUUCUGUAUUUAGGUUCGUCACUGGCGUUGAAGGUUAUGGCCGUGUCGUUUCAGGGGUCUAUUGCAGCGACCUGGCAAACUUCGGCGAGAUCGCGCAGGGCCCUUUUACGCUUGUUGUUUGAAGCGAAUGUCUCGAAGAAUGCCAAUACUAUUGUCGUCGUUUGCUGGAGGGUGUUGUUCUGGGGUGUCCUUGAUAAGGAUGUCCUCGCCGCUCUUGGCUACCUGCCGAAGUAUCCAACAUGCUCUAAGGCUGUGGGUUGCCACGGUAUUCGGCGUCGUGUGUAUUUUACAUGGGCCAUUGAGCCAUCCCUCCAUAACGGUGCCGUGCAAUGUAAUAGGUUUAUGUUUUUUGACUGUUCGGCUGGGCGUGCCACGGGGGCGCGUCCUUUUUGCCUGUAGGGGGAGCCGGGAUGGUUCCCAGCAAGCUGCCUGAGUUUUCCAGGCGCUUUCCAUCGCGCUGUACUUUUGUACAAUAAUUGCUAGGUCAGCGAACUUUGGUAUGCGGCGGCGAUUGAUGGCAUUAAGGAUACCUUCGUCCGCGCAGUUGUUGGAGAAUGCUGCUAUCGCGUCUUCGUCGCGACAGUUUUUUACCUUGUUUUUAACAAGGAGGAAUCUGGCCCAGAAGUGGUGGACCAUUUCCUGAGACUGUUAUUUGAUGCUCCUGAGAGCAUCUAUGUCCGGGUGGGUGGGUGGAAUUGAGUCCGAACCCUGACCCGAUUUUGGAUCCGGAGUUUGGAUGUCUACCAGGCCGGACAGUUCGGGCUCCGGGAUAUCGACUGAUUUUUUAGGCUCACUCUAUGUUCGGAGGAAGAGACAUGCUUUUCUGCCGGAAAAUAUCCGGCUCUUCGAGAUCGGCGAUCCGAACAUAGUUCGUCUUCAAUAUAGUGAAAGAGUUGCUUCGCUCCUCGACUACCGCUAUCUGAUGGGUGAUCGGUGGAGUUUUAAUUUCUCUCUGGUCGGGUUUAGGCCCGACCCGAUCGUAGUCUGUAGCGACCCCCAAGGCGGCCAUGCGAUCCAGGAAUUCGUUCAACGACGAUAACUCCAUUGGAUCCAUGCGGGCGGAGUAUUCGGGAUCAACGCGGAGGUGAUUUUCGAUGACUUGAGAGGUCAUCGUCGGUUUAAGGGCCGAGCCGAUGGUCAUGACGAAGCCGCUGAGCCGGAGGGUCUGGCCUGGGGCCAGGGCUCCUCUGGAGAUGAUAUUAUCCUUGACAACAAGGUGAGCCAUCAACCCUCUUUGCGAUGGCACAGUGGAACUCUCAAUGAAAGCACCAAUGUCGGUGUCAAAACCUGCGGAUCUCGGGUAGGGGGUCCCGAACUGUGCGUCUAGGAUCGAUGGUAACAGGAGACGGGGGACACGAUGUUUACCCAGGUUUGGGCCCUCUCUAUGGAGGUAAUACCCUACUUCCUGUUUGAUUGAUCUUGAUGAAUAUGAGUGUUACAAGAGUUGAUCUACCACGAGAUCAUAAUGGCUAAACCCUAGAAGUCUAGCCUAUGAGUAUAUGGUAAUGAAUCUGUCCCUACCCGGACUAUACUCUCCGGUUUAUAUAGACACCGGGGAGAUCUAGGGUUACAUGGAGUCGGUUACAUAAGAGGGAAUCUUCAUAGUCGGUCGCCUAGCUUGCCUUCCACGCCAUGUGGCAUCCACUCCGGACACGGGUUCAAUCUUCGGUCUUCAUGUCUUCACAGGCCAUCAGUCCGGAUCACGGAUAACAGACCGGACGCCCGAGGACCCCUUAGUCCAGGACUCCCUCAGCGGGCGCAAAGCGGAGGAAGGUUCCGGCUUCAAGGAAGCCAUCUUCUUCAACCUCUCAGUCCAUCCCCCCACAAGGAGGUGCUCCGGCGAUGCCGUUCAACGGUGCCGCUCCCCCCGCGAGCGAGGUGUUCGACGAAAUGGCCGGAAGGUAUAUCUCUUCGGUCAUCGGCGGUUCUAUUUCAUUUUUCGCCAUUGUUCUCGAUAGCUCGUGACUUGUUAUCGUUCGCUAUAGUGGUGGUUCGAACAAUGCAACAACCGAGUUCGUGAACUUGUUGGACACGAACGCGGUUGACAUUGAUCAAGCCCCUUUCGAACCAUUCGACUACAAUGAAACGGAGGGCGGCGUGGACGAUCAUGGUUGUGCAGACGAGUUGAGGAGAUCGAAGUGGAAGCGUUUGAGCAAUCAUAAGCAAAAACUGGGAAAAGCCAAAGAUCGAAGAACUACAUGAUCUUGGAAGAUCAAGCUUUGAUAAAAGCAUGGAGUGCGGUGUCUCUUGAUGCAUGCACGGCUACAUCUCAAACCACCAAGAGAUAUUGGCAAAGGAUCGAAGAUCAAUACUUCCGCAUUAUGAAAAACUACCCCAAUAGGACUCCACACACAUUUUGGUCGCUUCAAGGUCGUUGGGAGAACAUCAAGCCUAUGUGCAGCCACUGGGAAGCUUGCUUGGAGCAAGUACGCAGUGCACCUCCAAGUGGCACCGUGGAGUCCGACUAUGUGAGUUUGCUCUGCCUUUGUUCAAGUUGUGCAUCAUCAUAAUGUAUCAUGAGAAAUGAUUGCAUCACUUUGUUCACAUUGUGUAGGACAAGAUUGCUCAACAUAGAUACAAGGACAUGGAAGCUUCGGAAGGCAGAUUCUUCAAAUUAGAGCAUUGUUGGGAGUUGCUCCAAAAGUGCGAGAAGUGGAAGUUGAUCGACAAAGAAUCCCCACUAAAGAGAGGCUCACUUACAAACAUGGAUGAAGAUGAGGAUGAUGAUGGCCCAAGAAAUUUGCACAAGCCUGAUGGCGACAAGAAGACUAAAGAGAAGAUGAAGAGAGAGAGCAAGAAGCAUCGAGCUUGAGGGAGAAGAUUGAUGCCAUGGUGCAAUCAAACGAGUUGUUGUUGUUGAAGUCGUUGGAGAUCAAAAAAGAGUUGACCGAGAAGAAGGCAAAAGAGAAGCAAGAAAAAUGGCAAAUGCUCAAGGAAGAGGGGCUGCCCAAAGCUGCCAUUGAGGAGAGAAAAGCACGCACCUCUGAAAACAAAUCAAUGUCAUUGUUGCUCGCCGACGAGAACGAGAUCAUGUCAAUGAACCGCAAUGACAUGGACGACGUCACCAAAACAUGGCAUGAUAUGGCAAGGAGAGAGAUUUUGAAGAGGAGAAUGGUCGCCUCGGCCGGUCCGUGUGCCAGUUCCGGUGAUGUUUUCUCUGCUCCAUAUGGUGGCAAUGUGGAUGAUUUCGGUGCGGGAGUUGGAACAAGCGACGGAGGUGGCUACGGUGGCGCCGAUGAACUUCAAGAUGGACUCCAUGGCGCGGAGUGAAGAUCGACCCCCAAGAUGAUGCCGGACAUGGGCGCGAACCUUUGCAUGCCCUCUUUUGCGUAAUGAACUUCGCUUUUAUUUGCGCGCAAACUGUUUAUGUCAUUUGAAUUUGAACUUGUUUGUGAAACCCUAUGACAAAUUUCAGAUUUGCAGUUUUUCUGUUUUCCGGGUCGUUGCGCUGGUGCCCGAGCAGAACCCGCAUAGUCGACCCGUAAAAAAGCAUAUUCCGCGAAUAUACUUUUUUACGGAUCCGUUUGGGGGGUCUGCACCUAUGCCGGCCCGCGCCGGCCCGCAAAAGCAGUUUUGCGCGAACUGCAAAUGCGUUUUGCGGGGUCUGCUAGAGUUGCUCUAAAGCCCCCCCCUUAGUACCGGUUCGGCACGAACCAUCACUAAAGGCCCAUCACGUGGCGUGAGCUCGCGCCGUGGUAUGGGUGACCUUUAGUACCGGUUGGUAGCACCAACCGGUACUAAAGGUUUUUUCUAUUUUUGAAAAUUUUGGAAAAAAAAUGAUUUUUUUUCAAAUUUUCAAAUUUCUAAAUUAUUAGAUGAUUUAGUCUCUAAUCAUCCCUCUUAACUACUCAAGUGUGGAUCACUCAUUCCAAAUCGUCUAACUUCCCGGCUGAUCACCCAUCCUCUCACUACCCCAGCCUGAGCACGCUUAACUUCGGUGUUCUAUUCCCCCUAUUUUCCAAGUCUGCACUUGUUGUUUUCCUAACAAAUGUAAGCUGUCAAUCCUAUUAACCCUCAGGAGUUUAGCUUGAUCAUUAGGUCACACGUUUCACCGUUUGAGUUUGAAACUAUUAUUCUAAAAAAAGUAAUUAAUAUUUCUUGAAUAAGUAGUUUGACCAUAGUUUGACCACAAUUUGACAAUAGUUUGACCAGAUUUGACCAAAAUUCAAAAAGCUGAAAUAAUUAUUUAAUAACAGUAAUAUUCUUGAAUAAUUAUUUAGUAACACUAAUAUUUCUUGAAUAAGUAGUUUGACCACAGUUUGACCAAAAUUCAAAAAAAAACUGAAAUUUGAGCAUAUCUUUUUUUAUAUAAUUUGAGCAUUCUAAAAUUUUGCAAACAAGCCGUAGGCCGUCAAAAUCAGAUGCGGAUUUUCGUGUUGAACAUUUUGAUAUAUUAUACUUUUUUCCGACAUCGUAUGCAAAAGUUAUAGCCGUUUUACAUUUUGAUAACACUUUUUUGCAAAACAUGUCCAAAUUUAAAUUUUUUAAUUUUCCUAACUAGUAGAUGUAGUAAUAUAACUACAUCUCGAAGAAUUUUAUUUUUUGAAUUUUUUAUGAUUNNNNNNNNNNNNNNNNNNNNNNNNNNNNNNNNNNNNNNNNNNNNNNNNNNNNNNNNNNNNNNNNNNNNNNNNNNNNNNNNNNNNNNNNNNNNNNNNNNNNNNNNNNNNNNNNNNNNNNNNNNNNNNNNNNNNNNNNNNNNNNNNNNNNNNNNNNNNNNNNNNNNNNNNNNNNNNNNNNNNNNNNNNNNNNNNNNNNNNNNNNNNNNNNNNNNNNNNNNNNNNNNNNNNNNNNNNNNNNNNNNNNNNNNNNNNNNNNNNNNNNNNNNNNNNNNNNNNNNNNNNNNNNNNNNNNNNNNNNNNNNNNNNNNNNNNNNNNNNNNNNNNNNNNNNNNNNGAGAUUAUAGGUCAGACCCCUUUAGUCCCUGUUUGUGUCUCCAACCGGGAUUAUAGGUCUGACCCCUUUAGUCCCGGUUUGUGGCACGAACCGGUACUAAAGGGCAGUACCGGUUCGUGCCACGAACCGGGACUAAAGGGGCUCAUGGGCCCGGCCUAACGCCAGCCUGCCACCACCCCUUUAGUACCGGUUCAUGGCACGACUGGUACUAAAGAUUCAACACGAACCAGCAUUAAUGCAUAGCCGUUCGAACCGGAACUAAUGAUAUCAUUAGUACCGGGCCAAAGUCGAACCGGGACUAACGUGUCUCACAUUAGGUCCUUUUUCUACUAGUGAGACGGAAGAGGCUCUAGUAUGUCUUAGAGACAUAACAAAAAAUCUUAAUUUUUUAACGUACAUAACGACUUUCCGACUGUCUACUAUAACAAGUUGUGCCCGAUUCCGGCGAGGGAAAGGUGAUGAUGGUGGCGCGCCUUUGGUUCGCUUCAGUGAUGGUGUUAUUGAGUGCCAGCUGGUUAGAACCGGAUCUUGGACUCAAUCGGACUAACACCACGCUGACGACUCGGCAUUCACCAACAAACAUGAUAUAUACACCGGCACGAUUCAUCCACUUAGAUUAUUACGCGCUGGCUAGAUCAUGCUUUGCAUAAGUCAUAUGGCCGCAUGCAUGCAUGCGUACUGGGACUGCACGAUUCUGGCUGAAGUGCAAAAGUAGCUGGCUUGUUUAAUCAUGCGACUUUCGGAUUUGUUAGUGGCUCAGGUGUCUGCUUUUUUCUUUAUCCACCUGGGUGCUUGAAUCUGCUGUUUUAAAAAGGUAUGGGAAUUAGGGUCGUCCAUGUCAACUUACCCUCCACUUACCAUCAGCAAUGCGUGUGAUCCCAUAAUUUUCAGCAGUCAAGCUUCUUUAUCUGCAAAAAAAAUGGUCCAUGAGAUGCAAAUAAUCAUAUAGGUGUGUGCUGAACAUGAUCGUGCAGGCUGCUCGAUCGCUUUAGCUAGCCUUGGAAUUCUUUGGAUAAUCAACACUUGGUCAUAUUAUUUUCUAGAGAACCAAUGAUCAAGUUAAUUAAUGACGAGCUUCUGGGAACGAAUGAUCAACUCUGCAGCAGCCGAGUCAAACGUUAUUGUGUAGCGUACUAGCCCCCAUUCUUUAGACGUGAAGCUUGUAAGGAACUGUAUCAUAUUCAAACAAAACAUAGUAAUUAAAGAUCUUGUGAAGGUUAACCUAACCAUAAUUAUACUAGUAGUAUGAUUUAAAGCCAAACUGGUUGACUAACCCGGCCAAUUAAGGAGAAAAGAGAAGCGGAGAAAGAGAGGCGAAGCUUGGGUGGGCUGCAAAGGGAUUGUUGGUGACGUUGGACAACCGAAAUAUUAUCGUUUUUCUCGAGGGUACGUCAAUGGCGUACCAUAUUUUUAUAGAAGAGAGCAACAUAAUUACAAGAGACUAGACAUGGAUGCGAACACCCGGCUAGCGUCACCCACACCACACGAAACUAACUAAACUACUCUCUUACGAAAGGUUCUAAUCUUCCAACUCCCGCAGUCUUCCAUUCCUUCAGCUCCUCCAUGAUUUGGUCCACCAAGAGUUGAGGUGUCCUUUGCUUCCCGAUGCGACCAAACACCCGCGCAUUGCGUUGUUUUCAAAUAGACCAGGCUAUGGCUAUAACAAGUGUGUCAAAUCCUCUCCUAUGUUUUGCAAUAACGCUCUUCCUAGUUUGAAGCCACCAAGCGGUGAAGGUAGCAUUUUGGUCCGGGUAGGGUACUCCGACUCCAGCCUUUGUAAAGCAAAGGUACCAAACUUCCUUGGCAUAGCUACAGUGCAUCAGAAUGUGAUCGACGGUAUCCUUUUCUUGGAGGCAUAAAAAGCAAGCAGCUGUGUCUGCAAACCAUGCCUCGCCCUCCUGUCCGAUGUCCACAACCUAUAUUGAACUGCCAACCAAACGAAGAUUUUGCAUUUGAGAAUGGCUCCACUCCUCCAAAUGCACUCAUAUGUUGGCGAUCUAAUUAGGCCGAGGCAAAGCCUUUGGUAAACCGAUCUGGCCGUGUAGCUGCCUGAACUAUUGCACGGCCAAGUAAACACAUCUGGCUCAAGAUGGUCCCUUUGCACUCCAGCAAUGGCCGCACGGAGAUGCAUGAGCUGAAUCAGGGCCAUGAAUGGUGGCUCGCCGUUUAUGUCCUGCUCCCACUGAUCAUUUAUCAACACUUGGCACACUGUUCUCAUGUUCUGCAUUCUUGUCGGUACCAAGGACAAAAUGGCUGGUGCUAUGUCAGCCACCGCUGCGCCAUUGAUCCAUCUAUCUUUCCAGAAGAGGACUCGCCCCCCGAUGCCAACUGUAAUGUGUACAUAUCGUCGUUAGGUAGGGUGCAUGUGCAGUUCGGUCUUGUCCGCAAAACUAUUUGACUCAUUAAUCCCUAUGAAAAUGACUCGAUCAUACAUUGUGCUAGAAAUUGUACUUCAUCUAUAAAGAUAUAUAAGACAUUUUAGAUCUCUACUUUAGUGUGUCGCAUGCAUUUUGCUUGGCUCUCUGGGUCCUAUCAGACAAAUUAGAUACUCCAAUGAUCAAGUAUUGUACUUUUCUAAUGCACAUGUUUUAAUUGUUUCUAGGUCCCAAAUUAAACAAAUAAAAAUAACAGUAUGUGCAUACAUACAAAUGAUGCGGUUGGAACCCUCCUACAGCCAAAAGUUUGGAAGGCAAUGACCAUUCUCAAGUGUAUAUUUUUCAUGGCUCAUGUGUUGCAUGGCCAAUCCUCCGGCAACCAGGGAAUGACUCCAUAGCUCAACCUACCAAUUAUGCUUUGCGAGCAAUGAGACGUUGCACACCUAUGUAAGGACUACCCUUCCUUGAAGCAUGUAUGGAAGACGGUCAAUGUUGAAAUGGGCCUACCCACAAGAAUAAAUGUUUGAAUCCGUCCCCAAUCCGAGGUAAUUUAUUAACCUAUGGUGGGUGUUAGAGUUGUAUUUUUUUUAUAUACGUGUACGUGUUGUAUAUCCAUUGUAUUUCCUUGUUGUACAAGUUGAUCUAAUCAAUAUAAAGAGAUACCAACCGGUUGGGGCUAACCAUGGCAAAUAAUUCCUUUUGACUUGGUAUACAGAGCGGGUCGAUCCGACCUAGGGUUUCGCUCACGCGCUUCCGCCGCCGCCAUCUCUUUUCCCCGCCGCCGCCGCACCUCGACGCGAUGGGUGACACCGCCGCCGCGUUGCAGCUUGCCCUCUCCACUUCGAGCACCUCGUCCCAGUCCUCCGCACCAUCCAUCCCCGCCGGCGCCAUCAUCUCCGCCCCUACCGGCCAGAACCUCAACACCAUCACGAUGCGUCUAGAUCGCACCAAUUAUCUUCUAUGGAAGAUGCAAGUCGUCCCCAACAUCGCCGGUCAGGGCUGGUACGGCUUCCUGGACGGCUCCUAUGGAGCCCCUCCGGCCACGAUCACCGAAGGAGACGGUGCCAAGGCCGUGACCAAGCCCAAUCCAGAGUACGCCUUGUGGUUCUACACGGAUCAGCGUGUUCUCAGCAUCCUCGUCGGCUCCAUGACGGAGGAGAUCCUCGGCCACGUCAUCGGCCGCACCACCGCGUCCUCUGUGUGGGCGUACCUCGAGUCCAUGUUCUCGGCGCAGAACAGGGCCGGGGUGCGCCAGAUGCGGCGUCAACUCUCGACGCUGAAGAAGAACGACCUCACCGCCGCCGCCUACUUUCACAAGAUCAAGGGUUUCGCGGACGCCAUGGCCCAGGUGGGGUCGCCUCUCUCCGAUGCUGAGGUGAUCGACUACAUCGUCGUCGGUCUCGGGCCUCAGUACGAGUCCCUCCAGCACUCUUUCAUGGUGUUGGCAGCCGCCGGCGCUGACAACCUUAGCCUAUCGGAUUUCUACUCCAUGCUCCUCUCCUGCGAAUCCCUCAAGGAGCAGAACGCCUUCGCCCCCGAGUUCUCCACCUCCGCUAAUGCCGUGGCACGGCAAGGCGACGGCUGUGGAGGGGGGCGCAUCUUCGCCGACACCACCAACGACGGCCGCGACGGGGGUCGUCCUACUGGCUCGCACGGAGGCGGCCAGUACAACGGCGGUCAGCAGGCCUCCCGCGGUAACAACCGCCCCAACCAAGGGGGCGGUGGUGGUGGCAACGGCGGAGGAGGAGGAGGACAGGGCAACGGCGGUGGCAGGCGCAACAACCGGCGAGAGCGCCCCCGCUGUCAAGUUUGCCGAUACUGGGGGCAUGAGGCUCUCCAGUGCAAACAACGCUACAACCACGCGUUUCAGUACGACGAAAAUCGUGCUGGCAAUUCUGCCUCUUUCCAACCUGCCCCCAGUCAACCUUGGCUCUUCGACACCGGCGCCACGGACCAUCUCACCAACGACAUGAGCCGGAUGAACAUCCAGGAGCGCUACAAUGGCACGGACCAAGUGCAAGUCGCCAACGGUGCAGGUUUGUCUAUUACACAUGUUGGUCACUCUCGUUUACCUAGUUCAUCGGCCCCAAUUGAACUCAAAAAUAUUCUCCUUGUUCCUGACCUUAGCACUAAUUUGCUCUCCGUUUAUCAUCUUGUUUCUGACAAUAAAAUCUUUGUUGAAUUUCAUAAAUUCUUUUUCUAUGUCAAGGACAAGUUUACGAAGAAAAUUCUUCUUCGCGGUAGGAGUCGUGGCGGCCUCUACCCUCUUCCGUUCAGUCGCGCUGUCACCUCUGGACGUCAUGCGUCUUCCGGCGUUAGGCUGACUACCGAGCAGUGGCAUCGGCAUCUUGGUCAUCCUUCAAAUAAAAUAGUUUAUACCAUUGUUAGCUCCAAUAAAUUGUUGUGCUCUCCAAACAAUGAGUCCUCUGUGUGUGAUGCUUGUCAGCGUGCUAAGGGUCAUCAGUUACCAUAUAAUUAUUCUACUCGUGUUUCUACAUCACCACUUGAGCUUAUUCAUACCGAUGUUUGGGGGCCUGGUUUGCCAUCUUCCGGGGGUUUCAAGUACUAUGCCAGCUUCAUUGAUGACUAUAGUCGUUACUGCUGGAUAUACUUGAUCAAGCAUAAAUCUGAUGUUGAGAGCAUUUUUUACAUUUUUCAAAACUAUGUUGAGCGUCUCUUGAAUGCUAAGGUUCGUUCUGUUCAGUCAGACUGGGGUGGUGAGUAUCACCGUCUCCAUGCUUAUUUUCAGCGCACCGGCAUUGCUCAUCGUGUGUCUUGUCCACAUACCUCCUAACAGAAUGGUAUAGCUGAACGCAAGCACCGUCAUCUCGUUGAGACGGGUCUAGCCCUCCUCGUACACUCCUCCCUGCCUCUUCGGUUUUGGGAUGAGGCGUUUCUUACUGCUUGCUAUCUCAUCAAUAGGAUGCCUACGCCUGUUAUCAAUAAUGCCACACCCAUGUUUCGCCUCCUCAACAUGCUUCCUGAGUAUUCUUUUCUCCGCACUUUUGGUUGUGCAUGUUGGCCUAGUUUGCGUAAGUACAAUUCACGUAAACUCGAGUUUCGCUCUAGGAUGUGUGUGUUUCUUGGUUAUAGUCCCAUGCAUAAAGGCUACAAGUGCCUUGAUCGCUCCACUGGUCGUAUUUACAUCUCCCGUGACGUCGUGUUCGACGAGACGGUGUUUCCCUAUGCCACUCCCGGUGCCACUGUUGAUGUAUCCCAACUCCUUCCCGUGUCGUUUCCGUCCGAUGAGCCAGUUACUCAGAGUACCGACACGCGUAAUUAUGACAUUACCUUGUUACCGGCUAAUGCACCUGGUGUUGUUGUUAGUUCUCCUGUGCAGGUCCCCGCGACGUCAACUUCGCCGCUCGAUGUCCCUGCUCCAUCAGCGCCACCGCCUCUGCAUGUCUCGGGCGGCGCGCCUGGGCCCGACUCUCAUGCAGGCACGCCCCGCUCGCCCGGGCCGGCCUCUCCUCUGCAUGCCUCGGGAGGCACGCCAGGGGCCCGCUUGCAUGCAGGCACGCAGGCUGCUCCCGGAUCGGCACCACCUCUGCAUGCCUCGGCUGGCACGCCUGGGCCCGGCUCGCAUGCAGGCACGGCCCGCUCGCCCGGGUCGGCUUCUCGUGCCGCUUCUGGUGCCGACCCCGCCCAGGCCGAUUCGCCGGUCCCGGUCGUCGACCACGGCCCGCGGUCUCGCUCUCCGUCGCCAGCACGGUCAUCUGCCUCGCCGGCUCCUGACGGGGCUUCUUCGCCUGGCCUGUCUCCGGCCCGUGACGAGGCCGCUUCCUCGCCCUCGUCGACGUCUUCUACACCACCAGCGUCGCCACCUCCAGUGCCUCCCGCUGCUGAACCGGCACGGGUCAUCGUCGCGCGACGGCGCAAUGAUAUUUCUCGUCCCAAGGUGUAUCGAGAUGGCACGGUUCGAUAUGAUCCCUAUCGUCGCCGGGCGUUUAUGGUGGAGCCUGCAUCUCAUCGUAUUGCUCUCUCUGAGCCAGCUUGGCGUGCUGCUAUGGAGGCUGAGUUCGAGGCACUUCAGGCUAACAAAACGUGGAUAUUGGUACCCCGUCCACCUGGCACUAACAUUGUCGGCAGCAAAUGGAUCUUCAAAACGAAGUUCCGUCCCUAUGGUUCUGUUGAUAAAUACAAGGCGCGUCUUGUGGCUCGAGGCUUCACACAGCAGUAUGGUAUAGAUUAUCAUGAUACUUUCAGUCCUGUGGUUAAACCAAUCACCGUUCGCCUGGUGCUUGCUCUUGCUGUUUCUCGUGGUUGGUGCCUUCGUCAGAUUGAUGUGAGUAAUGCCUUCCAUCAUGGUUUUCUGUCUGAGGAAGUGUAUAUGCAGCAGCCCCCCGGUUUUCUAUGGUCUCAAAUAGUCGCCUCGUGCCUGGUAUGCCCGUUUGAGUGACAAGCUUCAUCAGCUCAGUUUUGUUGCUAGCAAGGCCGAUACCUGUCUGUUCAUCUUUGAUCAUCAUGGGGUUAUUAUAUAUAUGUUUGUCUAUGUUGACGAUAUUGUUUUGGCUGGGUCCUCUUCGGCUGUUGUUGAGAAACUGGUUACCACUCUUUCUGGUUCUUUUCCUGUCAAGGACCUUGGGCGCCUGGAGUAUUUCCUUGGUAUUGAGGCCACUUAUAAUUCUGAGGGUCUGGUCUUGUCGCAGCACAAAUAUGCUCUUGAUCUCUUGCACCGGGCCAACAUGGAGCAAUGUCGGUCUGUUACUACUCCCAUGUCUACUUCCGACAAAAUGUCUCGAGAUCAAGGCCAGCCGUUGAGCUCUGAGGAUGUUUUCAAGUACAGGAGUCUUGUUGGGGGUCUCCAGUACCUCACUCUGACAUGUCCUGACUUGUCCUUUGCUGUUAACAAGGUGUGUCAAUACUUGUCGCAACCUACUACCGCUCACUAUGAGGCAGCGAAGCGAAUUCUUCGCUAUAUCCGAGGUACUGUGUCUACUGGCUUGCGUUUCCGGCGCUUCGCUUCUAUGGGACUGAGUAUUUUCAUUGAUGCCGAUUGGGCGGCUGUCCUGAUGAUCAUCGGUCUACGGGCGGUUUUGCCAUUUUUCUUGGCUCCAACCUCGUCUCUUGGAGUUCUCGCAAGCAACCCACAGUUUCUCGUUCUAGCACUGAGGCAAAAUACAAGGCUUUGGCUAAUGGCACCGCUGAGGCUAUAUGGAUACAGUCGGUGUUGAAGGAGCUUGGUGUGUUUCUUUCUCGCCCUCCGGUGUUGUGGUGUGACAAUGUUGGCGCCACAUACUUAUCUGCCAAUCCAGUUUUUCAUGCCCGCACAAAGCAUAUCGAGGUUGAUUUUCACUUUGUGCGUGCGCGGGUUGCUUUGGGUGCUCUUGAUGUUUGGUUCAUCUCCACUGGCGAUCAGUUGGCUGACGUAUUCACGAAGCCUACUUCUCAGCUCACACUUCGUCGUUUUAGUUCCAAUCUCAAUCUUGUUCACGACGGUUUAGAUUGAGGGGGUGUUAGAGUUGUAUUUUAUAUAUAUACGUGUACGUAUUGUAUACCCAUUGUAUUUCCUUGUUAUACAAGUUGAUCUAAUCAAUAUAAAGAGAUGCCAGCCGGUUGGGGCUAACCACGGCAAAUAAUUCCUUUUGACUAUGGGAUGGCUUUCUCGCCACCCAUUAGACCAAAAAGCACCUGUGCGUAGCAUCUAUCUGAUCUAUGCACCGUGGAAUAUUUAGAAGAAAAGGAAACGAUCAAUGUUUAUUGGCCAAAAGGAUGACUUACCAGGGGUGGUACAUCUAGCUUUGGCGGACAUCCACAUGCAUAUUCUUGUAUUUUUUUCCUGCACUAGUAGUUUGCAUGCCGGCUUGGGGUUUUAGUUAAGUCUCACCAAGACAUAGCAGUGCCCUUCUGACUAAAUUCCUUGAACCUAUGAAUCUAAAGCUUAUUUGGUCUACAGGAUUUUAAAAACACGUGAGAAUAGGAAAACAUAGAAGCUGGACCUUCAUGUCAUGAGAUGUUACAUCCUACGGGAGUUCAAAAAAAAUACAUGAUCGAGCCAUUUGUUUGGUUACAUCAGAGAGAAGAAACACCUUUUUUUUUCCUUUUGCGGAACACGGGAAUUUUUUCGAAAGGAUUACGCCAUAAUUGUCACAGAAGUAAAAAAAACUAUAAGGUUAGGCUUUACGGAAAUUUAGCUUCCAAAUUUUAUGAUAAAUAUUGCCAUGAUUUUCAAUCCAACGAAAAAACAAGAAACAUAGGAAAAUUCUCCAUGAAAUAAAGAGUAUAAUUGGUUUGCUACCAAGACUUGCCAACUAUUGGUAAUUUUAUGUGAGAUAGACAAGACAACUCGUAACCAACCAAGCAGUAGCCAAUAUUUAGUACAAUGCCAAGCAUUGGCAUUGCUAAUUUUUGGCAGCAAACCAAUUAUUCUCAAAACACUCCAAAAUCAAUGAAACUACUUUAGAUGGAAGAGGCCCGCCCGUACUAUGUCUUAGAGACACAACUAAAUGUCUUAAUUUUUUUUUAUAACGUACAUAACGACUACACGCAUAUGAUGCAUGACUCACGCAUGGUGGACGAAUACUCUCUAGUGUCACCAACCAAUCCCUGCCUUUUCAACAGAAACAUAUAUCACGAGUGGUGUUAUUGAGUGCCAGCUAGUUAAAACCGGAUCUUGGACUCAAUCGGACUAACAACACGCUGACGACUCGGCAUUCACCAACGAACAUGAUAUAUACACCGGCACGAUUCAUCCAGCAGACGUGCAUGUCCGUCGAAUUUGAUUACAGCUACUUAGAUUAUUACGCGCUGGCUAGAUCAUGCUUUGCAUAAGUCCCAGGACCGCAUGCAUGCCAACUGGGACUGCACGAUUCUGGCUGACGUGCAAAAGUCAAACUGGCUAGUUUAAUCAUGCGACUUUUGGAUUAUUUGUUAGUGGCUCAGGUGUCUCCUUUUUUCUUUAUCCACCUGGGUGCUUGAAUCUGCUGGUUUAAAAAGGUAUGGGAAUUUGUUAGGGUCGUCCAUGUCAAGUUACCCUCAACUUACCAUCAGCAAUGCGUGUGAUCCCAUAAUUUUCAGCAGUCUUGUUUCUUUAUCUGCAAAAGAUUAAGUCCAUGUGAUGCAAAUAAUUCCAUCUACACCUCCGUUCAAGUCAGGUUUCCUUUUGUAUCUUUUUCUUCGAAAAAGAGGAUUAAACCCCCAGCCUAUGCAUCAUUGCGAGGUUUUUUUUUUUGUAUUUUAUUUUCUGAAAAGGAGGUUGAAAACCCCAGCCUAUGCAUCAUUGAUCAUUGUGAUGGUUUCCUUCUGUAUUUUUUCUCCGAAAAAGAGGUUGAAACGCCCGGCCUAUGCAUAUUGUGAGGGUCGAAUUUUGUUUUCUUUUGGGAGUACGUACGAACGAAUCCAUGGAAGUACAAGGUGAAAACCUAAAUACUUCAGAGCGCACGCGCACUAUCUUGGUGAAACGAGCGGCCGAGCACGAGCCGCUCGAUCAGCCCAGAUCGUGCGGUCAUCGGCAUCAGGUGGUACCCGGUCGGGAGGCGACCGAACGUGCACGUGGCUGGGCCUGCCCGCAAGCACCACUCUCCAGGUCCAGCCGGUUCGCAUCGCACAGGGAUAGCAUGAAGGGUGAGCCACGCCUCUUUCUCCUUCCCUUAUCCAUUUUCCUUUCUUCUAGCCAUGUUCGUUUCAUUUCCUCCCCAAAUCCGGCAGGGAUAGGCCACCGCUGCCGCGAUUGCAGCCGAAGGCGAAGGGCGGGAGCGCGGGAUCCGCAUCUCGUCACCGGCGCAGGUACAGUAGCCCGCCUUUUUUGCCUCGCAUCUCCUGCUUUCCCAUUUUUUCCCUGCCGUGGUCGGAUCCUCCGUGAUUGGCUCGCCGAAGAGGGGUUCUAGGUUUUCCGGUGGAUGUCCAGCGAGUACGAGGUAGCUUUCGCGAAAGGCGUCGCCCGCGACUACCUGGUUAACUCCAGUGAUUUGGGGAGUUCCUGUUUUGUCAGGGGGAGUCGAGGGUGCGUGUUCUAGGGGAUACGGGUUUCAUGGCGAUUCACCUCCAUAUCACGCAAAUUCAGCGAGGUAUUCCAGCGUGUUGCCUCCGGCCAAACCGCCUGAUCUGGCAUGGCGAUUUUUUGAUUUUUUUAGCGGUGAUUUGAGUUGGAAUAGAAGGAAGGGAGUACAUAAGAGUACUGAGAGGAUAGUUCUGAUGUUUUUGCUCAACCCUCUCAAAAUACAUCCGUGUGGUUUCUCUGUUUUCUCAUAAGUUGCAUGCAUAUAUGUAACCAGUUGGCUGGUUUGUUCUCGUAGCUGCAGAAAAACGCAAAUGUAGUUGGAUUACACAUAUACAUAUCUCAUUUGGCUAGCCAACUUAUGGAGUUGCACAAUGAUGGCUAACCAAUUGCACAAUGGAUGGUAUUCAGAUGGAUACAUUGUGUAAACCAUGUUCAAAGAGUAUGUGUGUUUUUUGGUUGCACACUCAUGGGUGCUCUGUUGUGAAGGGUAUGCGUUCAUACAGGAGUUUGCAAAAUCAAAGCAGUACAUAUCCUAGUUGGCUUAGUCACACUUAUGCAGUUGUACAUGAUAGGGCUAUGUAGUUGCAUGGCUGGAGGCUAGUUUAGUUAUGGCUCAUAUGCCUAAAUCAUGAUUAGUUAGUGUGUAUGCAGAUUUUUUGGUUGCACACUCAUGUGUGCCCUGUUGGCCAUACAAUGCAUCAGGUUGCACACAUAUUGUUUUGUUUCGUAGGUGUGCUUUGAAAAAUCAACAUUACUUGUUUAAAUCAUGGCAUUAUUUUGAUAUCAAUUUUUCCCUCAUUUUUCUCUUUUAUACAUAUGGUUGCUUUGACUAAUUUGUUCGUUUGCUUUUUUAACAGACCAAAAAUGGUUGUAGAAGGAGAUGCGGCUCCUAGUGAAGGAGAGGUAUGUUUGCUUUUUCACCGUUUUUCAUUUAUCCUUGUAGAAGUUUUGUUUUGCAAUUAUAAUAACUAUUUUUUGGAGGGUUUUCCUGACCAUGUUCUGGAUUUUGUUUGUUCUAUGCAGGGAUCUGCAAACCAUUCUUCUAGGUAGAACUCGAAACGGCCCACCGAGCGGCAGACGCGUCGUGUUGAUAUCGACGGGGAGGCAGAGGAUGAUGAGGCAAGUAUCGAGCAACCAGUGUGUGUGCAUUUCACUUUUUUGCGCGCGCGCACACACACACAUACACACACACAGAGAGAGAGAGAGAGAGAGAGAGAGAAGUAACUUUUUCCAUGCAUCCUUUAGGUUGCUUACCAAUUCCGCUUUGUGAAAUGGUGUAAACGGAAGGCGACCACGCAGGCUCGAGUUGUAGAUGGAGCCGGCACAUCGUCUGAAGUAGCUGCUGAGGUAACAUGAAAUGACAUUAGGGUUUUUUCUACUAUUUUUUUCUACACAAAGAAACCUAGGGUGUGGUAUUUUACACAGUUGCACAAGAACCAGCUAGGUGUUGGGUUGGCAUCCUGAACUUUUAUAGUUGCACAAGAAUGAAUUAGGAGUUGGUAUCCUCAACUUUUCAAAUAGUUGCACAACAAUAUCGUACGAGUUGGCAUCCUAGACUUUCAUAGAUGCACCAGAACCAUUUGGGAGUUGGCAGUCUCAACUUUUUAAAUAGUCCCACAACAAUAUCACAUGAGUUGGCAUCCACAACAAUUUUAGUUGCACAAGAACCAAUCGGUAGUUGGCAUGCCCAACCUUUUUUAAUAGUUUCACGGCAAUGCCACAUGAGUUGGCAUCUUCAACUUCUUUAGUUGCACAAGAACCAUUCAGUAGUUGGCAUCCUUAUGUGUACACAUGAAUCUGAUUUUCUAGGUUUGCAGAUGCACUUGAAUGUAGUUGCACUACUUAUUUGGUAGAUUAUAAUCUUUUAAAAUUCAAUAUUUUUCAUUUUGUGUUCAGACAUGCUAAAUUCAUGUUCAUCAGUUCAAAAUUCAUUACAUAGUUGCAGAAACCUGCAACAUGAAUUGCAUCCAGGAGUACUAACAAUUGCGCAAAAUAGAUGAUGAAGUUGUACAACAGCCAGCAUAAAGUGUUUUUGGAAUUCAGCAUACAGAAGUUUAGCUAAAACCAAAAUGAAUACGAAAUUAUAUGAGUUGGCAUCUUCUAAUUCUAUAUGAGUUGAAGAUGCCAACUACUGAAAUCCAAACACCACAAGUAGAUGGAUAUGGGAGUGUUGUCAAUUUGCACACUUGUACUUUAAGUUGCACAAACACAAGCGAGAGUUGGUUCAUUUCUUCUCAGGCUUCUUUUUUGUAUCACUAGCAAUGUGCCCGUGCGUUGCAACGGAUCCAAAGUAGAAUAGUACUUGUUCACAAACUUGAAAGAAAACACUCUUGUUUUGAUAUACAUAUAUACCACUAAAAAUAUAUUACGUUUCACUCAAAAUAUAUUUCUCAGGUUGUUUUGAUGAGGCGAGGGAGGGAUGUGUUUGCUUUCAAGAUAAUAAGGGGUUUCUUCAAAUUGGAGCAGAGAAGUGGGCUAUUGUUGCAAAAAUGCCACAACUUACCUCGCAGCCAUUAGAUGUAGAUCUAAUGGUCAGAAAUGACGGAUGGCAGACACACCAUCAUCACCAACUGAGUCUUUUAUAGGAGUAGAGAUAUGCAGGUUUUACAGGGUAUGGGGGUGGAUGAGCUGCUGUAGAUUUUUGCUCACAAUUCUAAGCUACAAAGUCAUGUAUACUAGUGUGUGGAAAGAUCAAAGGAAAAAACACAUGCAAACCAGAUUCUUGUCUAGUUGGUAGCUAUGUUUUCAUAUUACCUACAAUAUACUUUUCUUUUCUUUUCCUUUUUUGCUACAUAGACAUUGGUUCUUCUGAAUUAUGUGUGAAAUAAGACUCUCUAUGUCCUCUCUCCUAUAUGUUGGCACAUUUUCUGCGUUUUGUUGCACACAUUGUUGCAAAAGUUGGCUAGUCCCAUGAUGAAGUUGCAUGAAAAUCAGUUGCACAUGUACCAGAUCUCCCUAUUUUUUUAUCUCUGUUUAUACUCUCUUCAACUAUGAAGAAGUUAUUUGUGCAAGGAGAAAUUUGGUGAGAGGGGAAAGGGAAAGUUAAGGAGGGAGGAUGUGAACAGGAGGCAGAAGUGAUCACUUCUUUUUUUCACCCUUGUUGGUUCUGCCGGGUACUUUCUGAUAUGUUUGUGCUUGCUCUUUUUUUCUUUUUUGUAGCAAUUGUUAUUACACAUUGAUUCAUCUGCCAUGGCAGCUCUGGCGGUGGAGAUCCAGACCUGGAAACCCCUAGUUUAAUGGGAAAGAAGGUGGGAGCAGGUAGGGCAUGGGGAGAAGAAGUUGGUGGCCAGGAGGGCAUGGGAGGGCACGUGAUGGCCUGGGGACCGCGUACAGCGCGUGGUUUAUUGGGUUAGAACGCAUCUAUUGCUACUCGUGGAGCGCUUUCCUUUUCUGGAACGAUGGGGACCAAAUUUUUUCCUUUUCUGGCGGCCGCUCGGGAACGCUAGGGAGCGGCCACGCUAGGGAGCAGCCAGCCGCUCCCUAGACGCUUCCAGGUGAAAAGGGGGUGGGUGCAUACGAAGUACGAACACAUGUUGCUAAGAGCAUCUCCAGCCGUUCGGCCCCCCAGGGCGCCGAAAAACUGCGCCCUGGGGGCGGCCUCGGCCCCAGGCGCCCCCCCAGCCUUGGCAAAUUCAAGCGUAGUUCAUUCCCGCGCCCAAAAAUAAACGCCACAAUCCGGCGAUCAAGCGGUGAUCGGCGAUCGAUGAAAAGUUCGGCGUACAAAAAUCAGAAUAGAAACGCGCAUCAGACGGCGAGGUCGGCCUUCGGCGUCGGCGGAGUCGGCGUGCGCGGGCUUGACGGGGUCUCUGUGCUUGGCGGCGUGGCUUCUGCGCUGCGGGCAGUCUCGGCGGCAUCAUCGGUCGGGCUUGUUGGCGGCGUCGGCGUGCGCGUGGGCGGCGUCGUCGAGGGAAGCUGGUCCAGGAUGAGGCCGACGUGCGCCCUGUACCACGCCUUGACCGCCUCGUCGGUGCUCUGGAGCAUGUCCGCCCCGCCCAGCAGGAAAGCCAGGUCGGUGUUCCUCUUCUUCGCGGCGACGUUGGUCCGGAGUAGGUCGAGCUUGACGGCGCUUGUCGACAUCAACGCCGACCACCGCACCUCAGUCUUCUCUUCACGAAGGACGGCCCGGGCCUGUGCGUCGGCGAGGCAGUGCUGGAUGGAUUCCUGCACGCGAGCGGUGGCCGCGUCGGCGUGUUUCCCCUUCUUGGCACCUUUGUUGCCGUCCGGUGGCGCCCUCGGCUUCCUUUGCUUCGGCCGGGCGACGGAGGCGGUCGCGGUUGCCGCGGCGCGGGGGACGACGUACUUCUUUGGUGCCAUGGCGGCCGGCUGGGAGGCGAGCGGGAGAGAGAAUGGCGGGAGGAAAGGAGAAAAUGGGAGGGAACUGGGGGAAAAGCGGGGAGAAACGGCAGGAAGAGGCGCUUGACUCGCCGACAGGGCGGAUCCACGCGCGCCUUUUCGCUUGUGCCGGCGCCCCAGGCGCCCCCCAGGGCGCCGGGUUCUGCCUGGGUCCGCCGGCACAGAUUCGGCCCGAGUCGGCGAAAAACGGGUUUCUGGAGGGCGACUGGGCCGUUUUUUCGACGCCGGCGCGGCAAAAACGCCUGGGAAGGACCUGUUGGGGGGCGCGGCUGGAGAUGCUCUAAGGGCGACCGGUCCGCGUAGUGAUCCACUAAAACACAAUCUUAAUCCGCACGUGCUAGCUAGCUACUGGUCAAGAAGAAAUAAGUACUCAGAUGGAAUGUACAUGUACGCGCCAUCGACAGAACAGGUCAGCCGGUCGGAGGAGAAGGGUUUCAUAUGGGUCAAUGGCUCAACUAGCUAGCUUCGUUGCCGAGGUUAUCUGCUGUCGUGGAAUUCUUCUAACUCUUCGCCUUUACCCUACUAGGAGUAGUAGAUUUGAGCCAUACCACACAUGUGCAUGGACAUGCGUGGGAUGUGACAUAGUGAUGAGGUGGAGAUUGGUCACACGUAAAUAUGCAUGUGCCGGUUUUGCUAAGCUAAGCUACUACGCACUGUGCUUAUUACCAAGUCAAAUGAAACGAGGACAAGCGUCUCUGUCACACGGCAGGUAGCUGCGAUUGGUUAUGAAACGAGGAUCUAUGUGCUGGGAAUUACAUCACAUGUACGUGGCAUCCUAAUCUCAGGUCAGAGCUUCGUUAAGUAGUGAAGAGCACGACAUCUAUGCAAAUCUAGCUAUGCGCUGGUAUCUAGCGGACAAACGAUGCACAGGGCCUGUUUGGAUGCUGCCCCUGCACGCCCUACCAAAUCACGGGCUAGCCAAAAAAAUUGGCGCAGGUUUCAGCCGCCAGCAACUCGCCAAUUCAAUGGCGGAAAAAUGAACUGCUGCGGCCUGGGCAGCCAAAUUAUUGGCCCCGAACCAAACAAGUGCCCGCCUUUUGAUCAACUACCAAUUUUUUGGCUUGGCUGCCGCAGGCAUCGAUCCAAACAGACCCUAACUAAUCUGCGCCAAACCAAUGCGCCUGUUGUUACCAUGUCCCGGCCCGCCGGCAUCGUGGAUGGCAUAAAAUCCUUGUCGCUAGCUGCAAUCAGAUCGCUGAUCUGUACUGACAGCUCAAGUGGUGGAAUAAUAAGCUUCAUCGCCGUGGGCAAUAGGACACAUCGAAAAGGGCAGGCUACGACACGUUUCUCGUCUAACUUUCGCUGGACAAACUCCCUGGGAUGGUAAGUACUCCGAGACGUGCAGAGGUCGGUGCUUACCUAGCCGCAUGACUGUCGUCUGUCGGUAGACUAAUCUAAGAGUAUCUCUAACAGACCCUGUAUAAGUGGUCAAAACCAUAAAAUAAUCGCUUUUUACAGUUUCGGUAAAAAAAGGCCGAACAGACCCCUUAAAAUCGUCCGACUCUUAAAUUUUUUUAAGGGACCGAACGCGGAGCUGAAACCCUCAUAUCUACAGUUUUGAAGGCAACUUUGCCAGGGCCCUGCAUACUGGUCAACAUUGGCGGUUAAGGAAUCUCUGUUCCCACCAACGCCAUGAAGCUCGCCCGGCCGCCCGGCCGCCACCCGCCCGCCGCGCUAGCUAGCUGUGAAUCGAUGCGAGCAAGCUAGUUAGCUAGCCCCGGCCGCGUCUCUCGCUGCGGCGACGGAGGAGCUAGCUAGCUCGCUCCUGGAUGGAUUCGAGCUGAUCCAGCUAGCUAGCUCUCAAUCGAUUCGAGCCCCGACGGAGGAGCUUGCUGGCUCACCGCUUCAUGCGCUUCCUAUUUGGUCGUUUGCGACUUCGUUUUUGACAGCUUCGUGUCCUAUCUAUCGGUCUCGCGGGAGCAAGCUAAUUGACCAUGGACAUGGACGAGAGGAAGAAGAAGACGUGGGGAAAGAUUCCGUUUUAUAGCUUAAGUUUGAGGAGUCUAUUCUGCCGCAGCUAAAACUAACCCAUAAAACAGCAUAUUCCGCGAAUAUCCUUUUAUACGGGUCCGUUUUGUGGGGUCUGUCUCUGCGGCCGUCCGUGCCGACCUGCAAAACCGUUUUUCCACAAACUGCAAACGCGCUUUACGGGUCGGCGGGAUACGGGGUCUACUAAAGAUGUUCUAAGUCCCUAUGUAGUAUUUUUCAGUCUUUCAGAAGAUCAGAAGAUUAGGAUGUGUUACCAGUCAGGAGAGAAAGCUGCAUGUCCUGUCUGGGUUUAAACAAGCAAAGUCCGGCAGAUCAACGUCGGAAGAUUCGAUGCCAUUGCUGUUUAGGUGGCAGAAUCGAGCGCCGUGUACCUGAUUAGUACUAGUACAGUACUCCAUCCGUUUUUAUUUAGUUUACAUAUUAGAUUUGACUGAAGUCGAUUAGGUUUAGAGAAAUAAUAUAAAUAUUUACCAUAACAAAUUUAUAUGAUGUGAAAGUACAUUCAAUAAUUAAUCUAAUGAUAUUGAUUUGUUAUUGUACUAGUCGUCAACCCGUGCAUUCGCACGGGCUAGUGUAUAUUUUAUUUCAUUUUAUAUUUAUUUAUACAUUGUCCUUUUGUUAUUUUCUUUUAUGAAUUUUGCAAGCUCACACAUAAGAAUUUGAAAUUCUAUAUUCAGAUGCCAGAUUGUUAAAAAAUACUCUUAUAUGUCCAUAUUUGGCAACAUACGUCAUUUGAUUAGUUGUACAAAUUUACUAUUAUAUAUGUAUAACUUGAGUGUAUAUCUUCUCGCAAAAAGAACAACUUGAGUGUAUAUCAUAUUUACCAUUAUUAUGAUGAAAGCUGGCAAUCAAUAUUUUUCUUGGGAUUCAUAGGGCUACAUAUAUAUAUCUAGAGUAACAUUUUAUUAAAAAAUAUACUUUCAACACCACUACAUAUAUAGGUAUAUGCGCUACAAUUUCACUGAUUUAAUAUAAAAAAGCCAAGAGCUAUUUUUUGUUUACCUUAUGGUACAACUUUACGUCAGCACUUGCUAAAGACUUCACUUCUAAUUUUGAUGGAGAUAUAAUGCUUACUAAAGACUUCACCUCUAAUUUUCAUAGAGUUGUGUAAAUCACCUAAUUUAAUGAGUUAACGUUGUACAACCUGAGUUUGUGAUAUAGCUACACUAAAUAAUUUAUUGUUUAAAGAAAAUUCGAUAUAGAAAUUGGUUGUGAAUAGAUAUCCUUGCAUGUUUACUCGAACUCUAUGCAAUACUAAAAAAAUUCACGUAAUAAAAAGAGUUCACCGUAUAGAAAAAAAGGUUCACCAUACAUUUGAAAACUCUUCACUGUAUAUAAGAAAAGUUCAUCGUAUAUAGGAAAUUUGUUCGGUGUGUAUUUAAAAAAUCACCAUAUAUUAAAAAAUAUAUUUAGUGCCUAUUUGAAAAAUGCACACCGUAUACUAAUUUUUUCAGCGUAUAUUUUAAAAUUCACUUUUUUCAAACAGUUCCAAAUUUUGUUGCUACUUAAAAAAAAUUACAUUUGAAAAAAAAUGACUGUAUACUAAAAAAUGUUCAGUGUAUAUUUAUGGCCCAGCGUUAAUUUUGUCACAAAACUCGAUCUAGUUGAGCGGCUACCAUGUUCGCCUGCAAACUAAAGGCUCCGUGUUCCCCUCGGGCCUCCUAUUUUUGGCUGGUUUUCCAAAGAAAAAAAGACAUCAGGAAUGUCCUAUGUAGAUUUAAAGUGCAGCGCUGCUUUUCAAUACCAAACGCCGUGAAGGUGAGUGGCUAGGACCCUAAACCUGUAGGUCGUGUGUUCGAUCCUCCUUUGGGUCUUUUUUUUUUUACUUUUUCCUACUAAAAGGAAAAACUCAGGAAGGACGUGUGGGUGGUUUUCAAAACAAAAAAAACUCAGGAGCAACGUACAAAAAUUGUGACUUGACGUAGGCUAGACCAAAAAAGUGGAGAAACAAUCCUCCUUUUAAUAUUAGGUAAAGAUAUAUUAAUAUUUUUGUCUCUAAAGUUUGUCAAAAUUUACAAAGCUUGACUUUGACCAAAACUAAUACGCUAAGUAAGUAAAAAUGAGGGAGUACUACCGACUAGGCUACUCUUUUUUUACUCUGCAUAUAUAAUUUAUUUGAAGUCAAACUAAGCAAAGUUUGACCAAAUUUAUCAUGAAUAUAUCAACAUCUACAACACUGAAGUUAUAUAGCAUAAAACAUUGCUUGAUGAUACAUCUAAUGAUAUUGAUUUCGUAUUGUUAGUGUUGAUAUUUUUUCUUAUAAAAUUGGUCAAAUGUUACAAAGUUUGACUUCAAUCAGAUUAUAUGUGCAAAAUAAAAGUGAACAAAGGUAGUAAGAAAGUCAGCACACGAGGAGGACUUGCAGUUAGCCCCGCAGUCAGAGCAUCUCCAAGACACAAAAACUCAAACCUUGGGGGUUUGAUUUUUGAAAAAAAAGGCUCUAAGAGCAUCUCUAACCAAUCCUUUAUAAUUUGGAGAAGUAUAUGACCUCCCAUACGAAGGAGUAUAUUCGCUCCUCUAAAAAAGUGCGGUUUCGAACCGAACCUUUAAACUUAACUCCUUUAAAAGAAUAGGCACAAAUCUGGUACAUCAUAUACUAUUUUACAUGACAUAAACGAAAUCUAAACUAAAGAUUGCAUAAAAACUAAACAAACUAGUCAUCACGAUCGAUCAUCUCGGC
rnacentral:lncRNA from 1 species